rnacentral:lncRNA from 1 species
ACAUAAAAAAAUAAUAUAUAUUGUAUGCACUAUAGAUCUGUAUCAAACGGGCGUUCGUGAUAUGUCCACGUCGGACAAGAGUCUGACAAAACACAUGCGCGUAUUCGAAACGAACAUGCAGGGCUUAUAAAUUGUCCGUCGAAUAUAAAAAUAAAAGCUCACGCACUUGUAUAAAAGUGAAAGCUCAUGCACUUAAUUCAUGCCUCUUUACUCUAAACUCAACAAUCUUAAGUAUUUUUAUGAGUGGAACAAAUCGUCAUAUCUCAUUUAAUUAUCACUUUUUUUUUAAAGAAAUCUAUUAUAUUUACUAGAGCCGCUAAUUAUGGUAGUAGAGAGAGCUUGGAGUUAAUUUCCCCACGACAAAUGUACCACCAACAAUAAUAAUUGUUGAGAAAAAAAAACAAAUAAAUUAUUUCUUGUGCUCGGUGUAUCUAUACAUUUUCACGCACCUCUCUUAGUUUUUUUUUUUGUUUUUGUUUUUUUGUGUACUCUUACAAAAUUAAUUGUGAUUGAAGUACCGUUGCCCAAAAUAUGUAUAUAUAUUUGGGGCUCAGUUUAUAACUUUAUAUGAUGAUGAAGCACAUCUCAAGGAUCACUUUAUCCUUCCGUUUUCUACUAAAAGAAGAUAAAAGCCGUAAUUGGAGAACCCUCUCCAUUAACCAAUCCUUUUCCCCAAUUGUGCCGCAGAUGAUGCAUGAGAACUAAUUGUAGAUCCUAACAAUCUAUAAACACGCUCAUGUUAAAUAUAAAAAUAUAAAAAUAUUAUUGAUCAUCUCUAGCGCAAGUGGCAAAAGGUUUGGUUGUUGAUGCCUGAGGUCCUCCCAAGUUGGAAGCUUAGUUGUUUCAUAUUUUUAACUAAAUUUAUUUCUAAAAGAAAUAAAUAAAAUGGAUAGCAUAUUAUUUUUCUCUCAUAUAUAUAUAUAUAUAUAUAUAUAAUUCUUUCCUAUCUUAAUCUUUUUAGAGAAAGCGAUUUUUCACAUUAUUUAAUAUUAUAUUAGAGCAAUAAGUUUUGAGUUCGAAUCAUAUCAGGUUCCUAACGUAAUUGGUUUCCUCCUAUUUAAUUUAAGUCUAUGCCAUGAGACUACGUCCAAAUAUACGCCCGUAAGGAAUUUUAAAUAUAAAAACACACCUAAAGAUAGAAAAAUAUAAAAACAUAUCCAGAUAUGAAAGGAACUGUUUCAUAAAAAAAUAAAAAAAUGUUUAAUAUAAAAAAUAUAAAAUUAUUUUUUUUUAUUUUAAUAUAAAAUUAUUAUUUUAUUGCUAGCUUAACAAAAACAAAAAGUGAUGUGAACACAAGAAACUUUCAAAAUGGCGAUCCUAAUAUUGUCGUACACUUCAAAAAGAAUCAGUUGCUUUCAUUUCUAUUGUAUCAAUUUUUUACAUUAAAUAGCUGAUCUGUUAUCGAAACAAAAAUCAGGCAAUUGUCAGAAUAUAAUAAUAUAUAAUAAUAAUGUUUGGAUUGGAUUAUUGCAAGCCCUAUAAAUAUGCGCAGAUGCUAUAAAAAAAUUAUUGGCGUGCAUACAAGUCAGUAUCCUAUGACAGAGAUUUCAUGUAUGCUGUAUUAAUUAAUGCACUUUAAUAAAUUUAAUAAUUGCCUAUUUUCUAUCAGCUUUUUUUUAUUUUUUUGUAACACCAAAAAUCCUGAUAAAUAGAACCACUAAUCCAAUACUUUUGAGUGUGACAUUAUUAGUCCUGCAGCUCUUAUAAGAGUUUUACUUUAAUCCUCACACAUUUUUACUGUAAAAUAAAAAAUUAUUGCUUGUACCAAAUGCAUUUGUACGUUCAUUGGCACUACGAUUCAUUAUUCUAACUGUAUCUUAUAUUUCAAUUGAUCUAUAAAUUAAUUUGCAACAUAAUAAGCAUAGAGCAUACUACCCGCUUUAUUUAUUUCUUUUAAAAACAAAUUUAGCUAAAAAUAUGAAUCAACUAAGAUUCGACAAUGAGACCUCGAAUUCCAACCACCAAACCUUUUGCCACUUACGCCAGGGACGGUCAGUAAUAAAUAUGGUGAAAGAAAAAUUUAAGAAUCUCAAAGUAUCAAAUUUAGAUGUUCAAGAAUCCAAAAUGAAACCUGAGUAAAUUAAUUAAGAAGUUCAAAAACUAUAUAUAUAUAUAUAUAUAUAUAUAUAUAUAUAUAUAUAUAGCAGCGCAAUUUGCCCUCGGAAUUUAACAUCUAGGUAUAUAUCAACAGCAGCUGUAGCAGCGGCAGCAGCAGCAGCUUAGCAGAAUGCAGCGGCUGCAGGCACCAGUACUUGGUUGGCUGGUCUGAGAAGCCGAUCCAAAGAGCCUCUCAGCUUUUUGCAUCAGCAGCAUCUCUUGUACUCCCUCAACGCAAACGUACGCCUCGCGUAGUUAAUUUAAUCGGUCCCCCUCAUCGCGCCCCCACUCCAUUCAUUGCUCAUUCAAGAAACCUAAAUGUUUACCAUAUAUGCAAAACGCAACAAGAUAAGAAGCCCCCCCCAGUAUACUACUGUUGCUUUCCCCCUCCAUUCCUUUCCUUUCUCUCAUUAUUAAUUGGUAACUCCUCCUAUUUAUAUUAAUUGGUUCCAUCUCAUAAUUGUAAUCCCGGUUGAUCGAAUUGGUGUGGAGGGAGAGAGAGAGUCUCAGCAGCUAUGAGCGAGCAAGGGGUGAAGGAGAGCGCCUUCGCCACCGUCGACUCGUUCUCGCAGCUUCCGUUCAUACGCGCGGCGCCGCCGCCGCCGCCGCCGCCGCCGGCCAGUUCGAGCCUGCAGCCUUCGGGCCUGCGGCUCUUCGGCUUCGACGUCCCGCCCGAGCGCGCCGACUCGUCGGCGAGAGAAUUCGAAGCCGCGAAGAGCGGCAACAGCGCGAGCAGUUUCAAGGGGAGGAAGUUCGAGUGCCACUACUGCUGCCGGCACUUCCCGACGUCGCAGGCGCUCGGCGGGCACCAGAACGCGCACAAGCGCGAGCGGCAGCACGCGAAGCGGGCGCACCUGCAGUCUGCCGUGGGCACCGCCGCCCUGCCCUACCACAACUACUACGGCCACAGUUUUCACAUGCAGACGGCCGGUUACGGCGCCGCCGACUUCGCCUACCGCAACGUCAGUAGCCAUCUGCUCGGUGGCCGGUUCGAGCCCCUGCUGCCGCCGCCGCCGUUGCCGCUGCAGUCUCCGCACUACGCUUCGUGGGCGUCGACGGGGGGACGGUGCAUCGGCGGAACGGCGUAUCGCGAUCGGUCGGCCACGGUGCUGCCACCACCGCCGUUGUUGAUGGGGAGAGAUGGUGAGUCGAAGGUGGUGUUGUUAGGGUUCGGAAAAGGAGGAGGAGGUGGUGGUGGUGGUGGUGGUGGUGGUGGUGGUGGUGUGCUUAGCACUUCCUCUUCUUCUUGUUCUUCGGCUUCGCCGCGUGAGCGUGGGGGGUUCGGUGCAAGUGCAAAAGAGAGCGUGAGUUUGGAUCUGCAUUUGUAAUUCUAAUUCUAAUUUUUUUUUUUUUUUUUUUUUGUUGGUUUUAAUCUUUAAUAAUAACUAGGUUCGUUUCGUGCCCCCAAUUAAUUGCUUGGAAUGGAAGUACUUGGAUUUUUUUUGCUUUUAGAUCACUGAUCAGUAGAUAAUUAUUGGCUUAUUACGACUAAUAAAUUAAGUUUUAGUAUAUACAGCUCAAGUUGGUACUUAUAUAUCUUCAUUGUUUCCUGGGUAAUUACGUACCUAGCUACGGGCCUUUACACAGGUUAUUCUUAAUUACUUCGCAAUAUUUAAUAUUUUUAUUUUGCGAUCAAUUUGUAAUUAUUAAUAUACUAUCAAUUUAAGUUCCUUUUAAUUUUGAAACUUGCUUAGGACAACUUUAGGGGGCGAAAAAAAUUGAAUGAUCAAUACCUUUCUUUUCGAUAAUAGAUGUCCCACAAAUUGAAUAAAAGAUAAACCAAUUCUCUAUUUAAUAGGCCACAUUAGUGAAAGAUGUAAAUCCCAGGGGAAGAGGAGAUCCUAGGGCAUCUUAUAUAUAUACAAAUACUAUACAAUAUACGACAAGUAUACCACACAUUAUUGUACUAGAACUUAAAAAUUCGCUCAUACUAUUUUUUUUUUUUUUUUUUAGAGAAAGAUAUCAAGCUAUUCGUCUUCACCCAUUUUUUUGGAUUAAGUUUUUAUAAUUUGAGUUCCUGGUCAUCACUUUAUUUUUUAGACAAAGUUAUUAUUUUAGAUUAAGUUUCUAUAAUUUGAGUUCCUAGUCAUCGCUUUAUAUUUUUGGACUGUUAUUUUUUAGAUUAAGUUUCUAUAAUUUGAGUUCCUAGUCGUCACUUCUUUUUUUUUUAAAGAAAAAACUUCAAAAACUCCCAUGUGUUUCACACUUUUUUAUUUUAGUACCCUGUGGUUUAAAGUGUAUCAAAUUAGUACCCGCACUUUCUCACUUUAAUACCCUGUGGUUUAAAGUGUAUCAAGUUAGUACUCUAUGGUUUUAUUUUUGUAUCGAGUUAGUAUCCUGUGGUUUAUUUUUAUAUCAAAUUAGUAUCUUGUGAUUUUAUUUUUGUAUCAACUUAGUACCCUAUGUUUUUUAAACCAGGGUACUAAAGUGAGAAAGUGCGAAACUACAGCGUACUAACUUGAUACACUUUAAACUACAGGAUACUAAAGUGAAAAAGUGCAAAACCACAUGGUACUAACUUUAUAUACUUUAAACCACAGAGUAUUAAAGUGAGAAAAAGUGAAAACAUAAAGGGACUAUUUGAAGUUUCUUUUUUUCUUUUAAGAUUAAGUUUCUACCAUUUGAGUUCCUAGUCAUCAUUUUUUCUUUAGAAAAAAUUAGAAAGCUACCAGCUCGUUUAUUUUUGUAGAGAUAUAUAAACUGAGUUAGAAAUAUGAAACAAUUAGAAUUCUAAUUUUAAAUUUUAGAUAUCAACCGUCGAGCUCUUAGCCAACUGUACCAUAAUGUACUGUUGGUAAUUUCUAAUCACAGUUGAUUGCCGUGUCUUGUGCUGCUAUGAUAUUUAGUCCCAGCUGUUGCCUUUGGUUUUUCGUCUUUUUCUAUUUAAGUCCUGUUUGGUUUCUCGCAAAAAUAUAAAAAAUUAUUUUUAUAAAAAUCUCUUAUUUCUAAUUUUUUACCCGUUUGAUUUAAAAUAAAAAAGUAAAUAUUUUUUAAAAAAAAUCAUAUUUUAUGAAAAACUAACCUUUUCGUUUUUUGAAAUAUUUUUAGAGAAAAGAACACACUAAUUUUUCAUAAAAUAUAAAAAAAAAUUAUAAAAACUUAUUCUCCUUCAAAAAACUAAAAAAUAAUUUUUCAUAAUAAUUUUUUUCUUUUUUUUUUUUUUACGUUUUUGGGACAAACCAAAUACUAGCUUCAUUAUGAUUAAAUCUAAUUAUUCGUAAGUUAUCUGGUAGAGAUCAGCAAGCCAGCGUGAUUAGUAAUUUAAUGAAUUUUUUUUUUUUUUUUUUUUGGCCAAAUUUCUUGCGAUUGUAGAAAGUUCUGGAAGUUAAUUGGGAUUAUAUUAUUUCCUCCUAUUUUAAUUGUCAAUCACAUCACAACAUGUCAUGAAAAUGGCAUUUGUGUUCAUAUUUAUUGUUGUAGUUUUCAGAUUAUCCCAACCAGUAUGACGCGGGAUUUAAUAUCUCUUUGAUAGUCAAUACCUACUACAAGCUCUCAUUAAAGGUAUCUAUAUACGGUAACAAUUUACAUACCUUGAUAAGACAUAUAAUAUAAAAUAUUUAGAAUAUUUUUAACGGUCAAAUAAACGGCCAUUAGGUUCUCACACUUUCGAUCGUUUAUAUGAUGAUAAAUAUUAGGGAAAACUUCAAAAACCCUCCUUAUGGUUUCAAUUUUUUUCACUUUAAUACCCUGUGGUUUAAAAUGUAUCAAGUUAGUACCCUGUGGUUUAAAGUGUAUCAAGUUAGUACCCUGUGGUUUUGCACUUUAUUACUUUAGUACCCUGUGGUUUUAAUUUUGUAUUAAGUUAGUACCCUAUAGUUUUUUAAAUCACAAGGUACUAAAAUGAUAAAGUGUGAAACCACAGGGUACUAAAGUGAUAAAGUGCAAAACCACAAGGUACUAGCUUGAUACAUUUUAAACCACAGGGUAUUAAAGUGAUAAAGUGAGAAACCACAGGAUACUAACUUGAUACACUUCAAAUCAUAUGGUACUAAAAUGAAAAAGUGUGAAACCACAGGAGGGUUUUUGAAGUUUUCCCUAAAUAUUAAUGCUUGAAAUAAAUAUGCGUAAUCUUCUACCCCUAUCUGUUUUAAAAGACUUAAAAUUUAAAUAUUUAGAUUUUUUUUUUGUAAACGUUUAAUUUGAAAGGAGAAUGGAGUAGACCAUUGAGCACUGUUAAGGUUGAUUAUUGAUCUGAACUUUGGCUCGGAUUGACAAUGGUGGUUGAUUACAUGUGAGGUUCAUUCGACCGAGCAAGCUGAGACGGCAACUUCCACUUACUACGCCCCACCUUCUGUGUCGGACGGGACGAAAGAAACUAUCUGGCAAUCGAAGUGGGAGUUGACUUAGGUUUUUAAAAUAAAAAUGCAAAAAAAAAAUCAACACAAUAAAUGAAAAUGAGAAGAGUUAGAAACAAUCAAACUCAAAAAGCACGUGAUUGAUUUGUUUCGAGAUUUGGCCAUUUGUUUACGUCCACGCCAACUUCUCAACAGAAGAGACGAUUAAAUUUCACUAUGUGAUGUAUUUUCUGGCCAAACAUCAAGUCUUUACACCAAGAACACUUCUUCUCACCAGAAAAUUAUACAAAUAUUUUUCGCUCUUUUACAAAUUAUAUCUCAUUACAAUAUUUACUUAAGUUGAGAGAGAGAGAGAGUAGAGAGAUAAAAAACUAUUGAAUACUAAGAAUUACAAGCUCAUGAAUGUAGAAACAAACCACAAAAGCCCUCUAUUUGUAGCCAAAAUCCAACAACUCUCUGUUUCAGAGAUUAUGAACAUUCGAGCGCCCGAACAGGUUUUCAAGCGCUCGCUUUUGUAAUAAAACAAUGCCAGCGUUCAGAAGGGCGCAGUCAGAAAGUCCAAAUCCACCAUUCAAAUCCACAUGUGCUCUGUAGAGAAGAAAAUAGUACAUUAACUUAUGAAAUCUACGCAUUCGAAAGUUGUUUUGAGCGUCCGAAUCCCCCGAAAUCAUGAUUUUCGGCUCUGAACAAUGAAUUAUGGCUUAUUUUCUCUAUUGGGCCAAAUGGGCCUCUUGGGCCGUCUCAGUGAAUUGGAUCAUUAUUUUUGUUGUAAUUUGUACACUUAUACGGGAUAAAGUUUAGGGAAAUUAAGGUCACUGAAUUUGUAAAAAAGUUUUAAGUUAAAUUAUCAAAGUUAAAUUUUUAUUGAUAUUUGAGGCACCAAACUUAUAUCCUUUUGUUUUAGUUGAGUUACAUUAUUAACUUUGUUUAGUUUUUGGUGAGCUAAGUUUGCUUCGGGAUAUUUAUAGCUUUACUCUAAAAAUGAUGACCUGGGUCUAAUAACCUGUAUUUGUUACGGGGUUUCGGAGAGUAAUUUGUAAAGGUGCCUAUCGACCGGAUCGGGUCUGGAUAGUUGAUAUAGUAUAUCCGUACCCUAAAAAAAUAGGUACCAAAAAUAUAUAUAUCCUGUCUAUUUAACUUCGAAUUGGGUCCGGAUUUAGAUAUUUAAGUUAAUAAUAUACCCAUCGGGUCUAUUUUAGCGGAUCUGAAUAGUGACUAUCUGUACCUACUUAAGACCAGAUAUGGUUCAGGUAUGGGUCGGGUUUAGAUCAAGUAUGGAUAACCAUAUGCAUUUUUUUUAUAUAAAUUUUAUUAAACAGUUUAUGAAUAAACCAUAAACCAAUCACUAUAAAAACUCAUGUUCUAAUUAGUUGCAUAUAAUCCAAUAAAAUUCGUUCAAAAGAAAAAAUCAAACAGUAAACGGCUAGAAUUUUUAAAAAAAAGAGUAAAAUAAAAAAAUUAAAAAAUGAGUAAAUAAAAAGACUAGAAUUUUCACUAAGAAUGAAAAUAUACAGAUACCCUUCAUUUAUAAGUCCUAUUAAAAUUGAUUACUGAACUUCAAAUUUUUUUUAUUUACUAUGGAAGUAUUUUACCAGGUCUAAGUUCGAGUCCGGUUCUGGGUUUGAAUUUGAAAACUCUUUAGCACCCUAUCCAUUAGAAGAUCGGGUUCGGGUCGGAUCCAAAUCGGGUAUAGAUAUAAAGUAUCCGGACCAUACUCGAAAUUUUAGUGGAUAAUUUUUUUUAUCCGUAUAUUAUUCAUUUUUUUAUCGGAUUUGGGUAGGGUCGGGAUCAAAUAUGGUAUAUCAGAUAUUUUGGACAGCUUUAAUAAUUUGUAUUAUAUUGUCUUAUCUUAAGAAUAUUAGUCUUUAGAAUAAUGUGAAGAACUAAUAAGCAAUUACGUAUUACAGAUAUUUUGCAUAGAUAUCUCAAACCAAACAACGUCAAAAUAAUAAUAAUAAUAAUAAUAAUAAUAAUAAUAAUAAAAUAUAAUCAUAACCAAAGUUUGCAAAAUAUAUAUAUAUAUAUAUAUAUAAUUAGACUAUCAAUAUAGUCAAAUCAGAUUGUGACAAAAUUUAUUUAAAAUUGGAAGCUGUCGGUUACAAGAUACGAUGGAAAUUUGUUAUAAUUGUCACGAUAUCUCCUACCGACUAAUUAAACAGAUAACUCAAAAUUCAACACUCCUUUUUUAAGGAUCAAACGGCAACUAAGGCUUAGUUUGGUAUUGAAGUCUAUCUAAUGCUAUUAGAUAAAAUAGAGUUGAGGAAAAAAUAUAUAGGGAUAUGCUUCUGCGUUCUCCGGUGGGACUGCAAAGAAUAUAUUAUAACUGACUCAUCGCGAUAUGCGGAACGCAAUAUUACGUACAGAAACAAACAGGGUAUUUUUCCAACGUACUUUCUCACCGCACGUAACGCAAUCACCCCACAAUCCCAAACGAAGCCUAAGAGGGGAGUAAGAGGAAGGGGACAACUAAAAACUCAAAUAAAAUUAAAUUAAGAUAAACAUUGCACAACCAAAUAAAAGAAGAAAAUCAAACUCAGAUAACACAGAUGAUUUAUCCUGAUUCGGCCUUUCUGCCUACUCCAGUCCGGUCCUUCUUCUCCUUCAGGUACCGAUUUCACUAUUACUUGGCCUUUUGAAUAGGACAAGACCAAAGCGUCACACAAAACUUCUUUUAUAACCUCUCAAUAAAACUCAUAAUUACAAAUUAAUGAACAAUUAACAUUUACAGAAUUGUUUUAAAGUUGUAUCCCAAACAACAUCCAAGCCCCUCUUUAAAUACACUAGCCAUCAUUUCAAAAAUAGAACAAAAGUAUAAUUAAAUCAUAAUUGAUUUCAAUUUGAAUUUUAGCCAUAUUUGCAAAUGCAUUUGAAUUAAUUCCAAAAUAAAUUCAAAUUCAUACCACAUUUGCAAAACCUAUUUGAAAUAUUACUAUAUUGAAAAGCUCAUUUGAAAUUAUGCCAAAUUUAUAAAAUCCUUUUAAAUUAAUAUUACAAAUGAAAAAAAUUUUGAAUUCAUUCCACAUUUGUAAAAACUUUUGAAAUAAUACCAUACAUAUAAAACUCAUUUAUAUCAUAUUUCAUAUUUUUAAAUUCAUGCCAUAAUAAAAUCAUUUUUGAAUUUAUAUUAUAUAUCAAAUAUCUUUCAUGCCAUAUUAAAAUAAUGGCUAAUUUGACAUUAAGCUCAAAUCAAACCCAAAAGGUGAAUUGGUCAACUUGACUAGAUUGACCGGCUCAAAUCUGAUAAAUUGUAAAGAAGUCCUCCAAAUUAUUAUUGUGGCACUUGCAUCCAAUUUGGUACAAUUGAUCUUAUCCGGACCAAUUUGAACAAAUUAAUUGAAUGGUUACCUUUGAUCAAAUCCUGUUCAGCUUGAGUCACUUUAAAUUCAAUUACAGCCUGAAAUUGCUAAAUAACAAAUUAAAUCCAAAAUUUAUUUGUUAUCAACAAAAUUUAUUAUCGGAUAAAAUCCAACAAUUAAAAUACUCUUUCCAAUUAAAUUCAAUAUUUAUCAUCAUGUUCAGUAUAAAAUAAUGUAUAGUCUUAAUCUCUAUUAAUAAGGUAUCCUAGAAAACUUAUUAAUACAGCUCAUUUUUUCUCAUAUUGAACUAAACACAUAAAUGAUAUAAUUUCAGAUAUUCUGAAAUACAUACGACACAAAAAUAUUCCUACGAUAUUAAAUUUUAAUUUUAAAAAAUAAUUUUUAGGAAAUUAAGUCUUUGUGGGAAAUUUUAAAUUAAUUUGUAAAACAAACAGGCCCUUAUUAGAGAGAGAUUUCAUUUCUUCCAAAAAGUUUAGGGUUUGGAAUAAGAUACUUAUAUAUAUAUAAUCCCUCUACAAUCCUCAUGUUGUAAGCUGGUCUCUGUGUUUCUCAUUUACACAGCUUAGUUUUUGAAUUUUGGUAAAUUAAUCUUGCACUCUAAUCCUCAAACAUUAUAAAAAUUAUUAAGUUUUGCUAUAAAAUAUUAUUUUUAAUCUUACUCGGACUAAAUUGUAAAUACGUUGGAAAUUUUUUAAAAUGGAUAACAUAAUGAUUUAAUAAAAUUAAGAUUGAAUUAAAUUAGUCUCUUUAAUUGUGACUUGAUAAAAUUCAGCUCAUGCAAAAGCUUAAAUCUUUUAGAUCUAAAGUUAUAAUAUAUAUGUCAAUCGUAUUCACGUGCAAACUCUCAAUAAAAGUUGAAUAAUCAUAUUGUUAUUUAAAUAAAAAGUACAAAAAUUAACCUACUUAUAAUAUCAUGAUAGUAAAGGACUAUUUAUUCACUCAUUCCACUGAAUAAAAGUUUCAUAAUUAUUUCUUUUGUUUUGGUGGUGAUGACACUUAGAUUCUAAGAAAGAAAAGGACACAAAAAUAAUGAGUAAUCAGUAGGACACAAGGAAUCCAUUGGUUGCAACAUAGUGAGGGGUUGGUGAGAAAUAAUAUUUUUGGUCCAAAAAAAUUAUUAAACAAACCAAGUUGAGUCACCAUUCCAACCAUAAUUAUUUCUUCUUUAAUUAAGACAACCUCCUUAAUCAACUGACCUUUUAUUUAUAUAUAAUAUAAUAUAAUAUAAUAUAUAUAUAUAUAGUACUUCAUAUAGUACCACAAAAAAAGAAAUAAAAAAAAAAUCAACAUUAUUUAAUGGGAUCUAAAAAAAAGAUCUAGAUAUAUAUGUAUAUAUAAUAUAAAUGCAUGGCAUAAGGCACAGUAGUAUUUUAUUUUCGAGUUGUGGCCACAUCUCACUUGUCCAUAACUAUUGAAGAGAUUCAACCACUAAUUUAGUAAACCAAUAAUAUAUUAUCACUGGUUGUUAUUUAUCGCAGUUGUUUAAAAAUUUAAUAAUUAGUACUUAAGAUUUUAGAUUCGAAACUUAGUUGUUUCAUAUUUCUAACUACAAUUAUUUCUAGAAAUAUGAAGAAAGUGGUGAUAUAUUUGAAUUUUUAAACAACUGCGAUAAAUAACAACCAGUGAUAAUAUAUUAUUGGUUUACUAAAUUAGUGGUUGAAUCUCUUCAAUAGUUAUGGACAAGUGAGAUGUGGCCACAACUCGAAAAUAAAAUACUACUGUGCCUUAUGCCAUGCAUUUAUAUUAUAUAUACAUAUAUAUCUAGAUCUUUUUUUUAGAUCCCAUUAAAUAAUGUUGAUUUUUUUUUUAUUUCUUUUUUUGUGGUACUAUAUGAAGUACUAUAUAUAUAUAUAUUAUAUUAUAUUAUAUUAUAUAUAAAUAAAAGGUCAGUUGAUUAAGGAGGUUGUCUUAAUUAAAGAAGAAAUAAUUAUGGUUGGAAUGGUGACUCAACUUGGUUUGUUUAAUAAUUUUUUUGGACCAAAAAUAUUAUUUCUCACCAACCCCUCACUAUGUUGCAACCAAUGGAUUCCUUGUGUCCUACUGAUUACUCAUUAUUUUUGUGUCCUUUUCUUUCUUAGAAUCUAAGUGUCAUCACCACCAAAACAAAAGAAAUAAUUAUGAAACUUUUAUUGAGUGGAAUGAGUGAAUAAAUAGUCCUUUACUAUCAUGAUAUUAUAAGUAGGUUAAUUUUUGUACUUUUUAUUUAAAUAACAAUAUGAUUAUUCAACUUUUAUUGAGAGUUUGCACGUGAAUACGAUUGACAUAUAUAUUAUAACUUUAGAUCUAAAAGAUUUAAGCUUUUGCAUGAGCUGAAUUUUAUCAAGUCACAAUUAAAGAGACUAAUUUAAUUCAAUCUUAAUUUUAUUAAAUCAUUAUGUUAUCCAUUUUAAAAAAUUUCCAACGUAUUUACAAUUUAGUCCGAGUAAGAUUAAAAAUAAUAUUUUAUAGCAAAACUUAAUAAUUUUUAUAAUGUUUGAGGAUUAGAGUGCAAGAUUAAUUUACCAAAAUUCAAAAACUAAGCUGUGUAAAUGAGAAACACAGAGACCAGCUUACAACAUGAGGAUUGUAGAGGGAUUAUAUAUAUAUAAGUAUCUUAUUCCAAACCCUAAACUUUUUGGAAGAAAUGAAAUCUCUCUCUAAUAAGGGCCUGUUUGUUUUACAAAUUAAUUUAAAAUUUCCCACAAAGACUUAAUUUCCUAAAAAUUAUUUUUUAAAAUUAAAAUUUAAUAUCGUAGGAAUAUUUUUGUNUUACAGUUAGGCAAUUAAAGAGUAAUCUUGUCCUAUAUAUGUACUUGCAGAUGUUGUUGUAUAUCUGAUGCGGCCAAUUUGACAUUAGAAUUUCUGCAAAAAUGCGACUCAACCAAGUUAAGUCAAAAAUUUCUUGAGUUUGAAUAAUUUUUACAAUUAGUGCGAGAAAUUUGUAAAUGGUCAUAACUUUUCACCCAAAUAUCCGCUGAAUCACUUUUCAAAAUCUACACGUCGAAAGACAAAGCCGUUCUGGCCGAGUUUGAGACCCAAAUUUAAUUGUUUCGGUCUUUCUCUUUGCAUUUUUAGGUUAUUUUCGAAAUUUCUAUUUUUUUUUUUUUUAGUCUGAUUAUUUGAUUAUUUCUUUGUAAUUAGGUUUAUAGAUAUAUUAGAAUUUAUUUUCUUCAUCCAAUAGGAUUUGGAUAUCGUCUAUAUAUAUAUAGGUAUUGCGAUAGGAUAUUGUAAUCAAAGUUUUAAAAUAAAUUAAUAAGACUUUCGUCUUUAUUGAAGAAUUAGUUCUUCGUGUAUCAUCUCUUUUUGUCAUUGUAUAAUGAGAAACUUUUUAGGUCUCUUAUAAUAUUAUCUUCGUGGAAUAUUAAUAUAUUGGUAAGUUUAUUUAAUAUUUUUAAACUGUAUAUACAUUAGUAAUAUAUAAAAAUAAUAUUAUAAAUUUAUAAUAAACUUAUAGCAGAACACCGAUAGUCAUAUAUAAGCAUUAGUUUUUAGUUUUUAAGGACUUGUUUGGUAAAUUAGAAUUAUGAUGGCAAGCAAAUUGCCUAGAUGGCCCCUACACUCUUCCAAUUUAUUGAUUGAUACACGUACAUAAAAUUUAUCUUUUGAACUAUUGGAGGCCACUGACCAACUUUCAACAAAGCAAAUUAAUAUGAAAAAAUUGUACAUGUUUUUUUUUUUUUUAGAGAUAAGUAGCACGCUACCCGCUUCGUUUAUUUCAUUUAGAAAUAAACUUAGCUGAAAAUGUGAAUUAACUAGAAUUCGAAUUUGGGAUCUCGGAUACCAACCACCAAGCUGGAAAUGUGAUUGAUCUAAAAUUUAUCCGCACGACGAAAAUAAGAAAAAAAUUAUCAAUACAUUCCUUAAAAAGGUAUAUAUCUUAUCCUUUUGAUUCCACAGUUCAAACCAAUCAUUUGGGAUUUUAGAAAAAAAAAUUAAAUAAAAAAAAAAGCCAAGUGGUUAAAUGUGUUCCACAAAGGACCAAGGGGUACACAUUUUGAGAGAUGGGCAGCAUGCUAUCUGCUGCGUUUAUUUCAUUUAAAAAUAAAUUUAGCUGGAAAUAUGAAUCAACUAGAAUUCGAACUUGGAGCUCGAGUAUCAACAAUCAAGCCCUUUGCUACUUGCUUUAAGGACGGUCAGUGUACCAAUAUAUAUUGCUAAAAAAGAAAAGGUGAAAUUGUACAAGACUCUCUCAACAAUAGGCCGUUGUGGAAAUAGCCCCCUUAACAACUUUUUUUUUUUGAAUUAAUUACAUAUAACUCCCUGUAAACAUAUUGGAUCACGAAUAUAUUUUUACAAAAUUUAAUUUUCUAAUUUUAUUUCUGUAAAAAUCUAGUGAUAUUCAUAUUUGUCUCUCUAAUUUGUUACAAUUAGAGUAUUGUUUAUUUUUUAACAGUAAUUAAGUGAAAUGACUUUUUGCUUUUAUAAAUAUAUCUCUCCAAAGUCCCAACUAUUAAAAUUAUACAAAAAUGUCCUGUGAAAAAUUUUUUUACCUAAUAAUAUAAGAGGGGUAAAAAUGUCAAUUUAACUCAUUUACAAAAUAGGGUUAAGUAUUUUACUCAUGUUUAACUAUUUUUCUAACAUAUCCUAAUAGUUUGUAGGGAUAAAAUAAAAAGUUAAAUUUUGUAAAGAUAUAUAUGCUAUUCGAUAUGUUUACAGAAAAUUGUAUGUAGUUAAUCCUUUUCUAAUAUUUGAGACCUUUUGCAAUAUCUUUUUUUUUUUUAGAAUUAAGUAAUUUUAGUCAAAAAAUUAAAAAUACUGUAAAAAAAUUGAGGACAAACUUCAAUUUACUUCCAUGUGGUAUAGGGCAUUUUUACUUUGCCAUCCUGUGAUUAAAACGUCGUACUUAACUAUUAUGUUGUUAUAUUAUUAUUUCACCAAAAAAAAUUCCAUCCUUAAAUAGGAUAGAAAGUAAUUUUUUGAAAACUAUAAAAUAAUAUAUAUUGUUGAGUGGGCUGGUAUGCUUAUGGAAGCACGGAGCCCUCCGUGUUUUCAAGUUGUUUUCAAUGUUCGGAUUUUCGAAUCGACGAUCGGCUCCGUUAGACUUGAUCUAGAGUAUUUGAAGUACCUAGAAAAUAAAUUUUGUGAUUUUUCGAUAUCAUUUGCCUAGUGAUCGAAGGGGCUCAAAAUCAAUAAUUUUAACGGCCGUGGUGAGCCGGUUGCAAGUUUAACGGUGUAGAAAUAUCCAAAUAAUAUGAAAUUUUGAUAGAAAAUUUUUUAUACCAUAUAAAACAAGAUCAAUAACUUUGAUCUAAAAUUUUAAUGUCAUGUCAUCAUAUUUUGUAAGAUUUUUAUUUUUAGCCGUUGAUUUUGAACCACUUCGAUCACUAGGCAAAUGAUAUCGAAAAAUCGCAAAAUUUAUUUUCUAGAUACUUCAAAUACUCUAGAUCAAGUCUAACGGAGCCGAUCAUCGAUUCGAAAGUCCGAACAUCGAAAACAAAGUGGAAGCACGGAGCCCUCCGUGCUUCCACAAGCAUCCUAGCUGCACUCUAUAUUGUUUAACAAUGAAUCCUAACGGUGAAAUCAGAAUAAAAUCACAGAGUAGUUGUGAACACCGGAAAAAAAAGGGUCAUUGUUAACACCGAAAAAAAGUGCCGUAGGAGAUGUCCCCAAAAUAAGUGCCCGCUCCGCAAGGAAUGUCGGCAGGGAGAUAUGCCAAAGAGCAGCUAGUUUAAAUUUCGGUAUCGCACCUGAACAUACUCAUUUUGGCGAACGGAAGGGGGGUUCAAAUGAAUUGACUAUUUGAAAUUCAAAUAGACAUGACCAAAAGCGAGAAGCUAGGGUAGCAGUGAAAGGAAAGGAGGGUGUCGAAUCGCAGGAGUUACUCCGACAAUCGCGACGGCGCAUCUACAAAAGGCGAAGACAACUAUAGAAAGAGGGAUCCGAACAUGGCACCACAAACCCCAUUCCAUCAAUACUUUGCAUCUAAAGCGAAGCAAUAACCGUAACGUAGUCUAAUAAGAGUAAUUGUAACAUAAUUCAUGAAGAGUUGGUAUAACGUAAUCUCCACCACCCUCAGCUCCCGUAAUCUCCAACUUCCGCAGAAUCGGAGGACGACAGCACACCUACUGGCAGAUGAUUUAGAUCGUGCUACAUGUAAGACUGCGAUAAUUUUCAGCAAACCCACCAACAGUAGUUUUUUUUUUUUUUAAGAGAUAGGUAGCACGCUAUCCGUUUCGUUUAUUUCAUUAAGAAAUAAACUUAGCUGGAAAUGUGAAUUAAUUAGGAUUCGAACUUGGGACCUCGGGUACCAACCACUUGCUCUAAAGACGGCUGGUCUCACCAACAGUCGUUAAGUGUAAUUUUUUGAACUACAGAAUAAUAAGGUAAAAAAUAUGUUAUACCACAGGAACACAAAUUGAAGCUUUUUCAAAGCUUUCUGACUCAAAUAGUCUUUUUUUUAGUAGACAAAACUAAAUAAAUAAUGGUUAAUAAUUAGUGAACUCUUUAAAUUCGAAAAAUUUUUUAUUUUAACUAGGUAUAAAAUUUCAAUUAAAAAAUUAGAAGUUGAGGCUUAUUAUUAUUAUUAUUAUUAUUAUUAUUUUUGGAGAAAAGUUGAGGCUUGAUUAAUUAAAAGAGAAGAGUUGAGUGGACCCACCAGGACUUGGAGAAAGUCUUCUCAAUUACAAUUGUAGGAUUUUUGACUGAUUAAAUAUCUUCAUAUUAUUACAUAAAAGUGCAAGAAAAUUUUUUUAAAGCACCAAUUUAUUAUGCUAUUACCAUUUUACUUCUAAUCGGAUUCUUCUCUAUUUCACUUAGCACAAUAUCAUUGGUUUGAGGUAAAAUCUUUUUUGGUGUACCUAUUAUAAUGAAGCGUUUUUCUAAGAUUUGAGCUCUUUUGCAAAAUAACAUAUGUGAGCUCUCAAUUUUACUAAUUAAUUUUUUAAAACUUUAUAAAAAUAUUCAGUAAACCCCUUUUUCUCAAGCGAAAUUAUUGAUUAGGCAACCGUUCUGAUCGGAUGUCAUACUUAUAGUUAUGAAUGACUUCAAAAUAAUUAAGGGUAUGUUUGGUUCGGCGUAAAAUGAAUUGAAAACUUAUUUUCAGUAUGAAAAAUGCCUUUUCCUUUGUUUUGCUUUGAGGUAAAAGUAUUUUUCUGUAAAAGUAAAAAAUUAAAAUUUUUAUUUUUCGCUAUUUUUCGGUGGAAAAUGAAAACUCAAGCUGCGUAAAAAUUUUUCAUUUAUUUUUUUGGCACCGAAUCAAACAAAAAUGAAUUACUUUCUUUCAACCAAAUAAAUAUUGAUGGAAAAAAAAAAUUUCCCCACAAACUAAAUACCACAAAACAUAAAACUUUUUUUUUCCAUAGAAAAUUUUUUUUGAUUAAAAUUAUAUUGUCAUGAUUUUACAUUGAACCAAAUGGACCUUGAAUAAAAUCCAAUUUUCUUUCUCAAUUUGAUGAUUAAGCCUGAAAAUUGAAAAAUAUGGUAAACCUUAUUUCAAUUUUUCCUGCUUUUUUAUAUUUGAAAUAAAAAAAUUGCGAUUUGAAGCAUUAUAAAAUUAUAUACAAAACGUGCAACCACAAUGGUUAUAUAAUUAAUAGCUUUAACUAAAAAGAAUAAUUUAUUGAACUAUGAACAAUGCUAUAUGUAGAUCUUAAAAGUAGGUAUAAUUCUUACGAUCUACUUACACUAAUAGUUAAUAUUUUCAUGUCUUAUUCAUUUUUUUUAAACAUUAAAAAUCUAAAAAGAGUUUUUAAAUUUUUGAAUGGGUGAGUAAAGAUUUACAUAUAUUUUUGAAUGCACAAAUAAUAAUUUUUGUUGAACGCUCGAAUAAAAUUUUACAAAUUUAGUUAUGAAAAUAAAAAUUUAGAGAUUUGUGUGUGGAAAAAAUAUAUCUCCUACCAAAAAAAAAAAAAAGAAAAAACCCCAACUUCGCGGACAUGACGUGCCAACAACUCCAACCGUUGAUGCACAGAGGUGUGGUCUCGACGGGACGUCAAAAUUCGUGCAAACCGAUCCCGAGUACUUUCUCUCGGAAACUCCACGCUCAUUCUUGUUUUUAAAGAGAAGGGUAGGACGAAAGAAAAGGUUGAAUGACAUCGCUUCAUUUAUUAGAAAUAUAAACUAAAUUAUAUUAAUAAAAUACUUAGGUUUCAAAUGAAAAAAAAGAAAAAAAAAAAGUGAGGGGUUACUAUAUGGUUGUUUCAUACAAAAGUAAGAGAUCGUUUAGGCCCUGUUUGGAUGAGCAGUAAAUAAAUUUCAUAGAGUUUAAAUACCGUAGUUUUGGUCCAAAUAAAAUGAAGUAUUCUGUAACUCCAAAAAAAUUCCACGAGUUUAUUUUAAAAGCUGUUUGGAUACACAUUAUACAAUUCUACAGAAUUUCUGAUAAUCUUAAAAAAUUAGUCUUGAGAGUUUAAACUUAAAUUAUUAACUAUUAAAAUGACUUUAAGAUCUAAAAAUUUAAAAUAAAAGUUUAAAAUUAAAAUUAAAAUUAUUAACUAUUAAAUAAUUUUAAAAUUUAAAAUUUAAAAAUUAAAAUUUGAAAAAUUAGCCGUUGGAAAGGCUACAAAAGGAAAAAUUAGCCGUUGGAAAGGCUACAAAAGGAAUAAAUUUGAAAAUUUUGAAAAAUUAGUUUGAGAAGGCUAUUCUAACCACGACAAACCGUGUGUGACAAUAUUUGAAUACAUACAAAUAUGAACAAAAUAAUUACAAAAGGAAUAAAUUGAACACAAACUGAAGCUUCUACGGGCCUAAACAAAUUGACCAUCUAGCUUACAUUGAACACAAAUUGAAGACAAAAAUAAACCCAAAUCUGGACUUUAUUCUAACAUAGCCUGACCAAAAAUUAACCCAAUAAUCGCUUAUAAAUGCAAAAAAAUAAACUUCAAGCACACAUUUUAGCAUCCUAAGAAUGUGUCCAUUGUUUUUUGACCAGCUGAUAAAUGAUCAAGCAUAAAGAAUAAAGACAUUUGGCUUGAUGCUGUUUUUUGAACUCCUAGAGUUUCAUGUGUUAACAAGGACUGACCUGAGCACUUGGUAAUGGUUCGACCAAUUAGAUCAGCCGGCCGGUUCAAACCAAAUUUAAAACAUACAACAAGUUCAUCAAAGGAACUCACCUAACAAGAUUUUCACAGAUUCCCCUUCCAUCCAAUUUGGGAUAUCUACAACAAUAUAACUAAAACUGGCGAAUAAAUCUUUGCGCCUCUCUAGUCACAGGCAUGCUUGACAUUUCAUCAUCAGAUUUUUUAGCCAUGGCCAACAGAAACCAGUAUAAACUAGACGUAGUCAUAACAUAAUUAACUAUGCAUUAUUGCUCUGCCUCCUGAGAAAACAGCAGAAUGACCAUCCUACAUAUAAGUAUAAAACCUCGUUUUCUCUGAGUAUCGCCGUUAUUCAUCAAGUUGCAGGGUAGUCGGAACUAUCAAAAAGGAUAAACAAUUAGCACUUCAUCUAAGUCCUAAUGGCCUGCUUUAAUCAUCAACCAACUCAUUUGGAGUCACAAAAGAAAUUAUUGCAAACUCAAAUUAACAGCUGGCAUACUAUGGCUAAAUCCUGCCACCAUGAAAGGCAGAAGAUAGAGUUCAUGUGUUACAGAUAUCAAUUCUUACAUAAAGACCUAAUGAAGAUUAAUGAAUCAAUCAAAAUCUAACCUAUUGAAAAAAAAAAAAAAAAUCAGAUCAUUUCUUUGUUACCUGUUGGAGGAGCGAAAUGGGGCUGCCCUUCUCCGGCCAUUGCAAGGCGAGGGGCGAGAAGGGCGAGACAAGAUCGAGGCAAGAAAAUGGUGGCCGAGGUUAGUGCGGCGGCGACGGCAGCCGAGGUGAUAGUGACUUCGGCAGUAGCAGCGCACGAGAUGGCAGUGGAGAGCGGCGGCGGCAGCCCGAGAGAUGGCAACGGCGGUGGCCGAGAUCCACGGCGGCGGCGUCGGCGGCGGCUGAGGUGAGAGAGACGCGGUUCAGGUGAGAGAGAGAGGAUGGGAGGAAACGUGGAGAGGGUAAUGGGAGGGAGAGAGAAGCGCCAGAGAAAGUUGGGCGAGUGGGGAGGCGGCCCAAAAAAAUUAGCGUAAUUUUUUUUCCAGAGAAAAUUUUAGAGGUUACUUUUACUCUGUUUUUUAGGGUGUAGUUUAACUAUACCCUAUUUUGUUGGGGUAUUUUUGAAGCAUCCAAAUACCUCUUAGGAUUUUUUUCCUACACCCACAGCAUAGUUAUACUUUACUCCAAAAAAAUAACCAUCCAAACAGGGCCAUAGUUAGAUGUAAUUAUAAAUGCAGUGUAGUUGAAGAUGUAUAUAGUUAAAAAUGCAGUAAUUACAACUACAUGCGUCAUGUUUUGUUGGAUAUAGUAGAAAGCGUUGUAAUUAUAAAUAAUUUAUUUGGUUGCAUGUAGUUGAGAAAUAAUUUUUAAAUUGGUUUUUUUUAAUUACCGAAAAAGCUACUUUUUAUUAUUUUACAUAUAUAAUGGUAAGAUUACCUACAAUGUAAAAAACAAAAAUAUUUUUUGUUUAAAAAAUAAUUAGGGAUGUAAUUUUAUCUUUUACUUAAACUUACUCCCUCCAACUGUCGCAGUUGGAAUUGCAAUCAAUUUAAACGUAGUUCCAACUGCUACAAUUGGGCCUUCUCCUGCCUACUGCAGCAAUUGGAGUUAAAUAUAUUAAACUAAACACUAAAUUUGUAUUUGCAUGUAUUACAACAAAAAUAGUGUAUGGCAACACUUUUAAAUGUUGGUAUAGAUAAAAAAAAUGCUAUUGGCUAAAUUACCGACACUUUUUUAAAGUGUUGCUAUAUGUGGGGUCACUAUAUAUAGGGCUGUCUUGAUGUUUGGCACCCACUCCUCCAGCGACCUGUGGUGGAGAGACACGUGGCGAUCGUAGCCCUGUACAAUCGCUGCAAGAUUCUCGCGGUUGAACUCCAGCCAUCGAAACCCAACUUCGUUGGUUACAGUCGUGAAGGAGGAGAAGGGGAGAUGGUGACCAAUUUUUCUUUUUUCAUUCUUUUUCUAUUUGUAAUUGGAUCGAGUGGGCUGGAUGAGGUUGGAUAAGUAGAGGAACUUUUUAUUUUUAAUUAGAUUGGGCUUUAUAUUUAAACCUUAGUAAUUUUUUUUUUUAAAAAAAAUGGCAUAAAUAGAACACUUAUACAAAAGUAUCCCAAAAAUAUAUCUCUAUAAUCUAAUUUUGUUGUAGUAAUGAAAUUAUAACUACAAUGUAGUUGCAACUAUAUACAACUAAACGGUCACUAAAAGUAAGUGAGGUCGCUUUCAUCAGCAAAUAUUCAUUUGUUGUUUGAUUUAUUAUAAUUCUUUUUUCUUGACCGGAAUUUAAAUUUUUUAAAACAGCAUAAUUGUCUUCGGUUUAGUCCAAAUUAAAAUCAAUUAUUAAUAAAAAAUAGUAAUAAUAAAUUAACUUAUUUUUUAAUAUUUUAAAAUUUUGCAUUAUUCAUUUUCUAUCCAACAAACAGUUAUACAAACAAGCUCCAAUUUUGUAGUUAUACAAACAGACAACAAAACAUGAGUAAUUGUUACGUAAAUUCUAAUUUAUCAGAAAAAUUAUUUUAAUUUACACUUUAAAUUUGGUAAAAAUUACAAUACUAGUCAUAAAAAACAAACAGGGUCAUAGGAAACUAUUUUGUAUGUAUUUUGGUCUAAAUUCUGGAAAGUGAUUUUGUGGCAAAAGUAAUUUUAUUUUCAAAUUUGAUUACAGUUUUUAAAAAUUUUUAAUUUUAAAGGUCCAAAAUCAGAAGCAGUCAAAUUUGCUUCUUGAAAUCUAAUUUUGAUUUUGGACUGAAAUUUUAAAUUUUAAUUUUAAUUUUGGAUUCAAAUAUUAAAUACAAAUUCAAAUUUUAAUAUAAAAUUUAAAAUUUAAAAUUCAAAUAUCAAAUUUUAAAUUUUAAAUUUUAAAUUUUGAAAUUUUAAGUUUUAUAUUUUCAGCUUCAAAUUUCAACUUCAAAUUUCAAAUUUUAAUUUUAAAUUUCAAAGUUCAAAAUUUAAAUUUUAAGUUUCAACAUUCAAAUUUAGAUUUCAAAUUCAAAUAUAAAAAUUUAAAUUCUAGUUCAAAAUUCAAAUUUAAAAUUUUAAUUUUUUAAUUAAAAUUUAAAAAUUGAAUUAUUUGAAAAUAAAUUUUAGUAAAAAAAAUUAUUAUUUGCAGGCAGCAAAAUAAUUUACUAAACAGUCAGACAAAAUUACUUUAAAAAAAUUACUUUUAUUUAAAAUCAGCCAAACAAUCUAAAAUUUUUAGCCCAAAUUAAAAUUUAAAAUUAAAAUUAAUUAUGCAAAAAUUAUAUUUUUAACGGAUAGGCCGAAUAGACUCUCUACUCUCUAGUGGUACGAGAAAAGAAAGGACGAGCGAGUGACGGAAACUCCGCGCCCCCACCCUCCCGACAGCGAUCCCUGUCACAUAAAGCCGCGUUUCUGCAUUUCCUUCGGUUGGGUAAAUUGCAGCUGGUCCUUAAUUCCUCAAAUAUUUUUACAAUCAUUCCUACCUUUUCAGCAGCUUAGUUAGUUAAUUCACGAAUAAUAUGCAAAUUAUCCGCAAACAACAGUCACAAUGUAUAAAAUGCUUCGUUUAUGAAUUUUGUUUUCAAAAAAUCAGAACAAAAUGCAUUUUUUUCCUUGCUCCGAGUCUUUGCGAUCAAAAGGGUUUUCGCUGCAUUAUAUUCCGAAAAAUUCGAAUUUAGUGGCGAAAUAUAUUUUGAAAAAUUCGGAUUGACCAACGGUGGAAAGAUAAAAUUUGUCAAUAAAAUUUGGAUUGGGCGCCUGUGGAAAUAUGAAAUUUCUUGAAAUGGCGUCGCGCGACCACGGCUCCACAGAUCCCUACACCUUCUUGUGAGCAGUCGAGCAAGCUUACCCAUUCAAUUUUGAAGAAAACAUAGAGAUGGAGCUGCGGGAAAGAAGAAAGGAGGAGGAGCGAUGAGGAAGAAAAUCACGGCGCACCGAGAGUUGGGAAAUAGCGCGGUCCACGAGGCUGCACUUAGCCUCGUAGACUAUGUGGAGUGAUAGGUCCACGUGGACCUCUCACUCUCUCUCUGUUUAUAUAUACUAGUGUAGAAACCCACGCGUUGCGGUGGGUAGAGAGCAUUGCAAAUAGUCAAGAUAUUUUCAUACCUAAAAUUAAGGUAGCUGAAGAGAAGUAGGAGAAAAUAGAAAUAGCAACAAAACAAUCUUCUAAAAUUUCAAAGGAAAAUAACAUAUUGUACAUCAAGAAACUGUGAGACCCCAGAUAGUUCUAUAUAUGAGAUAUAAUAGGGCUAAACUCUUAACCCGGCUUAAGCAUUUUGGGUGGUGGCAAGGCCCAAGAGGUUAAGAGAGUUAAGCGUGCUAGGACGGGAGUAGUCCUAGGAUGGGUUACCCCUGGGAAGUCGGGGCGUCACAGAAACAAAAUUACCUUUAGCACAUUAGGAAAGAGAACUGCAAAAGUAGUGAAAAUAGCAUCUCCCAAAAUCCAGAAUAAUACAGGGCAUAAAAAAACAAUGGGGCAUUUUUUUUUUAAAUUUCUAAAAUACUCUACUAAAAGUUGUGUACUCUUUGUCUCCUAUGCCGCAUUUGCUUCCCUUUCACACCUCUUAUACAUAUCCAGUUAGCAAAUAUAAAUGCAAUUUUGUUGUCUUAACAAUUAACAUUUAGCUUCUGUAAUGGUGGCAAUAGUUUCAUAUGGAUUAUCUAUUCACAACUAAGAAUUUAUCAAAGUAGAACUUAUUUCUCAACUAAUAGAGAAUCAUUUCAGAGAGAGUUGAUUCAAAUGUAAAAAAAAAUUGUUGAGCAGAAAAACUAUAGCAACUUACCAUAAUAAGCAUUCAAAUAUAUAUACGAAUCAAGCAGUACUAAUGAACAAAAUAAUUUAAAUUGCAGAUCGAAAAGAAUAAGUUUCUACUUCAUUAAAUAUUUAUACCCAAGUGAAGCAAAUGAUAAAAAUUGUGAAAAAUUUAAUUGAAGCAACAAUAUAUGAAAGUACUCUCUUUAGCAACUCAUUAAGGUUCACGCAGUGAAGAGAUUCACCUAAGUACUCUGAACAUCAUUUAGUGUAAGAUUAUAAAGAGAAUCUUGUCAUGUCAAGCUCUCAAUAUGGGAUGGCCCAUCGCAGCCCCGGCACCUGACACCGGCCUUGCCCACGUCGCUGCAGGCUGCAGCCUUGUAAUGCCGUAAAUUGUUGGGCUUACUAUUGUAAGCUUAUCUAAAUGUUAAAGCUAAAUAAAAUAAAUCUUACUUUCCUUAAAUCAGUAUUAAAAUAACUGUAGAUGCCUUCUUAAAUUCAGAACCUCAAUCUUCAAAUUAAAAGGCAUAACUUAAGAAAAUAGCGGAUCAAACACAAUGAUCAAGGUUGGAAAGACUUCAUCCAUCUUUCCUGCAUAAUAAGGGCUCAAAAUAUUCCUAAAGAAGAAGAAACUAUGAUUCUAGUACCAAAUCAUUUUGCUAGGCUAAAGAAAGAGGAAGCAUUUCAGUAUCAUAUUUUAUAUCCAUCGACAACUUUAUAUCAAAAAAAUAAUCUCAAAAAGAAAAAAAAAGCAAAACCAUUUUUAAAGGAAUAAUAGAAAAGAUAUCAGAGUCCAUCAAUCAAAAUAGUCUUUGUCCCUCCCAUAAAAGAAUUUUAGCAAAUAAGAACCUUUACACCUAAAUUGAAGAGUGCUGCUAUUUCAAUUACGUGAAACAUAGAGAAACUCAAUAUCGAGAUUCAUAUAGAUCCUAUUCAGAGAUGAAUAAUGAAAACCUUAUCUACUUGAUGAGUGUCGUAGCUCCAUCCUAAAAAUAAACGUCGAAUAAGGCCUGUAAUAACUUAUAAGGACCAUCCAUGGCAAUAUGAAUAUUAUUAACUUAUAACCACAUAUAAAAAAGGAUAAAAUUGAUGCGACACAAUUUUUCUUAAUAUCAAAUUUUCUCCAUGUACUCUUGGAAUCCACAUGAUAAAAAUUUACAAUAGUCAAAUUGCUCAUCUUUGGCACCUUUUUUUAACCAUGAUAUUAAGAAACUAAGCUGCAACAAAAAUUAAUCUAAAAUCUGAAAUUUAAAUAUCUGAACAGGAGCUAACAGGAAAAAUUGAAUGCAAUUCGAAAAAUAUGUUGCUUUGAACUUAGAUAGUGAAUGAAUCAAAUGGGAAAAAUGUUGUGAUUUUAAUGGAUCUUUAUUUAGUGUCUCUAUGUUAACAACUUUUCUUAGGCAUUCUCUAGAACACCUUUCAUACAAUCUCAGAUUUUUUUUUUAUAUAAAAUAAAAGAAUAUAAUAAAAAUAAAAUAAAUUUUAAAAAAGAUUAGGAUUUCUUCAGACAACUUCAAAGCCAUCUCAGCCAUCCAUUGACGAUGGUGAAUGACCAAAAAACAAAUGGUAAAUUGCAAAGAGAAAAUUAGAACAAACCCAACACCACCACGAUUGCAAAUGCUAUGUGUAGAUGAUGAGGCUUUCUAGGAUUUCUAGCACUGCACUUUCUGCUCCCUAAAGUUUUGAAAUUUUCCUCCCACUUUCUCUCGCUCUCUCUGCUCGCGUGGGAACCUAUUUGUACCAAAGCAAUAGUUAGGGUUAGGGAUAUAGAUUCAUAGAAGAUGCGGCAAGAAAUUCGCCCAUUCCAAAGGUGAGGUUGGUGAAGAACCCAUCCAUACCAAUACCAAUCUCAAAAAAGAUAGAAAAAGGCAGGGGAGAAGAGGGCGAGCCAGGGAAAUGAGAGAGUGAAAGGAGCGACAAGAGAAGUAGGUAACGGAAAGGAGAGAUAGAUGAUAUGGCGGAGAGGGAAGAGAGAACGACCUACCAUAUGAAACGGAGAGGGAAGAGGGAACGACGCGAAGGAGAGAGCAGAGGAAACGCUCCACUGANUCCGACUGGUAUACUAUUGAUAGCACGAAGCAUUUGGUGCUAUCAAGUUUUCUGCUAUUAGAUUUACCUCUUUUAUCAUUUUCAUCCGUUCGAUUAUACUAUUCAACUAACCACACUCAACCCUAAAGGGCCCAUAUUAUUUUAACCACAUAUUUUUUAAUCAAAUGGCAGAAAAUUUAAUAGCACCAUAUAUAUGUAUGUAUGGAACUAGGCUGGAAUACUAUUAAUAGCACCAAGCUAUUGGUACUAUCAGUUUUUUAGUCAUUGAAUUGAGAAAUGUAUGGUUAGGAUGAUGUGAGCCUCAUAAGAUUGAGUGAGUGGUUGGUUAAAUAGUAUAAUCUAACGAGUAAAAAUAAUCAAAGGGUUAAAUCUAACGGUGAAAAACUUGAUAGCACCAAGCCCUUGGUGCUAUCGAUAAUAUUCCAGCCAGACUCUAUAUGUAUAAAUGUAUAAUUAAUUAACUAAUUAAAAAAUUAAUUAUUAGUGUGUUUAGGCAAUACAAAUAUUUAUAUUAAUUAACCAAUUAAUAUCUUGACCAAUCUAACUAAUUAAAUAAUUAAUUUAUUAAUUUAUUAAUUUAUGAAAUUAUUUAUGAUUAGUUAAUUUAUUAAUUUAUUAAUUUAUUAAUUAACAGUGCUCAUGGUUAAUAAAUUAAUAAUUAAUUAAUAUUCAUGGUUAUCUAACAAUAUGUAUGGUUAAUUAAUUAAUUUAUUCAUUAGAUUAUUAUUUAAUUAAUAUUUUAAUGUUGAUUAAUUAGGCAAAAUAUUAUUAUUUUAAAAUUAUAAUUACUCUUAUUCUUGCUAUUCCUAUCUAAUUACUAUUUUUUUUAUUUUUUAAAAAUAGCCAAAUUUUCAUCCAAACACAAUAUUAGUCUAAUUCCUUCUUAUUUUAAGAAUUAGAUCUGCAUUAGAAAUAACCAAGAACCGAGUAUUUCUAAAGAUUUGAGGACCAAAAUGAAACUAAGCUGAAAGCUUAGGGAUCAGUGGAGCAAUUUACCCAAAUUCUUUUAUGCAAAGAUUAUUAUUAUUAUUUUUUAAGAAUUGUCUGAAAAGUCAAGAGCUAUAUUAAAAAAAAAAAAAACAUCUUUUGGAUUCCCUCCUAUCCCGUUCCGUUGGAGCUCUCGUAACCCCGUUACACCCUCCCCCGUUACGUUGUGCUACACCGAAAUGUUACGUAAGCCCGGUGUUUACCGGUAGCAACCGGUUAAGCUAUAAUACGACCGCUUGGGAACACCGUCGAUCCCGCGAACCCCGCACGGAUCGCCACGAAGGCGACGGCUCCCAAUUGCCGAUUCCGCGUGUUGGGAUUCGCAGCCAACAGCGUGCGCCACGUGGCGCUUCAUCACUGGCUGCACGAGACUGCGAGGCUACGGCACGGGUGUCAUGUGACGGUGUCUCCAUCGCCACCUGUACGGAUCGCACGCAAAGAGAUUAUGCGACUCACUUCUUCUCCGUCCGUUCGAUUCUUACCGCAUCCCAUCCGUUUUGAGCAUCGCGGCACCAUAAUUACGUCUAUGCGGACGUUCGUUUUGCAGUUGGUGCGUCGUUACCUUUUUCUCGUCCGUGCAAGGGGGAGAAAAUAUAGGAAGCGAAAAUAUUUGCGGAAAAAGGAAACGCUUUUUUUUUUUUAAUUCGUAGGGAGUAAAAGCUCUCGGGCGAGGAGCAUCGCAUUUCGCAUCGCUUCUAAGGCAAGGGAGAAAAGGUGAAGCGGCGAGAAACCCUAGAAAACCCUUUUACUCCCACUCCCCUUUACACCCUCGUCGUCCCCAAAUCGCCUCCCAUUUUUGGCGGCUCCCGAUCGGAUAUAGUCGUCGAUUUCCCCCAAUGCAGCUCCGAUCUGCUCCGGUUCGAGCUCCAAUGGCGGCGCGAUCGGGAUUUGGUGCGGUUUCGAUCCACCGUAGGGGGUUGUCGCAGUGUGUGGGUGGGAUUUGAGCUCGGAUUGAUCCGUUAAUGGCGUCUCGGUCGGGUUCGAGGACGAAGAAGGCGUCGCCGGGGGCGGCGAAGCCGGCGAACUCGCCGGCUUCGUCGACAACUUCGUCGUCGAGGCCGGUGCCCGAGGCGUCGCUGGAUGAGCAGAGCUCGCCGCUGUCGUCGGCGGCGGCGAGGAGCAGGACGCAUGAGUUCUACGCGGAGAAUGCGGCGUUGGAUGUGGAGGGGUUCAAGGAGAAUGUCACGGUUACGGUGCGGUUUCGGCCGCUAAGGUUCGGUUUCUAUCUCCUCUGUUCUUCUUCUUUGAGAAAAAUGGUAAUGCAUGUUGUCUGAGUGGUCGGAGUUCGGUGUCCGUGAAGCCCGCGGGAGAUUAGGCAGGGGGAGGAGAUAGCUUGGUACGCGGAUGGGGAUAUAAUUGUGAGGAACGAGCACAAUCCAUCCUUGGCGUAUGCAUAUGGUAUGUGGUAUGUGUUGCAGUAAAAUUAGUUUGAACAUUUUGAAGCUGAAUGUUAUUAGCGUUGAUAUCUACCAUGAAUCUUAAAAUUUGUUUGGCUUGAGAUUUCACUUUAAGAGAAGAAAUUGAUUUUAAGUUAUUUUUAAGUCAAAGCAGAAAUGCCCAAGCUGAAGUCAUUUGUGUAGCUUGAGUAACAACAGAGGAAGCACAAAAACUAUGAUAACUUGUAGGAACUUGCACUUGUUCGAAUAUAUUCUGCUCAGCAAUUUUAUCACGAAUAUUGCUUUCUCAAAUGAAUUGUUGGAAUUCUAGUUUAUCCAGUCUUAUGAUUCUUACACUUCAGUGAAGAAAAGUAAGCUCUUCUAUGUUAUUUGUAUCUGGUAUGUGUGGCUUCAAGCAAACAAUAUAAUACUUGUGAAAUUACCAGUAACCUCAGGUCUUCUAUUCAAUUCUCCUUUUCGACAUCCAGGGCAACUGAACUAACUCAACUGUAGAUAUCUUUCUUUAGUUAUUUACUUGUCUCACUGCAUGUGGAUUUUAUGUAUUCUAUGGAACUUUAUGUUGUUCUUAAUACAAGCAGAGAAGAUCCAUAAUGUUGUUCUUAAUACAAGCUGAGAAGAUUGGUGUCAGGUAAUUAAUUUUCUUUUCUUAAUCCUCCAGAUCGAGUUUUUGGACCUACUACUACGACACGUCAUGUUUAUGAUGUGGCUGCUCAGCAUGUUGUCGGUGGUGCUAUGGAAGGAAUAAAUGGUAAUUGGUUUUACAUGUUAUUUCUUUGGUCUAAAUCAAACAGUGUAAUAAACAAUGAAGGAAUUGUAAGUCAAAUAUUAUACGUUAAUUAGUCAUAUUAUUGUAUGUUAGUUCAGUUAUGUUUCAAGUUGAUCGGUUCUGUUUGUGCUUAUGAUUCUUUAGUCAUCAUUCCUUCAGAUGUUAGUUUCCUUGGCUUAAUCAAAUUUUCUUGCCUUUUCGGUCAUAGGUACAAUUUUUGCUUAUGGAGUUACAAGUAGUGGCAAGACACACACAAUGCAUGUAAGGGUUGCAACUUUUUUCCUUUUAUUUGUGGAGGAAUAUUUUCCCUUUCCUACAAGCUUAAUCUGGACAUCACAUACUGCUUUCAUAUGUGUGUGCUGUAGGAUUUUUAUAUGUCAUAGUUUAAAUUCUGAUAAAACUGCAGAAGAAGUGAGGAUUAUUCUAACAUUUCAAUUUUCUUUCUUUCGUGAUUCAAAUUCAGGGAGAUCAACGGUCCCCUGGUAUAAUACCUUUGGCUGUCAAGGAUGCUUUCAGUAUCAUACAAGAGGUAGUGUACAUUGGCUAUCUUCCAUAAUCCACCUAUAUUGGAUAUCCUAGAUACUCCAGCCAUUUACUUAUUCUUUAAUUUAUUUUUAUGUAGACUCCAAGUCGUGAGUUUCUUCUUCGUGUGUCAUACAUGGAAAUCUACAAUGAGGUUUGUUUUCUCUCAAUUGCUUAGCGUAUCAUGUCUGCAAUUCUUUGUGUAGCAUACGGAGGAUAUGACAUUCUGUUUUUUCAAAUUUUUAUUUUCUGCUUUAUGUUGUAUUAUACCCUGCAUUGCAGGUUUAUGUACUUCGAAUUUUUGAUAAACAUGGAUCUUAGAAUGUAAUUUUCACACUCUGAAUUUUGAUUGCAUCCCUAAGAUCUUUCAGAAUUAAGUGCAAAAUGUACAACAAUGACUCUGUUUGGCAGGUCAGCAACUGACUUUGUUGGGAACAUUUGCUUGACUAUGAGUAUGUUUGUUUCAUUGAAAGUGGAGGGGAAUGACGCUGUUUUCGGCAAUAAAUGCCCACUUCCAUUGUUUGAUUCGCCGUAAAAUACAUUCGCAUGUAACUCCACUUUCCCAAAAUGCCGUAAUUGACUUCGCCUUGGGUGGUGCUGGAGUCAAUUACGGGAAAGCAAGAGAUAUAAAAAUUAAAAAAAUAAUUGUUGUAACUUUUUUUUUUAUCCUCUUAUGUACUAGCAUGAAAAUUUUCAGUAAAAUAAAUAAAAAAGUGGUAUGGUUACAGCUGCAAACCUAUUGACUUACUAUCAAACAAACAACGGUGAAAAAAAAAAAUUUAUUUGAACUUCAGUUCAACUGAAAAGUCAUUUAAACUUGAAAGUCACUUACAGACAAGCAAGCAAACCCUAUAGUUCUCUACAUACCGUUGCUGCAGAAAAAAAUUGAGAAUCUCAAAUUGUGGUCCACGUGGUUAUAGUAUUGAAAGGGCAUGGUACAUGGAUAUUAUGUCAAUUGAUCUUAGUUGGAUUAAAUCAAAUUUGAGAGAAAAUUGUUUAUCCUCUUCUUGUGAAAUUUGUCUGCCCACUAAAUUCAUGUGUCACUAGGUUGCUUCGCAUUGGACUUCAUCUGAAAAUCAAUUUAGUAAAUGGAAGUAGAAGCAGUUCGUCUUUAAGUAGUCAAAUAGAAGUACUGCAUUUGGUCUUUGAACUUGUUAAACCCUGUUGUAAAUGCGUUUCAUUUGAAAGAAGCUAGGUUGUUGCUAGGAUUUUCGGACAGUGGACCGAUCAAGGAAAUUUAAGAUGUAUUGGCUUUAUUGAAUUUUAUGACUUUGGUUCUCCUAGUUCUCGGAUUAGUACCUUGACCUGCGUAAUUCACUUUAAUCAGGUUAAACACAUGAUAGUUUAGAUGCUAUUAUGGUAAAAAAGUCGAUGAUGGUUUUGAAGUUUAAUUUUGGGUGGCACUACUAGUCAUUGAGAGUUAUAACAGUCCAUCCACUGUUUCAUAUUGCAACUAGCCCAUGAAAACUUAGUAAGCAACUUUCUAAAAUUAGGUGUUUGCCACCGAGGUAGUGAGCACUCUGUUGCAUUUUGACUUGAUCUAGAAUGCUAUUUCUACUUGAGUAAUUCUUGUUUCUUUAGCAAGUACUUGUUCUGAAUCUUCCAUUUUUCUAGAAAUUGCUUGGUCCUUUCAAAGCUUUAUAGCAUUUUUGGUAACCUACUAUAUUGAUGUUUCAGGUGGUUAAUGAUCUGCUUAAUCCUGCUGGGCAGAAUUUAAGAAUCAGGGAGGAUCUUCAGGUGCUGAAUGUCACAAUGUUCACUCAUAAACAUCUUUCCUCUUUUACCUUGUAAUCUGAUUUGCAAUCACUCCUGAUGGGUCUUUUAGCUUAACUAAUCGACAUUUCUCUUUGAGAUUUUAUGCGGUUAUGAUGAUUUGUGCUUGCUUUUCACUCUUAAGAUUGGUAAGCUGAUUGUGGUCUCUAGUUGAGUUUUGGGAGGAAAAAAAAACAUUACACGUAUAUCUCGUUGGUGCCUUGAAAAUUUUCCCUGAAUUGCUCAAGUGUGCACUCAAAACUUUAAAAUUUUUCCUUGAAUUGCUCAAGUGUGCUCUCAAAACUUUAAAUCAAUAAAAUUGUGAAAGUUAGUUUUUGGACUCUGACAAACAGGUAGUUCCUAUACAAAUACAAAACUGAUUUUACUUACUUGGUAAUUAGCUGGUAUGAACCUUUAUCUGGGUAAUAUGGUAAUUUUUUUUUUGCGCUUGUUCUAUUCCUUCAAUCAUGCAUGGCUAGUUCAUGUUUUAGAGCAUGCUUAUAGCUUUUGCUGAAUUCAGUUGAUUGUAAAUUGAUGUUGUUUCUUGAAAUCUGUUAACCUCUCACUGUAGUGAUUGCGUGUUUGUGUUUUACAUGAUCUCAGGGAGCCUUUGUUGAGGGUAUUAAAGAAGAAGUUGUCUUAUCUCCUGCUCAUGCUUUGUCGCUUAUUGCAGCUGGAGAAGGUUAAUAUCGUACUUUGUUCAUAUGAACGUCAAAUCCCUUAAUUCAGAAAUAUUUUGACCUCCCAGACAUGCAAUUUGCUUUCAUUAUCAUUUGUAGUUUCUAGGUGGGAGUUAAUAGGCAUAAAUAUGUUAUUUAAUUAUUCAACUCACUUAGUUGUCUAUGACACUUACAGAAUUCUAAUAGCCAACCCUGCAUUGUUCUUGUAUACUAGAAUAAGCCCAUAAGCUCUGUCAAUUAUACCUCAAUAAAUUAUCUCAUUGUACCUUUUGUUCUAGAAUAAAUCAUUUUUCUUUAGGAUAUCUCUAGGCGUCAUGGACACUAACACGAGAUACGGGACACGACACGACUCGGACACCGCGACACGGCAACUUUCAAAAAAUUAGGACACGGACACCGCUAAUAAAAUAUAAUAUUAUUAAUAUAAUAAUAUAUUUUUAUUAUAUAUAAAAUAUUAAUUUUGGUAAAAUAUUAUUAUAUUUCUCAUACAAAUGAAAGUUAGUGAAAUUUUCAUUAAUAGUUCAUAUAUUUUAAGAAAAAAAUUCUCCACCACACAUAAUUUAUUUAUAUUGUCAAAAAAAUUAUAUACAUUCAUCAAAAAGCUACAAUAUUUAUUAUCUUACAUUAAAUAUGCAUAGAAAAAGUAAAAUAAAAAUAGGUUUAUAUUUUUUUUAGUUGUAUACGCUAUGGAUCAGCAUUAAAUGCGCGUUCAAAGAGUGUCCGAUGAGUCCACAUCGGACACGUGUCCGACAUGGAUAUACGCGUGUUCGACACGAACACGCAAGGCUUAUAGAAGUGUCCGUGAUACAUAGGGAUACCUUCUUGAGUAAAUUGUCUCAGAAUGGUCAUAUAUGUAAUCUUGCAUAGUCCACACUCGACAGAUAUUGAAGUAACUAAUUUCCAAUGAAUAUUUUCUGAUUAUUUGUUAUAUCUGACACCUUCAACUAUGGCUUCGUUAUUUUCUUCUUAGAAUUUUCACUCCUAUAAAAUUUCACUUCUGCUGGGGGCAUACAGUAUCAUUUUUUUGGUUGAUGUAUGCUUUGAUGACCCCAUUUUAGGAGCAGAAGCAGCAACUUGUUUUCUGGGGAAAUGUCCUUUCACUUCUGUACUGCCAUGAGUUGAAAAUUCUAAAUCUUAGUGUGUAAUCUUCUGUUGCUGGUGUAUUUAUGGCUUCUAUCUUUUGAUGGCCUGACAGAGCAUAGACAUGUGGGUUCCAAUAACUUCAAUCUGCUGAGCAGCAGAAGUCAUACCAUUUUCACACUGGUACAUCAAAAUUACUUAUUGCACUUCGCUUAUUUUGGCAUAGAGCAAUGUUUGUAUCAUUGAUUAAAGUUUAAAUGGAAGAAUGAUUAGAAUGGUUUGAAAACAAAUGCAUAUAUUUCUGUGAUUUUCUGUGAUAAACAGUUGAUGACCAAAAAGCUACUAAGCACAGAAAGCAAUAAAAGAUAUCAUACUCCCUUUUAUUGAUUUAAGACACUACCAAGAGUUCUAUUCAGAAGUAGCAUGCAUGCUACUAGCUAGCCAUAGUAAGCUAGAACAUAAGGCUCUAUUGCUGGUGCUGUUGUUUGUUGUCAACAAUUUCAACCUUUUUAACAGUCUCCUGAUACUAUGACAUUAGAAAUGUGUGAGAUACAUCAGAAGAAGACCUGAAGAAACUGUAACCAACUGAUAUAUUAUAAUGGAACUUAUGAGAAAAUGAAUCUUGUAGCUUUUCUGGUUUUUGUUUCUUUAACUUAUUUCAGUCAAAUUUGAGUGCUUUUAAAUUUCAAGGUCUUUAUAUUCAAAUUGUAAUAUGAAUUUCAAGUCUUUGACCUCCAAAUUUGGAAGCCAAUCAAUUCCUUCAUGAUCGGAUCAAAGAUCUCUCCCAUUAAAAUGUAAACUAAAGAAAAUUCAAUGAUACAUUAUUCUUGGUCCUCUCAUCCACAAUUCAAAAGCACGUCUCUUAUUUAUAGGUGUCGCUGAGAAAGAUAGUAAAAUUUAGAUGGACUAACUAUUUAGCUUUGUUUUGGAAUGUAUUAUGUUUCCUUUUUGGAAGCUCACUCUAUAGCAGCUUGUGCAAUCGUUAGUUCUAUGCAGCUUUAGGGUAUCUGCCAGAAGACAACAAUCAUGGUUGUUAAAUCUUCAUUUGCUUCUUGUAAAUAAGGAAGAUUUUUUUUUGCAAUGCUGACUUCAUAAAGUUUUAUUGUCCAAUAUACAAAUAAGGUUGUAUAUUUUGCCAUGAAAAUGUUUCUAUCUUCUGUUUUUCUUCUACUUAGCAUCCCAACCAUGUUUCACAAUAUUCUGCACUGCUGUGAAAGCACUAUGAAAUUCUUUAUUUUGAAGCUUCAAGUUGAUAUUUCCUUGUGCUUUCUAAUUACAGACGAUAGAGAGUAGCCCCUGCGGUGACUGUAGUGAAGGAGAAGUCAAUUUUUCGCAACUAGUGAGUUCAUAUUCACAAUGCUUUUGACUGGUUCUUCCUAAUACAAUUGUAUUAAGUUUGUUAUCUUACCAAAUCUUAGUUUGUUUACAUGAUUUAUUUUUACUUAAUGUUAUUCUCUUAGAUAUUUGUCGUGAGUCAAAAAAAAAGGGAAAAUAUAUAUCAAGCUUUUGAUGAUGGUUUGGUCUAUCGACCAAAAUUUACUUAAUACUAUGCAGUUAGCUAUUUGAUUCCUUGUUUUAAUUUUCUUUUACUCAUCUGCAGAACCUCAUCGAUCUGGCAGGUUCAGAGAGCUCAAGAGCUGAAACAACUGGAAUUCGCCGAAAAGAAGGAUCCUACAUCAAUAAAAGCCUGUUAACUCUUGGAACUGUGAGGCUAAAAACAUAAUAAAUCUACACAAAGUUAGAUGUUCACUAAGUUUCCUUCUCGUAACUCCAUGUUUUUACCUAAUUGUGUUCUUGUGGAACAUGGUAUUUCAGUUCCAUUACUCGAUCCAUCUUAUAAUAUCCUUUCUAUAGCUAUAUUCAAAUUGGUGCUCAUCCUCCAAUAUAUGUUGUGUAGCAAGAGCUUUUAUUUGAUGAGUUUUUAUAUGAAUUACUUUAUCACCAAUUGGCUAUAUUGCUUUCAUGUCAAGCCUUUCUGUUUGAUUUUUGUUUAGUUUCAUUCCUGGGAACCUAGCACCAAAACAUCUGCAGCUUUCCCAUAUUUUUGCUUUCGAAUGUGGACAAUCUCCUACUGUGGGAAGAUGGCUUAGACAAUGAUGUUUAUCGCUCCAAAUUGAGAUCACCAAUUGACCUACGAUAUACUUGUACUUAUCCAGUGGUUAAAAAGUAUUCAAAUCUGACCGGGCGUUUCAGUUUUUCUCAUGCUUAGCUUUCCAUCUAUCAUUGAAGAUGACAGCUUUAAUGAGAAAUUCCCAAACUAAUUAGCAUCUAUACAUUGAAGCUAGUUUAGCUAUAUAAAUAUUUAUAAUUGUAAAUCUUACAUAUGUUAGGGCGAUUAUUUUGAAUAUAGGUAAGAUUAAGAUAGUUGGGCUUGUGCUUUUCAGGUAAUAGCGAAAAUAACUGAUGGAAGGGCUACACAUAUUCCAUAUCGUGACUCAAAAUUAACACGACUACUGCAAUCCUCUUUGAGUGGUCAUGGGCGUGUUUCUGUAAGUUGCACUGAACAAUGCAUGUGCAAUUGAAAUUGAGCCAAUAACUUGUAGUGAUUCCUGAAGUUUGGCCAUUUUCAUUUUGUAAUAAAACUGUAAACUGUUGGUUAGAUGUCUAAUAUUUGCACUCUUCUGCAGCUUAUUUGCACAGUUACCCCAUCAUCUAGUAAUACUGAAGAAACGCACAACACUUUGAAAUUUGCUAAUCGAGCAAAACAAAUUGAGAUUCAAGCAUCGCAAAAUAAGGUAUAUCACUUUGCUUGUACAAUUGAGUAAUUUAGACUAUUCUUCGCUGUCGCUCAAUUUAACGGAAAAUUUUUGUUUUGUUUCAAGACAAAUAUGUCUAUUCAAUUUUUGACUUAUAUUAUAUUUGUUCUUUUGUUACCUAAUUUACUUAUCCGACAAAUACACAUCCUAUGCAGAUUAUUGAUGAGAAAUCUUUGAUUAAGAAGUAUCAAAAUGAGAUCCACAGAUUGAAGGAAGAACUAGAACAACUGAAAAGGGGCAUUGUUACUGGCACUCCUUUGAAAGAUACUGGAGAAGAUGAUAUUGUCCUGCUGAAACAAAAGGUCAACAUAACUUCAAGACACUCAAUUCUUUUGGCAUCUAGUUUUCAAUUUUACCUAUCCUUCACGGUGUUCCUUUUCCAUGGUGAUUUUACUUUAAAAUGACUGUACAUUUUGACUCGGUGAUGGUAUUAAUUGAAAAGCUAGAAGAUGGUAACGUGAAGCUGCAAUCGAGAUUGGAACAAGAAGAAGAUGCUAAAGCUGCUUUGCUAGGGAGGAUACAGCGUCUAACAAAGCUGAUUCUUGUUUCUACAAAGACAACUCAGGCUUCAAGGUUUCCUCAACGUCCUGGUCCAAGGCGAAGACAUUCAUUUGGAGAAGAGGAGGUUUGGCGAUUCAAAACUGUUCAUUCCUGCAUAUUUCUAUUUUCAGAUCUAUUUCCUAAUCUUGAGAAUACAUUCGUAAAAUGCAGCUUGCUUAUCUCCCAUAUAGAAGGCGAGAUAUGAUCUUGGAUAAUGAAAGUAGUGACUUUUUCGUCCCAGCCGAAGGAUAUGGUGAAACUACUGAAGAUACUUCAAAGGAGAAGAAAAAUCGCAAGCAUGGGCUCCUUAACUGGUUUAAGCAGCGGGUGUGGAUUAUUAAAUCCUGGAUAUCAAUUUGCAUUUUAGACUUCAUAUCCAUGCCGUGUGUCAUUAUCUUUUGAUUUCUUUUUCUUAUGUAGAUUCAUUUAGGGGCUGUUUGGUUGCAUGCAGUAACCACAUGCAAAUUUAAAUUCGACGUUUGGUUUGAUGCGUUUGAAUCCAAGUGCUGCAGUUGGAACUACAUGAGACCCAACUGUAGUUGGAACUACGUCCAAAUUGGCUGCAGUUCCAACUGUAGCAGUUGAGGAGAGUAACCUCAAACAAGAGGUAAGCUUACCUCCUUAAUUACUUUUUAAACAAAAAAAAAAUAUUUUUUAUAUUGGAGGUAAUCUCACCACCAUGUAUAUAAAGUGAUAAAGUUUUACAAACACACUUUUCAACUACAUGCAAUCAAACGAAUUAUUUAUAAGGGUUAAUUUCAGACAGGUCUCUACAAACAUAGUAAAUUAUAAAUAUAUUCCUACAAAGUUCAACUUUCAUAUGUUAUCUCUGCAAAUGUCCUGAUGUUUUCAAAUGUCCCUAUCGAUAGGAUUCGUUAAAAAAAAUUAGUUAAUCAUAGAUAAAAUACUUAACCCUAGUUAGUUAAUGAGGUGAAUUGACCUUUUUACCCCUUUUUAAUUAAUAGUUGGGACUUUUGGAGGGACAUAUUUAUGAUGUCAAAAAGGUCAUUUUACUUAUAAAAUAAACUGUAUUUUAAUGGUAACAAAUCAGAGAGAUAUAUUUGAAAAUAUUAGGACUUUUGUAGGGACAAUAUAUGAAAGUUGAAUUUUGUAGGGAUAUAUUUGCAAUUCACUAUAUUUGCAAGGACCUGUAUGAAAUUAACCCUAUUUAUAAUUGCAGCACGUUUUACUGCAUCCAUCUAAAUGAGAUAUAUGUAAUUGUAACUGCUGCAUCUCUAACUGCUUGCAUCUUCAUCUACAUUGCAUUUCUAAUUACGUCAAACCAAAUGACUCCUUAGUGUAAUUAGACUUUAUUUAAUAAAUCAGUCUAGAUUUUGGCCUUCCUUUCCUGGUUUGGUCAUCCAAUAUUAACUAAAUUUUUCUUGUAUUUUGCUCUUAAGUGAUGCACUCAGUAAAUGAAGUGGCUGAAUAAUCUUUUCCAUCUGUUUCUGACUAAGACCAUUUUGGUCUUAUCCAUGCACUGCUGGAUCAUAAUUAGGAAAACAUUGCCCAACCAUCACAUCAGCGUUAUUGUUUUGUCCUUGUCUUCUUUAUUCAUUCUCAUGCAAUUUGUACUGCUCCCUGCAGAAAAGAGAUAGUAGUGGAACUACACUUACAAGUUCAGAUGGAGAUAAGUCGAGUGGAACCAAAUCAUUUACUGCUCCUUCGACUCCCCAAGCAGAGAGUGUAACCUUUCCUCCAGAGCCCAGGAUAUCGACUUCUAUUGCUGUGGAAAAUAUCACCGCUGCUAUCGUGGGACAUGAUAGAGAACUCCCUUCUGACAGCCUUUCAAGGGAUGAGACACCUUUGGUAUGAGAUUUCUGAAUUUUCUCAAAAGAUAAACAUUAUAUAUUCUUUCCUUUCUUGUGAGUAGCUAUAUGUUUUUUUUUUUUUUUAAUGAAAGCAAGCACCUCAUACUCUCCUAUUCAAAGAACAGACAAAUUUCUAGAAAUACUGCUAUGAUGUUGGAUUUGCUCUUUGUUAUAGUUUUCCAUCUUUGGAUAGCUUUCUUAUAAGAUAAUACUCAAAAGGACAAAUAAAUUUCUAGAAAUACUGUUGUAAUGUUUGAUUUACUUUUGUUCUGCCACUACAAGUUUGGGCAUAUGAAGCAUGGAUGAGUUUGAACCCUAUUGGUAUAUCUUUCCAUCUUUGGAUAGCUUUUCUUAUAAGAUAGUAAUCGCACUGUCAUCUUCACAAAUUCAUUUUCAAAGAACUAAACUAAGCUGAAAUCAAAUGAUAGUAAUCAUAGUCGAACUUUCAUCUUCACAAAAACAUUUUUGAGUAAUGUAGCUCUGCUGAAAUCAAACUUUGUUAACAAGAUGUCCUGACCAUUAAUAUCAAAGCUCUAAAUUUGUAAUUACGUAUAACUUAAUAACCACAUAACUCUGUGGAGCUGUAUCUGCUUUCUCAAUUUAUGGCACUCGAUUAUAUAUUAGUAACAUCAUAUGUUAUGUGAUGACAGGCUAGCAUAAAAACUAUAGAUCAUGUUGAUUUGCUCAGAGAGCAACUCAAGAUUUUGUCCGGAGAAGUUGCACUCCAUACCAGCGUCUUAAAGCGGCUCUCAGAAGAAGCAGCAAAUAGCCCCAAGAAGGAACAGAUUCAGGUAAUCUUUUACCCUCCUGCACUCCAUGAUCUGCACAAAUAUACACGACACUUGAUAAGCCAUUUAUUUGUUGCAGAUGGAAAUAAAGAAGAUUAAUAAUGAGAUUAAGGCCAAGAACCUGCAGAUAUCUUCUUUGGAAAAGCAGAUGGCUGAUUCGAUAUCAGCUACUCAGGCCAAGGCGGAUAAAUCAGAACUUUCACCGGUAAGGCAGUAAUUUUCAUUCUACGCUACUUGUUAUUCCGGAUAGUCACUAUAAUUGGCGGAGCCACUUUUUCUUGCAGUCUUAUGCUCAACUACUCGAGCAACUCAACGAAAAGAACUUUGAACUUGAGGUAAUAAAACAUUAGUCCAUUGUAUCCUCUUUAAUGCAAACCCUUCGCUUAUUUACAGCAUAAUAAACAAUACAAAAGUCAUGUUGGGUACUAUUCAGUGUGGUCUUUAAGGAACUGCUUGAACUGAUUGCUGAGGCAAUCACUUUGCAAUCUAUGACAGGUUAAGACUGCGGACAACAGAGUGAUACUCGACCAGCUGCAGAAUAAGGUUGGACUUGAUUUGUACAAUUAUAAAUAACAUGCCUAAAUUGUUAUGGAGAACCUGAUCAUCAUGUUUUAAUUUAUUCUCCUUGUCAGACACGAGAAUGUGAAGUGUUACAGGAAAUCGUCACUUCACUAAAAGAGCAGCUAUCGCAAGCACUUGAAGAAAAGGAAUUGUCUUUGUCAUGCGCUCGAUUAGAGAAUGAUGUCGCAGGAGCUAAUGAUGGAAAAGAACUGCACGUAGACAUAGAAAAGAAAGCAACAAGAGAUGUUACUGCUGAGUUAUUGCUACAAGCACAUCAGGUCACAUCUAUUCUCUUAUAAUAUGUUUGACUCUGAUGAUCGUAGUACUGCAAAAUCUAUUUUUAAGGUAGCUUUACUUGUUUUAGAAUUACUUCUAAUUCUCUUUUCUGAUAACUUUAUGACCUUCUUGCCUCUUCAUUACUUGUUUUUACUCCCUCAGGCAUCUGAGAUCGAAGAACUGAAGCAGAAGCUCCAGGAACUCAUGGAAACGAGAACCCAACUAGAAGCCCGGAAUCAGAAGCUAGUAGAGGAGAGUGCAUACGCCAAAGGGUUGGCCUCAGCUGCAGGAGUGGAACUAAAAGCUCUAUCUGAAGAAGUCACCAAGCUCAUGAACCACAAUGAGAGGCUCGCCAAUGAAUUGGCAUCCGUUAGAAAUUCUAAUCAACGGAGAGUGAGUAACGGACCGAGAGCUAUGAAAAGAGAGAGCCACAUUAAGCGCCAUGAACCUGUAAAUAAGAGGGAGGUGAAUGUGAGCUACGAGAGAGAGCUCGCUCUCGAAGCUACAAUCGUUGAGAAGGAGCAGAGAGAGGCAGAGCUCCAAAAGAAGCUCGAGGAGUCGAAACAAAGGGAAGCCUUUCUAGAGAACGAGCUGGCUAACAUGUGGGUCCUUGUGGCAAAAUUGAAGAAGUCGCAAGGGAGCGAGCAAGAUGAUUCGGAUGCCAAAUUGAAAGAUCCCUAAUUGGCAAAGGUUAGGGCAGGAAAGAGGAUAACUAGAUUUUAGUCAUCGUGUUGAUUCGGGUGUUUCUGUAUGUAAAAGAGAGGUUAUUGUAUAUUUGUGUGCUUCUUUUGUAAUAUGGAUCCGGGUUGUCUCUGUUGCUUCUAUUCUUUGAUUAGUUGCUCAAAUUUGUGAUAUAAAAUGUCUGUCUGGCAACAAAAAGCAUGUAUUUGAUGCAAUGACAGUAUUAUAUGCUCCUGCUCAGUCGCUGAUCCAAAAUUCAGUGAAAGCAGCAGCAAAUUAUGUUUGGUUCUUUAUUAAGCCCUGUAAUUUUUAUGGCUAUCGUGAGGAAUGGGAAUUGCGAAUCUGCUUCUGAAAAAUAAGAAGGAAAGAGGAUCUUUUUUUCAAUUCCUUUUUUUUUGUGAAGAUGCCAGCAGGCUACUUGCAUGUAGGGGUGGCAAUUCAGCUCACUGUUUGCAAGUCAGCUCAUGUUCAGCUUGAAAUGAGCUCGAGAUCGAAUCGCUCGUUUAGUAAACGAGCCAAACACGAGUUGAAUUUUUUAGCUUAUUUAGUAAACGAGCCGAACACGAGCUGGAGUCAGCUUACUCGUGUUCUGCUCGAUAAUAGCUCGAAUACAUAUAUUUUAUAUUUAUAUAAUUUAUAUUUAUAUAUAUUUAUAUAUAUAAAUAAAUAAUUAUAUAUAUUUAUUAUUUGAUUUUAUCAAAAUGAAAAUAUAAAUGCGAGCUUAAUUAUAAAAAAAUUUAUUUAUAUAUAAAGUUUCGAUCAAUUAGAUCAAAGUCUAAUGAGUAGUUUUUAUAAUUCAAUUUUUAUAUAUAUAUUCCAUCUAAUAUUAACUUAUUGUUCACAAUGAGCCGAACACGAGCUGGAUUUUUUAGCUCGAUAACUUUAACGACUCAACUUGUAUUCGACUCGUUUAUUAAACGAGCUGAACACGAGACGACCCAGCUCCUUCGUGUUCGGCAGGUAGCUCAAGUUUUUAUAGAUAAAUGAUUAGUUUAUAUUAUUUAACGUAAUAUUAGCACAGGAUGUUUGCAUUUCAAAUUUCGUUAGGUCUCCAGUCUUGUUUAAAUAUAAACAGGGCCCUUAUAAAAAAAAAAAAAAAGGACGAAAGAGAGAGAGAACCGUCAUUUUGCAUGCUGAAGUAUCAGCGCCACGUGAUUACUGCUAAACAGAGCCCGAAUCACAACCUGUCAUGUCAACGGACCACUCUUUUUAAUUUUUAUUUUUAAUCUUUUACACUGCAUGAAAUCACUGAUGUACGUAAAUCAAAUCUCCUAGUCCUUAUUAUUAUUAUUAUCAUUUUUAAUCUUUUACACUGCAUGAAAUCACUGAUGUACGUAAAUCAAAUCUCCUAGUCCUUCUUAUUUCGCUGUCAUCAGGAAUGAAGUCCGCAAUUAAAAUUCGCCCGUGGGAGCGAAGAUUUGGAUUCAGCAGAGAAAGAUUUCCGCCUCGAAUAAUUAAGAAAAGAGUUUGUCAGUUUAUUACAGCGAGUUGGAAUUCUACACUAUUACACUUGUACUACAUCAUCGAUAACAAAUCAAUCACAUUUUUUCUUUUUAAAUAAAAAUACAUUAAAAAUAUUUUUUUACAAUCAUGAUCGGACAUAUACUUCUAAGGGCACGUUUGGUUCGCAAGAUUACUAAGGAUAAACAGAUAUCCGAGAAUCUUAUUUUUAUGCAUUCUAUUACUAAGAAUGUAAUAUUUCGAUAUUUGGUUCGUACGGUCAUAUUAUUUAGUCGUACUAUUUGAGAUUACGAAAAAUAUACAAUUAAUUUUUUUUAAUUAAUUUUAAAUAAUACUAUAAAAAAAAUUCAACAUCUUUUUAGAAUGAGAGGGUUGAGAUUUUAGAAAAAGAGAGGGAGAAAUAGUUAAGUUUAGAGAGAGAAAAAGAGUUGAAGUUUAGAAAAAAAGAGAUAAAUUAGAUAGAGAUAUGAAAUUAGAAUGUAAAGAAAAAUAAUACCAACUAGCCGGCCAGUGGGAAAAAAGAAAAAGAUUAGACAUAUUAUGAUUACCUCAAUUCAUUACUCUCUCAAAGGAAUGAGAUUAGUACUUUGGGAUGAAUCUCAUUCCCAAGUAAAUCUAGUAUUAUCAACUAGAUUACUUAGUACAUUUAGCUAAAUACCGUAAUAUUUUUUUAUUCCUAUUGGAUUACUAGAAAUCUUAAAAAGAUAGUGCGAAUCAAACGCACCCUAAAAAGAGACAUUUGAUUGAUUUGUUACGCCACGUCACCAAUAUACCCGUUGCAUUCUAGAAUUUUACCAACAAGGAGACGAGGACGAUGUGCUGAAAUAAGAGUAGGACUAGAGAGACGGUGGUGGAAAAGGGUUGAGAUCGGAGUUGACGAAAAGAUUAAUUGAGAAAACAAAUUUAGUUAAAAAGUUUUAAUAUUGGCCCACGUAAAACCAAAGAUAAAAAUAUAUAAAACUUAUCUAAAUAAUAUAUAAAUUAUUUUGAUUUUCCUAUCUAAUCUUUCAAUUUAUUUAAUUUGAAUUAGUUUAUAGUACACUUCAACUUUAAAAUUAAAUUUAAUUAUUUUAAUAAAUAUGUGAUUGCGAGAAUUGUUUGGAGCAUAUAUACUAGCCAAACCUGUUAAGAUAACGACGCAUUCAAAUUUUAAAGCAAAAGAACCGUUAACUGACUUAAAUCAAAUAAAUUGAAAAGGGUGGUAAAAUCAAAUUGAAAGUUUUAAGUGCUCAAUAAUUCAGAUAUCAAACUAUGAUUUGUAAUUUUUCGACUUUUACUAUAAAGGACUUAUACAUAACAUUCUAAAAUUGAGGGAGGCAAAUAGGCAAUGGCCACUGGAGUCUCAUAAUGGCUCUGUCCCUCACUGUCACAGUAUGUCCCGUACGUCCGAUUAAGUUAUUUAAUAAUAAUCUAUCUAUAUUAUUAUAUGAUAGUAAUAUUUUUUUAAUUGGAAGUAAAUAAAAAUUAAUUUUUACAUUUUUGGAAAAUUUUGACAUCGAUAUAUCUUGCUUAGAUAGUGUUUUUUAUUUAUAAAAUAUUUUAUCUUCAUUCGUGAAAAUAAAUUGAAGAUUGAAUUUGAUUUUUGAUUCAAGAAAUAUAUUCAAACGUACUUCCUAUUUACACCUUCUUAGGAUGUGUUUGAUUACUUGUAAAAUUCAUCCGAAAAAAAAAAUCUCGGUUGAAAAAUAAAAUUCUAAUGUUUGUUUGCUUGCAAAAAAAUUUCGAAAAAAGUUUUACAAACGGGAAGGAAAAUCGAAGUUUUCAUUUUCAGCUCGAUCUGAGCGGUUUUGUCAAAUGUUUUAUAUGAAGAAACAAAAAACGCGCGAUGCAGCAAAAUAAUAAUUUGUACAAAGAAAAAUUCAUCUCAUUCCUUGUGAAUUUUUCUUUUGAGAGAAAGGUAGCAAGUUAUUCUUUUCUUUUAUUUUAGAAAUAAACUCCUGGUACUAACUAUCGAAUUUUUUAAUCAACUACAUUAAGUACUGCCAGUACAAAUAAAUAUUUUUUUAAAAAAAUUCCAAAUAAAUAGUAUGACACUGCAUCUUAGGGGCAGUUUGAUUGCAUGCAGUUGCAACUACACUGCAAUUAUAACUGCAUGCAAAGACAAAUUUUGUGUUUAGUUUGACAUAUUUAACUUCAACUAUUACAGUAAAAACUGCAGAAGGAAAUUCAACUAUAAUAGUUGGAAUUACGUCCAAGUUGGCCGCAAUUCCAACUAUAAUAGUUGGAGAGAGUAACUUUAAGCAAAAAUUAUGCUUAUCUCCUUAACUAUAGAUAAAAACUAUUUUUCACAUUAGAGAUAAUCUUACUAUCAUACAUAUAAUAAUAAUAAUAAUAAUAAUAAUAAUAAUAAACUUUUAAAAAUAAUUUUUUAACUGCAUUCAAUCAAACAAAUUAAUAAUUUAUAAUGAUAAAAUUUUAAAACUUAUUUCUUAACUGCAUGCAAUAAAACAAAUAAUUUAUAAUUAUAGUAAUUUUACUACAUCGAAUAAAAUAGAAUGCACGAAAUUACAACUGACCAAUUUUUAUAUUAUCAUAGAUAGUGUAUUUAUAAUAUCUAUUUCUCUAUAUUAAAGGAGGGUUUGGGGACCUUGGGGUGACAUGUGUUCUCCCAAACCCCUUUUACUCUUCCCUCUAUAUAUAUAUAUUAUAAUUAUUAUAUAUAUUAUAUAUAUAUAUAUCAAAAUUUAAAAUUUUGAUACUUUUCAAAAUUUUAAAUUUUUAAAUUUCAAAUUAAUUUAUAAUAUUUAUUUUUCAAAUUUUAAAUUUUAAAAUUUAAAAUUUUUAAUCUCUAAACUCUAUAAAAUUAAUUAAUUAAUUAAUUUUAUUAAUAAAUUCAUUGUAUAUAAUAUAAUUAAUUAAUAUUAUUAAUAAUACAGCUAAUAAAUCGCAUAAUAAAAAUCUAUUUGAUCGAUGCUAUAAAAAAUACAUAAUUUAAAUUUGAAUUGUAAGAUUUUAAAAAUAGUGCGUGUGUAUAUAUAUAAUUAAUUUUAUUAAACAAAUUCUUCCAUUAUUUUAUUUCCCUUCUAUUUAUUUUUUAAAAUUAUUUUGAUAUAUUUAUCAUAAAUCUUUUUUUGCAUAAAUCUUUAUAAAAUAAGUUGUCGUUUUAAUAAAUUUUAUUUAAAUAAAAUUAACUAUUAAAUUAUUUUUAUAUAAUUUUUAUUUAAUUAAUAAUUAGAUUUAUAAAAUUAUUUAAAAAUAUAAAAAACUAAAAUUUAUUAAAAAAUAUUUUUAAAUUCCCAGCAUCGCGCGGGUAUUUCACGGAUAAUUAUAUUAAACCAAAGGGCCCUUUAGUAGACAUCGGCAAGUGGCAUAGUUGACGUUUUAAAAAAAAAAUUAAAAAAAAAGAGAAUAUUAUUAACUGCUACUUAAUGAGCGGCAGUGCCUCAAAAGACUCAAUUAUUUAAUUUUUUAAGGCCUGUGUUGUUGACUUGGUUGUCUCGCCUCAAUAUAUUUUGUAGUUCGUGACCCUGCACUAUAUUUAAAGCCAUGUAUGUAGCACCAUAAGUAUUGCGUUGAAUAAAGGUAAAAGUAUACAGAACUUACCUGACAUGUAAAAUAUUUAGAUUUGAUUAUUUAAUUUUUUAAAAUUUUAAUUUUAUUAUCUAAUUUUUUAAUUUACUUGAUUUGAAUUGAUUAACGAUAUGCUGACUUUAAAAUUUAAGCUAAUUCUUUACUUUAGUAAACUUAUAGCGGUAAGAAUUCUAUACAAUAUAUUAAUUAAAUAUAUAAAGAUAUAUAAACGCUGCAUUUAAAUUUCAAAUUAAAAAAAUUAAAAGCUUAGAUAGUAAAAUUAAAAUUUUAAAUAAAUUGGACAACUAAAUCUAAAUGCUCCAUAGUUCACCAUUUGAUUUUAUCUUGAAUAAAUGACCUUUUUAUGUACCGUAAGAACUGUGUGACUAAAAUGAAAAAAUAUUACUUUUAGAAAUCAUUAAAAUCUAAUGUAAUGGGAGAUACAACAGUUACAACUAUGUAUAUUUCAUUUGGUUUGACGCAGUAAAAAUCGUUGUAAUUAUAAAUAAUUUAUUUAGUUGCAUGUAGCUGAAAAGUAUAUUUGUAAAAUUUUACCGGAUGAUGAGAUCACCUUUAAGGUGGAAAAGAAAAAUAAAAAAUCAAUUUAAAGAAUGAUUAGGACCGUAAGCUUAUCUUUCGAUUAAAGUUAUUCUCUUCAACUGUCGCAGUUGGAACUCCAACAAAUUUAGGUAUAGUUUCAACUACUACAGCCUGCACUUGGACCUUUUUAUGUAGUUUCUACUGUAAUAGUUAAAUUCAAACGCAUCAAACCAAAUGUUAGAUUAAAAAAUGAAAAACCCUAGGAGAGAGGAUAAAAUAUUAAAUUCCACAAUUUCUCCAUUUCUAAUACAAGUAAUCUAAUCUUAACAUAAAACUUUCAAAACCAUAUCUCUAAUUUCUAACAAUUUAUUCAAUAAUACAAAAUUUCAAAAAUCUAAAUAAAUUCACUAAAUAAAAUUUUGAAAAAUUUAAAUUUUGAUAACUAAAGAAAAUAAUUUUUUGAUCCUAAUUAAUUUUUUAAUUGCGUCACUAGCUUGACACCCAUCAAUACAAAAUAUAUAUGUUAGCCUUGGGUGAAAAAAUUAGUGCACCAUGAAUAAUCAUAUGCAUGUGUAUUCAAUAUGAAAAAUAGGUGCAAUUAGUGGAUAAUAGGAUAGAUAAAAAUAACAUGAACUCAUAAUUAGAUCUGAUAUCAUGUUACUUAAAAGUUUGAUCCAAUAAGAAAAUGCUCAAAAAUAUUUGUAACAGUACUCAAACUGUAUAGCAAAUACUAAAAUGUGAGGGACUUGUUAUGCCUUUCUCGGAAAUUAGAAAGUCUCUGGAACUCUCUUUGCACUUCUCAAUGAAUGUGGAGCCACAAACCUAAAAGGCAUCUUUUUUAUUUAUCAAUAAAGUGAUUUAUACUUGUGUUAGAGCUUUUUCCCUUUAGGAAAAAAAAAAAAAAAAGUAACUUAUGAGUUGUGUCAUUGUGUGUCACUGUGUGUGUGUGUGUGUGUGUGUAAGAGAGAGAGAGAGAGAGAGAGAGAGAGGGUUUACUUAACUCAUAAGAAGAAGAUCAUGAAUCUAUGUCUAUGUAUAGAGGCUUUGAUUAGUAGUCUAAUAAAUAAAUCAAGUUAAUUUAUCACCAAAAAUAUAGAUAAAAAAUGUAUGGAGACCCCCUUUCAAACUAAUCUUUUCAAAUUUUUAUUUGAUUUUUUAUAGUUAAAAGUUGUAUCAAUUUAAUAACUUUGUUGGUUAUUAACCAUUAACUGAUCUGGUUUUGCCGGCUAAUCAAUAAAUUUGAUUAAAUUUUUAAAAUUUUUUAACUAAAAUUACAUAAUUUGAAAAAAUAAAAAGUUGAAAGCGUUUCAAUAAAACGAAAAAAAAAUUGAGAAGCAAUUUUAAAAUUUAAUAUAGUUGAAGGGUCUGCGUGCAUUUUUACCCAGAAAAAGAUUAAAUGCAUACAGGUCUGUGCAAAUAUAUUUCUAUAAAGUUCAACUUUCAUAUAUUGUCUCUCUAAAACUUCUAAUAUUUUUAAAUAUGCCUUUUUGAUUUAUUACUGUUAGAGAGCUGUUUAUAUUUUAAUAGCAAAUAAAUGAAAUAUUAAUUUUGCCAUCACAAAUAUGUCUUUUCGAAAGUCACAAUAGUAUAAUAUAAGAGGGAUAAAAAUAUCAAAUUAUUUUAUAAACUAACCAAGAUUAAGAUUUAAUCUAUUUAAAAUUUUCUAACGGAUUCUAAUGGUAAGAACAGGACUUUUACACAAACAACAUAUUAAAAUUAGAUUUUAUAAAAAUAUAUUUUUAAUUCAUUAUAUGUUCACAGCAACAUUAAAAAAAAAAAAAAGAAAAAGAAAAAGAAAAAAAAAGCACAGACACACACACACAAACACAAUUGAUUACUAAUUACGGCGGAUCUAGGAUGAGGGCCACCGAUUCCUUCUGCAGCGCUUUACGGGUGCGUUUGGUUCGCGCUAUCUUUUAAAGAUUCCUAAUAAUUCAAUGGGAAUAAAAAAAUAUAACGGUAUUUGGCUAAACGUACUAAGUAAUCUAGUUGGUAAUAUUGGAUUCACUUGGGAAUAAGAUUUAUACCAAAGUACUAAUCUCAUUUUCUUGAGGGAGGAUGGAUAUCCUCAUAUUAAUGGAUUGGGGUAAUCAUAAUAUGUCUAAUUUUUUUCUGUCUUCCUAUCCGCCGGCUAAUUGAUAUUAUUUUUUUUUACACUCUAACCUUAUAUCUCUCUCUAAACUUAUUUUUCUCUCUAAAAUUCAACUUUUUUUUCUCUCUCCAAACUAAGCUCUCUCUCUCUCUUUCUAAAAUUUCAACUCUCUCACUUCCUCUAAUUUCGACUAUAUUUUUCUUUCUAUUUUUUUAAUUAUGCUCUCUCUCUCUAACUUAUACGCUCUCUCUAUUUUUUCUAAAAAGAUAUUGAAACUUUUGGUAACAUUAUCUAAAAUUAAUUGUAUAUUUUUUGUAAUAUUAAAUAACAUGACUAAUUAAUAUUACCGUGCGAACCAAACACAGAAAUUCCACAUUCUUAGUAAUAGGAUGAAUAUGAAUAAGAUUCUCGGAUAUCUUUUAUUCCUAGUAAUCUUUUAUAAUGCGAACCAAACGCAUCCUACAAGUAAUCCCAACCCUUCCUUUUUGCCUGGUCGGCGGCACGUGUCACUUUUCCAAUGGCCAACCAUUGUGCACCUGGUCCAGUGGGACCACACCAAACUUGGACGUAUCCUCCUCGGCCCACUCAAUGAAAAAGGAACCCCCCACUCCAUAGCUCUAUAAAACGAAAAAUUCUAGAAUGCAACGGGUAUAUUAGUGACGUGGCGUAACAAACCAAUCAAAUUAAUCCUUUUAAGAAUAUAUGUUCCAUCAUGAUUGUAAAAAAAUACUUUUAUUGUACUUUUGUUUGAAAUGAAGGAAUGUGAUUGGCUUGUUAUUGAUGACGUGGUGCAAGUGUGACAGUGUAGAAUUCCUCCUAUAAAACCCCCCAUAUAUCACACUCCAUGUAUACUUAUAAUUGAGCUUCAAUUUCUCACAUGGCGAACGCUUACUAUUUUCACAACACCCCCCCCUACUACCACCAAAACCCUUAUUCCCAGGCACACCACCCCAGCUCCCACGCAGCGCAACCCUUCCCCCUCCACCUCUGCUUCUUCCUCCUCACCCUCUUCCUCUUCAUCGCCUUCUCGUGGUACAUGAGCUACGAGUCGGCCCUCGAGAGCCUGAUCGAGCAGGUCAAGUUCCUCUUCAUGGUGUCGCCGCUGGUGCUGCUCCUGGUGGUGCACCUGAUGUCGAGCCGCGAGAGGCGGCACGUGCCGUUCUUCGCGCCAUUGCCAGAACACCAGCAGCCUUUCUACUGCAGCCGCGGUCGCGCGGGCGGAUCCCCGUGGGGGGUCGCGCUCGUGCUGGUGCUACUUAUGUUCAUGAUCUCCUACCAGUCUUACUUCCACGAGAGGUGGUUCCCCCUGCUGAGCAGGUGAUCAGGGGCCAAAUUAAUUAAAUAAAUAAACUUGUGUGUGGUUUAUAUAUAUAUAUAUAUAUAUAUGCUUUGUUUUGUAUAAGAAGGGCUAGCUAGGCUUCUUAAUUUGCUUUUCUUAUGGGGCUAAAGAAGAGGGGCAAGAUAUAUACAUGUGUGCUCCACUUUAAUAUUCCUUCCAAAUAUUAAUGCAUUAUGUUAAGUCCUAUGGUAAUAUGUAGAGGUUUCUUUUUUCUUUUUUCUUUUUUCUUUUUUUGAUAUUUCGCAGAUUUUUCGAGAUUCCAAAUACCUCAACUCUCUUUUUUUUUUUUUAAUGGUUUAAGAGAUGAUUAUAAAGCUAGACUACAAUGACAAGGAGACUAAAAACUUAGCAUCGGACCAGCUAUUGUCACACCAAAAAAAGGAAGAAAAAAAAAAAAAAAGAAAAGCAAAACAAAGCGGCUAAAUACCUUGAUUUAUAACUUAUAAUCGAUCGUAGCUUGGUAAUUGGGAUCGAAGCCAGUCGGGAAAAAAAAAAAUUCACUGAGGAGCUCUCGAACAACACUUCAUUAAAAAAAAUUCUAAUCCACAUGUAUUACUUUAUCUUUAUAGGAUUAUAAUCAUUCCUUCUAGAAUUUUUUUUUAAAAAAAAUUAAUAUUAAAAAAUAAUUCAACAAACUAUUGGAUGAAAGUAAAACUAAUACGUGACAGUGGACCUGGAGCUUUCCAAAAAAGUCAUCUAUUCUGUCGUGAAGUGUCACUUUUUCUCCAUUCAGAAUUAUAUGUUGGCUAAAUUACAAAAAAUCUUUCUGUAAUAAUCUGUUUUUUUACUUUUUCUUUCUGACAUUUAAAAAUCUACAUUUUACUCCCUUGUAAAAUAAAAAAUAUUCACAGGGGGUUACGGCGUGUAAAAUGAUCAUUUUGCCCCUCGUCAUUUUCGUCUUCUUCCUCAUCUUCCUCAGCCGCCCCUUCGAUCGGCCGCGAUUUCUUUCUAUUUCCUUCUCCACCUACUCCCCUUCUCCUCCAGCACCCUCGCCGUCCCUCGAUUUUAACGAUAGUAGGGAGAAAAUUGAGGUGGGUGUUGAUGGAGAGGUAGGCAAGGGCAACGAGGGCGAAGGCGAGGCGGCGGAGGAGGGCGAAGGGGAUGUGGGCGAGGGCGAGGCAGUGGAGGACGGUGAGAUGGCGAGGCGGCGAGCGGAGGAAAGCGAAGCAACAAAGAAGAGGGCGGAGGGGUAUUUUCGGUAUAAAAAAAUAUUUUAUAACAGAACUCUAACGGUAGGAGGUGAAGUGCACAUUUUUUAUUUUAUAAGGGGGUAAAGUGUAGGUUUUUAAAUGUCAAGGAGGGGAAAGUGAAAAAGCGGAUUAUUAUAGAGAAGUUUUCUGUAAUUUAGCCUUAUAUGUUUAAGCCUUAUAUGAGAUGAUUCCGCCGCCCAUUAGUGGCAGUUUAGACCCACACUAUUCAUAUUACUCGCACUAUCCAUAUUAGACAAUAUAAGGAUUCAUGAUCCUGAUGCUAAUAAAUCCAUAUUAGAUAAUGAGGAUUAUUCAUGAUCCUGAUGCUAAUAAGUAAGGACAUCACUACACGCACAAGUUAUCUGUUUUGUUUCCUUUUUUUCAGAAAUAAAUUUAGUUAGAAAAUAUAAAUAAUUAGGUUUCGAAUUUAAAAUGUCAAAUAUCAAUCAUCAAACUCUUAGGCAAUUACGCGAGGUACAUUUAGUGGUUAGUUACUAUACAUGCCCAAUUUUCUUUUCUUUUUUUUUUGAGGGAUAAGUGAUUUCUACACACAAAUUUGUACCCAAUGCAUUGCUAGUAGUACCCAAUGGAUUGGUUGUUGCUAUCCGAAGUUUCAAGUUUAAAGUUUAAUUACUUUAUAUUUUUAGAUAAAUUUAGUUUUAAAAUAAAAAAAAAACAGAUAGGAGGCUUAGUUUUCUCUAAAAUAAUUUUUAAAAAAAAUGCAUUGCCCAUAGCAAUAGAACCAUUUGGAAUGCUCGUUUUGUGCAUGUUAUAUGCACUAUGAAUAUAUAGCUGGUUGAAUAGGUUAUCCUAAAUAGAAGUAGGAAUACUAAAACACUAUAAUAUUGCAAAGCUGCAACAAAAGCUUGUUUAUUUGGUCUUUUUUAUUUAGAGUAUAAUAUUAUUUAAUAAAAUAUUAUCUAAGCAGUACUAUUUGCAAAUCCAUUGUGUAUAUAUUUUUUUAAUUUUCUCAUGGCUUUUCAAAAUUAUGUUCUUUGCUAGCUAAACAAAGAGAAAACUUCAAAUACCCCUUUGUGGUUUUACUUUUUUUUCACUUUAGUACCAUGUGGUUUAAAGUAUAUCAAGCUAGUAUCCUGUAGUUUUGCAUUUGUUCACUUUAGUACCCUGUGGUUUAAAGCGUAUCAAGUUAGUACCCUAUGGUUUCGCACUUUCUCACUUUAGUAUUCUGUGGUUUAAAAAUUACGGGAUACUCAUUUGAUACAAAAAUAAAACCACAGGGUACUAACUUGAUACAUUUUAAACCAUAGGAUACUAAAGUGAGAAAAUGUGAAACCACAGGUAUAACUUGAUACACUUUAAAUCACAUAAUACUAAAAUAAAAAUGUACGAAACCAGGGGGGAUUUUGAAGUUUUCCCCUAAACAAAAAUGUUUGACGUUUUCAAUUAUUAAAUAUUUAUAAUUAGUAAUUAUAAAAUAUUUUGCAGAGUUCGUGAUAAGCUAAUAAAAUAUGUGACAAAUGGUUAACAAUUAAGCCUUCAAACUACAUUCCCCGGGUGGGUCUCUAACGUGAGUAGUAAAAGUUGGCGAGUAAAUGCAUCUAUAUAUGUUAAUGUGAAUUGAGCUCUUAUAUUUUUAGAAGUAACAAGUCAUCCGUGCCCGUAGAUUUUCAAUUUUUUGAUUAAGAGAUGUGCGGUUAGAAUAAUAAUGGUCAUCCGAGAUUGAGCGGGUGCUUGGUCGAUAUUACAACAGAAUUAGAUUAUAGAGACAUAUUUUUAAGACACUUUUGUGUAAGUAUUUUAUUUAUACCAAAAUUUAAAAAAAAAAUCUACUAAAGCAGUAAAGCCUAAAUAUAAAGCUCAAUCCAAUCAAAAAUAAAAAGUUACUCUACUCAACCAACCCCACUUAGCCCACUCGGCCCAAUUGCAAAUAAAAAAAAAAAAAAUUGAUUACCAUCUCCCCUUUUCCUCCUCUGCUGCCGCAGCUGACAAGGUAGGGUUCCGGCUGUUGCAGUUCGGCCGCGAGGAUCUUGCAGGGAUCGUAGAGGGCUAUAAUUGACUCGUGUCCCUCUGCCACGGGUCGUUAGAGGAGUAGAUGCCAAAUAUUAAGACGGCCCCAUAUAUAGCGAUCCCACAUAUAGCAAUACUUUUAAAAAGUGUCGAUAAUUAAGCCAGCGGUAUUUUUUUUGACUUAUACCGAUAUUUAAAAGUGUCGCUAUAAAGUAUUUUUAUUGUAGUGUGAAUAAUAUGAUCUAACGGAUGGAAUAUAUGGUCAAAAAGAUAGAACUAACGAUAAAAAAUUUACAAGCAUCAAAUACUUAGUACUUUCAAAAGUACCAUAGCCUCUAAAUUUAAGCUUACACUGGCUCUAGCUACAAACCAUGCUCAGAUUAAUUUGACAUGCAGUCACAAAUUCUUAAAUUAUCUUAGAACUAGUAAAAAAUAAAAAAGAAAAACUUUAAAUACUACACUUGUGAUUUCACAUUUUCUCAAUUUAAAACCCUGUAGUUUAAAGUGUAUCAAUUUAGUGCCCUGUGGUUUCAUUUUAUCUUUUUAUUAUUGAUUCCACUAAUUUUUUUCAUUAAAUCAGUGAUAAAAUUAAAAUUAAAGGGUACUAAAGUGAAUAUUUAAUAAACCUAGAUGGAUUAUCUUAAAUUUUUUAUAUAUAAUUUUAUAAAAUAUUAACGAAAAAACUGAUAAAAAGAUAAAAGUAAAAUAACAAGCCACUAAUUUAAUACAUUUUAAACUACCGAAUAUUAAAAUAAAAAAAAAUGAAACAACAUAAAUGAUAUUUAAAGUUUACCCAAAUAAAAACAAAACAAACGAUAGAAGUGCCAAAUACACGCAAUUCCACCAAAUCAUCAGCAAUGCUCCAGUAUCGUUGUCUAGUAACCUUUCCCGAGGUUGAGGGUUCACGCCUCCAUGUGCGCGCAUAAAUUUGGAGCUCUAAAUUUCAAAGUUGGGGUUUAACAUGUACACUUGUUUUUAGAGAAAUAUCUAAAAUAUGAAAUCCAUUAAAAAAAAAUUUAAAAAAAAAGAGAAAAGAAAAAAGAAAAAGCUGCAUGUAUUCUAUCGAAUUAAUUAGAUACAAAGCCUUUAAAAGGCAUAAGGGUAGGAUUACUAAUUAAAGUUCCCAUGUCAACAAAUUGUACAAUCUGUGUAGGAAUCAUUUUAAUAAUCAUCCUUUAAUACACACCAGGCCAAAAGGUUUAAAGUUGCUAAUGAAUCCCAAAACUCAUUUAAAAAUCAACUAGAAUUAAUGUACCUUAAUUACUUGGUAGUAAUGGUACUGUAUGAAAAGCACAAGGGCAUCUUCUUUCUCUCUCUCUCUCUCUCUCUCUUUUUUCUUUUUCUUUUUUUGUUCCCCUUUCGGCUGGGAUGGUGACAGGAGCAGGUAGAGAUAAAGCCUCAUCUGCAUGCAUGCUUCCCUAAAAUCUCUCUAAAAUUUUAUAAUCAUUGUAGCUGCAGCACAUAAUUUCAUGCUCAAAAGAAAAGUUUGCCACUUAAUUUGGUCCUUGAAGACUAGAUUAUAUAUGUCUUUGGCAUUUUAAUUGUAAGGCGAAUGCCACUUUGAUUCUCAAACUUAAUUUAUUGUAAUUUCUGACUUUAUAGAUUAUUAUAGUUAAAUUCUACAAUAUGACUAAAUAAUGAUGUAUUGCUGAUGUGAUGGUGAUAUAAUAAUAUUAUAGUUGAUGAGAUGAUAGUAAUUAAGAUGUCAUAUUACUGGCAUAUCAGUAACAUAUAUUGAUAUAUAUAAAUAUCCCCACCUUGUAAACUAAAUUAGACUAUAAAACUUAAUUACAAUAAUUUUAAAAAUAAAUUGAAUAAAAAAUUAUAAUAAAUUAAAGUUUGAGAACCUUACGGUCAAGAACCAAAACUGAAAUUUAGCUUGAAAGUUAAAAAAAAAAUAAUAACUUUUAUAUAUGUAAAUUUUAUGAUUAUUUUGUUCAAGCAUCUAGUUUUUAAGUUAUACUAGCUUUUUUCUUUUGAGUAAACUUCAAUUUGCAUGCUUUGUGAUUUAGCUUAUUUUUACUUUACCAUCUUAUGGCCCAAAAAGUUAUAUUUAAUUAUUCUGUGAUUUAAUCCUUAUUUUUACCCAAAAAAAUUAUUAUCAAAUAGGAUGUAAAAUAAAGCUUUUUGAUAACCACAAAAUAAUUAAGCAUAACUUUUUAAAUCACAAAAUAGUAAAAUAAAAUUGAGCUGGACUAUUGAAAGUUUAUUUUAAUAAUUUUGCUUUUAUGUUGUGGAAAUUGCUAAAAAGAAAGAAAAGAAUUUUGAUAAAGUUGAAAGCUACACUCAUAUUACAAAUUAAUUUUAUGAAACCCUCGUUUAACCUUUGGAUGAUGAUGUGUAAUUUAUAGCAACAUUUGGAAAAGUUGGACAUAUUUUCUCCAUGUUAUCUAUUAACUUAAAUGAAUUCUCAAUAUUUGUUGCCACAUGGCAAGUUUUUCUUCACCCUCACUAGUAUGUAUUCUUUUUCUUCCCCUCAAUAAACUUUCAAUGUAUAUUUUAACGGUUCCACUAAUAAAACUUUCAAUUAAUCCCAAUGUUUGUUGCCACAUGGUAAGUUUUCCUUCACCCUUACUAGCAUGCGACUCUUUUUCUUCCCCUCGCUAAACUUUCAAUGUACAUUUUAACGGUUCCACUAAUAAAACUUUCAAUUAAUGUAUUUAAAUGGUUCCACUAACAAAGCUUUGAAUUAAUAUAUUUAAAUAGUCCCACUAUCAUGUAUUAUUCCAUUUCUAUCCACAAUUAUUCAUUAUGACCAUUUCCAUUCCCUUCACUAUACUUUUAAUUAAUGCAAACGAUUCUACUACCAAACUUUCAAUUACUAUGCUUAAAUGAUCUCAUUAUCAUCUUACAAUCCUAACAUUUUUAUCUUCAAUUAUUCAUUAUGGAAAUUUUCCUUCCCUCCACCAGAUUUUUAAUUUUUUAUCUCCAAUAUAUUCAUCAAUUCUUUAUCUCUCAUUUUUUGCUAUACACUAUUGCCUCCUUCCCUCGCUUCCUCCCCGUCUCUCACUAAUGCGCGCCCACUUCUCCUUUCCGCCAUGACGUUUGGUGAAUAUAUCAAGUGAGAUACACAAGAGAAUGUUUAAUAUUUUCUUGUUAUUAAUUAUUAUUACAAUUUCUACCCGCUGCAAAGCGCAGGUCCCUUCACUAGUAAUAAAUGUUUAUGCAACAAAAAUCUUGGUGCAUUGGUGCUUGGCAAAUGGGUGAUGUGUAAUUACACAAAAGGAAUCUCACCUAUAAAUAAUUAAUUAAUUGAUUAUCAAUUAACCUGAGACUUUGUUCUUGAUAUAUAUUGGUGACUAUGUGGUAUUUCAUAAAAACCAGUGAAGUAACCCGCGCGAUGCGAUGGAUAGAUAAUAAAAAUAAAAAUAAAAAUUUAUAGAAAAAAUAAAAAUACGGGAAUAUAGAUAUCCUAUGAUUGUUGAGAAUGAGACAGCCGGCGAUGACAUCGUACGCCGUUCUUGUCAAGGACACAUGAGGAGUAACGGAUAGAGGCCAAAGUGCUCUGAGCGGUGAGCAAGAGGAAAAAGGAGGAAAAAAAAUGAAAAAUCUAAAAUCAUAGGUGGAGAAAUCCAAAAUCACUACACAGGUGAGGUGAGGGAAGAGGAAGAGAUGUCGUUAUCGGUUUGAAAGAUAAAAGAAAAUAAGAGAUGGAGAGAAAAGAGAGAGAGAGAAAGAGAGUUGAAAGAUAUGGUUACGAGGGAGAGGAAGAAUUUUACUAAGAUAAAAGAGAGAAAAAAAAAAAAUAGUGUGUCCCACUGCCCUCAAAUGAAGGUAGUACAUCCACGUUGGAUUUGAUCAUGAGAAAUCAUGUAUAGGUGUAGAGGUAUGGAUAAAGAUAUUAAUUAUUUAGUUUAGUCCAUUGAAGUGAAUCACUUAUAACUUAACUAAUAACACUUCUUUUAGUCUUUGUCUUGUUCUUGAGAUCACCUGGUGAAGAAAAUUGUGAUCUUGUAUAUAGAUUUUAAAUGUGAAAUCACGCUUAGUACGUGAAACUGUGUGAUCAUGUUAUAUUAGUGAAGAGACCCGCACUUUACAGCGGAUAGAAACCCUAAUAGUAAUUAAUAAUAAUAAAAUAUUAAAUAUUUUCUUGUGUAUCUCAUUUGGUACAUCUACCGAAAGUAUCUCAUUGUAGGCGGCAGAUAUGAACUCGAUGAUGCCUUUUCCGGCAAUGGUGAUAGUGACGGCGACGACGAUCUCUCCGACCGCGGCGGAAGAAGGAAUUGGGUGCACAUUAGUGAGAGAGAGAGAGAGGGAGUGAGGGAAGGAGGCGAUGGUGUAUAGCUAAAGAUGAGAAAUAAAGAAUUGAUGAACAAAUCGGAGAUAAAGAAUUGAAAGUUCGGUGGAAGGAGAAAAAUGGACCAUGAUGAAUAAUUGGAGAUAGAGGUUAGGAUCGUAGAUAGUAGUAGGACCAUUUAAAUAUAUUAAUUGGAAGUUUGAUAGUGAAACCAUUUACAUUAAUUGAAAGUAUAGUGGAGAGAAGGUAGUGGGACCAUUUAAAUGCACUAAUUGAAAGUUUGGUUAAUGAGACCGUUAAAAUGCAUAUUGAAAAUUUAGUGAUGGAAAGAAGAAGAGUCACAUGCUAGUCAGGAUGAAGAAAAACUUACCACGUGGCAACAAACAUUGAGGAUUCAUAUAGUUUAAUAGAUGGGGAUUUUGUUUUUAAAUCGACCCACUUCACCCUUUUGUAGAGUGCAAAGUUGAAAAUGCAAAUGGUAGAGUUCAAUGUAUGUUUUAUUUUGGGGUGACAAUCUAACUUGUCGGUAACGAGCCCGUUUAUGUUUGGCUAGAAAUGAGCUUGAAAUUAAAUCACACGUUUAAUAAAAGAGUCGAAUAUGAGCUGAUUUUUUCAGCUCGUUUAAUAAAUGAGUCGAAUAUGAGUUCGGGUCAGCUCGUUCGUGUUCAACGCGAUAACAACUCGAUAUAUAUAAAUAAAUAAAUAUAUAUAUAAUACAGAUUUUAUUAUUUGAUUUUUAGCCCAAUCUAAAUACAAAUCCCAACUCAAUUACAAAAAAGCUAAUUUAUAUAUAAAAUUUUAAUUAUUAGAGCAAAGUCUAAUGAAUAAAAUAUCAUAAAUUUAUUUUAUAUAUAUAUAUAUAGUAUAGCUAAGUUACUUGUAAAAGCACCAAACAAUUGGUGCUUGUAAGUUUUUUACCGCUAGAUCUACCUCUUGGAUCAUUUUCAACCAUUAGAUUAUACUAUUCAACCAACUACCCACUCAACUCUACGGGGCCCACAUCAUCCUAACCGCAUAUCUUUUAAUCCAAUGGCUAAAAAUCUACAAGCACCAAUAACUUGGUACUUUUAAAAGCAUAGGAGCUCAAUUCUAUAUAUAAAUAUAUAUAGUGUAUGUCUCUUGUAUUUUCGAAAGUACGGAGGUUUCCGUACUUGUAAUUUGUUUUCGAUGAUAGGAUAUCCGAUUCGACAAUUGGCUCUGUUAGGUAUAUUCUAUCUUGUUGGAACUAUUUAGAAAUCAAAUUUUAUAAUUUUUUAACAUUAUUUACGAAGUAAUCAAAAGGUCUCAAAAUUGACUAUUUUAACGGUCGAUGUGGUAUGUUUUUAAGUUCAACAGUGUAAAAUAAUUUAAAUUACAUAAAACUUUAAUAGAAAAUUUUAUUUAAUAUCUAAAACAAGUUUUAUGCUGGAUAUUAUUAUUAUUAUUAUUAUUAUUAUUAUUUUUUUUUUUUUGAGAACUUCAACCAUAAGUGUGCAGAGGAAAAAGAAAAUGUGUCAGCCUGAUGCCCAUAUCUUGCAGGAACAAAGGACGCAAAAUGAGACAACGAAGAUGAAGGUGACAAUGAAUUUUGCACGUACGAUUUUAAUGUGGUCCUCUACAUAUAUUAUUAUUUUUUGCAUUAAAUAUCGUGCAUCCGAUAUUUGGACCGUACCAAAUCGUACGUAAAUAUAUUUCAACUGAUGCUCAUUGAAUGCAUACGAGGUGAUCACGGGUUAAAUACUGUAAGAUGAUCUAGUGCCAAAGAUGCUGUAGAUUGUGGGCCUUUACUGGCGCUAAUCACUUGUCAAAACAUUAGCGCUAAUCAUUAAUCUCAAAAAUUCGAACUAUUAAAAAUAAUUAAUUAAUUUACUGAAAGCAUACAGAUACAUAUUUCACAGAUCUCGAUUGUGAUUUGAUCCAACCAGUCUCACGCCAUUUCGAAUAUGACUCGACUCACUCAGUCUCAUACUAUUUCGGACAUGACUCGACCCAACAUCACCUCCCGCAAUAAGACAGAAUGCUGGCUCAUUUAAACCCACAAUAGGGCUCGGCGCAUCCGAGAGCCCACAACCCGAUAUAGUUUACGCAUUUCGAAGCGUCUGAAAAUGACACGAAUGACGAAUAGAACAGCGUCACAUUAUAAUCGUACUCGCCAACUUCUGUAUUCUGACAAUUUGUUAAAUUGUAGCUAGAUUAGGAUGGGUAUUUAAAUCUGUAUGAAAUAAAUUGAAUAGAUAUUAAUUUAAGGUGUGACCGUACGUACAAUGAUUGCAUGCACGUAGUAAUUAAUACGGGUGCAUCGUAAGAGAGUUCUCAUUUGAAUUUGGAAAAAACUUCAAAUACCACAUUUUAGUUUCACAGUUUUUUACUUUAAUACUCUAUGGUUUAAAGUUUUUAACUUUAAUACUCUAUGGUUUAAAGUGUAUAAAUUUAGUAUCCUAUGAUUUUAUUUUUAUCUCUUUAUCAUUGAUUUCAUAAAUUUUUUUCGUUAAAUCAGUAACAAAGUUAAAACUAAAGAGUACUAAAAUAAAUAUUUGAUAAACCGAGUUGAGAUAUCUAAUUAAAAUUUUUUGUAUAUAAUUUAACGAAAUAUUAACGAAAAAACUGACGAAAAGAUAAAAAUAAAAUCAUAGGACACUAACUUGAUAUACUUUAAACCAUAGGGUACUAAAGUGAGAAAGUGCAAAACUAUAUGGAUGGUAUUUGAAGUUUAUCCUUAAAUUUAUAGAAAAUGAGAAAGGAAUGGUAGAGAUUUAGUAAGAGAGGUUGUGUUGAAGUUUUUUCAUAUAGAAAAGUAGUCGAGUGUAAUUUUUUUCUUGGUUCGUGAAUUAUUUAUAUUUUUUAUUUGGUUUUUUUUUUCUUAUUUUUUUUUGUAAUCGUAUCAGGUUUUGCUAAGUAGACGGCGGGUUUAUAGUAAAAAUUCAAUUUGACGCUUCCGUUGCGGAAUUCCAACGACUGGUAAUAGAGCAAAUACUGAAUUUACAGUAAUAAAUAUCAGAGCGGAUUGGAGAUUCGUAAUAUCAAAUUCCCAACAGCAUGAACCCAAAAUUAUAACAAUUUGUCUUAAAAAACUUAAGCAAGUAUAUCUGAACUCCCUGUUUUUUUUUAAUAAAAUAUCUAAUGGAGUUUGAACAUAGAAUCUUUUGCUAUAACAUUAUGUAAAAUAAUAAUAUAGGUAAACAUGUAUAGAACUUGCUCAAACUAUGAGUCAUUCGAGCCAACUAUCAGAUUUUUUUAAAUUUUGAUUUUGCUACCGAAUCUUUCAAUUUUUUUGAUUUGAGCCCCUCAACGACAUUUGAACUUUCAAAAUUUAAAAUUCAUCAUCUAUCUUUACAUAUUUAACCCAAAUACUUCAUCCAAUUCUCGCAACUAUACGUUCAUUAAAUUAAACAAUUAGCUUAAAUUUUGAAGUAGAAGAGUCGUUGACUAACUCAAAUCAAAUAAAUUUGAAAUUGGAUAGUAAAAUCAAAAUUUUGAAUGAUAGUGUAGUCGAUUCAAAAUAAUUUAAAGUUCAAAUAAAUUUUAUACAUUUUUACCGAUAAUAUAAGGCAAUUACUUUUCGCAUGAUUGUUAUAAUUCUUUCUUGUUGACAGUGGAGUGUCCAAUUAACGAAGCACACGAAUUUAAAUUUAGGUAAAAAUAUGCAGAAUUUAUCAAGAUUAUAAAUCAUUUUAAAACGACUGUCCUCAAAAUUUUGAUUUUACUAUCCAACCACUCAAUUUGUUCGAUUUAAGCUAGUCAACGAUAUUUUGAUUUCAAAAUUUGAAUGCAUCAUUUAUCUUUAUAUGUUUCAUUAAUACAUUUUAUAUAAUCCUCAUAACUAUAAAUUCAUUAACAUAAGAAAUUAGCUUAAAUUUUGAAGUAAAAUUAUUGCUGAACUAACUCAAAUCAAAUAAAUUUGAAAUUGGAUAGUAAAAUCAAAAUUUUGAAUGAUAGUGUAGUCGAUUCAAAAUAAUUUAAAGUUCAAAUAAGUUUUAUACUUUUUUACCAAUAAUAUAAGGCAAUUAUUUUGCGCAUGAUUGUUAUAAUUCUUUCUUGUUGACAGUGGAGUGUCCAAUUAACGAAGCACACGAAUUUAAAUUUAGGUAAAAAUAUGCAGAAUUUAUCAAGAUUAUAAAUCAUUUUAAAACGACUGUCCUCAAAAUUUUGAUUUUACUAUCCAACCACUCAAUUUGUUCGAUUUAAGCUAGUCAACGAUAUUUUGAUUUCAAAAUUUGAAUACAUCAUUUAUCUUUAUAUGUUUCAUUAAUACAUUUUAUACAAUCCUCACAACUAUAAAUUUCUUAAAAUAAGAAACUAGCUUAAAUUUUGAAGUCAAAUCACUGUUGACCGACUCAAAUCAACUAAACUGAAAGAUUCAAAAUAAUAAAAUUCAAAUAUUUUUAAAUUGGGUAGCCAUUUUAAAAUGAAGUUUAGUUUUACCUUGAACCCUCUUAAAUCACGACAGAUGCAUUGUACGCUGAUAAUACGUUAUAUUAUAAAUGAUCAUCUAUCCUACCCAAACUUUAAAUACUAAAAGGAGACAUUCUGUUGAAUGUAAUUGUAAAUACAAUAUAAUUAAAAAUGUAUGCAGCUAGAAAUACAGUAGUUGCAAUUAUAUGCAUCUUGUUUGAUUGGAUACUUGGAUGUGGCAAAUACAUUAGAAUUAUAAAUAAUUUAUUUGGUAGUAUACUGUUGAGAAGUAUAUUUGUAAAUUUUAUUAUUUUAUAUAUGGGUGAUAAUUAUUAGAAAAUGUAAACUUAUCUUUUAUUUAAAUUGUUAUCUCAAACUAUUGCAGUUGAGCUUUCUCGUUUAAUUCCAACUGCAGCUGUUAAAUUCGAAUGUAUGAAAUAAAAUACCAAAUUAAGAUUUACAAAUAGUUUAAAAAUAUAGUGCAAUUGCGACUGCGUGCAACUAAUAUGGAAACAAUGCUAUCGCAAACAAAUCACGUAUAUGUGGGCUUGAGGAAGUGAAGCCCAAUAUAAGGCCUAAAUUAUUAGAUUGGGCCGGGCCUCCAAAUGAAAAGCCCAAAAUAAUUCAGACUCGUCUCGAGCUUACCAGUGGAGCCCAAUCGACCCCAACCAAUUUGGACAUAGUUAGCAUUUAAAAGGGUCUUUUUUUCCUUUUAGCUACCUCAGAAUUUUUUUUUUUUUUUUUUUUCACAAAUACUCCUGCAAAAUUUAUAUUUGUAACAUCUGUCCUAUCCCCGCCACACAAGCACCACGCGAACUCCACAUACAUGUGGCUGGUUAAGUUGAAUACGUUUAACCAUUCUCCAUGUCCUUUUCACAUUCAUUGUGUUUAUUAUAUUAAAUAUUGUAUAAGUUUAGUUAAACAUGAUAAAUCAUUCACCGUAUCCAUUUACGGUAAAUGAUUCACUGUAUUCAACUUAAUUUGUUACGCUUACAUGGCGCUUGCAUGGCGUUUGCGUGGCGGGAAAAGGACUAAUCUUGUAAAUAUAAAUUUUAUGAAGCUAUUGUGAAAUUUUUUUUCAGAGGGCUAAAAGCAAAAAAAAGGUAAUUUAAAAUAGGUAGAAAAUUUCAGACGGGCGGAUUCGGACCAGACAAACUGAUCUGAUCCGAAAUCACACUCCGCCUUUUCUCAUUUGGAUCUCAUAUCCGAACCCGAAAUCUACUGAAUCCGCACAAGGGUCAAUUGCACCAUUGGUCCCCGAUCUUUACUCGAUUUUUCUUUUUUUGGGUUGUUCCCUAACUUUGGUCUUUUCUAUACUUUGAUCCUUAUUUUCUUCUUUCAUAUUUAUUUAUCUAUUAGAAGUGACCAUCUUUACUAUCAUCCUCUGCAUCUAUGACUAUCGUCUAUUCUAAAGUAUUCAACACUCUAGCGUUGAGCCGAUUAUGUUACCAAACUCUUUCGAAAAUUUAGAAAAGUCGAUACUGAGAUUGAUUUGGAUUAUUAAAUCAUACAUAUAUAUGUACAUAUAUUGACGUUGGCUUCAGUCUAUUUUAUCAAAAUUAAUAGGAACCUGAGUGAUUGAAACCAAACUGCAAUAAACUAUAAAAAUCAGUCAUGCAAAUGGGUAAAAGGAAAAAGAAAAAGACCAAAGUAAAUCAAAAGAGCAAAGCAAUCUAUACACUAACAUCUCACUAAUCCUGAGACAUAAUUUAUUUACUAUUCAUAUCCAAAAGAAGUGAAUGGAUAGUAAUUUUCUAAAUGUAAAAAUGUAUAAAAGUUUUUAGAACUAUAGACCAUUUUGAUUUGACUACUCAAACUUUCAAAAUUUUGAUUUUAGCGUCCAACCAUUCAAUUUGUUUAAUUUAAGUAAUUGAUGGCUCUCCAAAUAUAAAAUUUAAGCUAAUUAUCUACUUUAAUAAAUUUAUAGUUAUGUAAAUUAUAUAAAAUAUACUAACUAAAUUUAUAGAAAUAAAUGAUACAUUCAAAUUUUAAAGCUAAAUAGUCACUAAUUGGGUCAAAUAAAAAAGAAAAUAAAAGGUUAGAUAGUAAAUAUCAAAAUAUUGAAAGAUUAGGUAGCCAAAUCCAAAUGUAUAAUAGAUUGAUAGUUUAGGUGUCACAGAUUCGGACACACGAUAUGAAACACGACAUGCCUAUGACAUGAUCACUCAUUAGCUUCAAAAAAUUAGGACACAGACACGAUAUUAAUAAAAUAUAAUAUUAACCUUAUUAAUAUAAUACAAUAUAUUUAUUAUAUAUAAAAUAUUAAUUUUGAUAAAAUGUUAUUAUAUUUUAUACCAAUAAAGUUAAUAAAUUUUUUAUUGAUAGUUCAUAUUUUUUUAAAAAAAUUCUCUUAUACAUAAUUUAUUAAAACAAAAUAUUUAUUAUAUUAUUAUAUAUACAUAAAAAAUAAUAUAAAAAGAAUAUAUUUUUUUAAAGGGAUGUACCAUGGACUCCAUCUAGGCAUUGCAAACGGAUCCGGAUUGGUGGAGCGCCCGCCCGGCCAUGACAGGGCAGUAAAUGGAAAAAAUAAACGGAUUCAGGGGCGGAAACGGGAUAAAUUUUACGAUCCGAGAUGGAUUCGGGGCAGGAAACGGGAGAAAUUUUGACCCGCCUCGAAUCCGCCCUGCCAUGAUCCGUCCUGAAUCCGCCCUGAAUUCGCCCCGAAAAUCAUUUAUAUUUUAAAAAAAUAUUCCUAAAAAAUAAUGUAUUUACAAAAAAGUUCAAAAUACAAAUAAUUUAGUAUUCUCAUUCUAAUGUAUUUGAAACUUUUGAAUUUUGUUUGAAUUGUGAUUGUAUUUUUUUUAUAAUUAAUGUUGUUAAAUUAUAUAUAUAAUAUUAUUAAAAAAUAUUAAUUUAUAUUUACAAAUAUUUAAUAAUAUUAUAAUUUUAUAAAACAUAUUAUUGGCGGGGCGGAUUCGGGGCGCCGGCGGAAAACGGUUACGAGGCGGGCGGAUUAUGGAUGUAUUUUUUAACCCAUCACGGAUUCAGGGCGGAAGGCGGGGCGAGAUUUGCUAGUUGGGGCGGGAGGCGGGGCGGGGCUCCCGCCCCCAAAUCCGCCCCGUUUGCAUCCCUACUCACGUCGAACGCGUAACCAUAGUGUUACCGCGUCAGACACGAGCCCGAUACGGACAAGCAAGACUUAAAAAAGUGUUUGUGAUAGGUAGGGACGUAAAACAGGUCGGGUAGCCCACGCGCCUUCAGGCCGGGCAACAGCACGGUAUGGAUACUAUAGCAUCCGGCCCGACUUGGCCCGGCCUAGACUUUCGGUUCAUGUUGGGCCACUAUAAUUGGGCACGAUGGCUUGGCACGGUCCGGCCAAUAACGGGCCUGGGUCAAGCCGGGCAGAGAAGAGGUUCGCGGUCUGAUUGGCACGGCCCACCAGGCCAACGUGGCCCGGACCCCACGGCCGAAGGCAACCUGCUUUGGGCUUGGGGUUCGAGCUCCUAGAGAGAAGGGCUCCUCGGGAGGAGUCUCCCCAAGAGCGCUCCUCCCAAGGUUGGGAGGAGUGGGUGGUUUUUGAUUUAAUGGACCAAACAAUUUUGAUCUAUUAGAUAAAAAAUUUAUUUUUUAAAAAUUAAUAAUAAUAAAAUAAUAAUUUAUAUUUUUUUUAUAAAAAUUUAAAAUUUUAUUAUUUUAUAAUUAUUUUAAUAAAUUUAAAAUUUUUUAAUUAAAAUAUCAAUUUAAAGAGAAAUUAAGGAUUUAAGUGCCGUAGCACGGAGUCGUGCCGGAAACUUGCUGGUACAAUACAGCACGGUGCGUGCCGGGCUGUGCCGAUACGUGCCAGUAACAAAAAAUUCAUAUGUGCCAACACAUAAUAAUAUGAAAUAUUUAUUUUCUAUAACAACAAAAUAUUCUAAUGGUUAAUUAUGUAAUUUUAUCAAAUCUUUUAAAUUUUGUUGAGAAAAUUACUUAUUAAUUUAAAGAAUAAAAAAUUUUGAGUUGUGUCAUUGACACGGGGGCUGUAUCGUAUCAAUAUCUUGUUGGCACGAUACGGUAUGAUAGAUACGGCCCGGAUGGACACUUAAAUCGUUGAUAGGAAUAAUACAUUAUUUUAAUUUUUAAAAAUUUUAUAUUUUUUUUAAAAAAUAAAAAAGAUAAGGAACCGGCCCGGAGAACGGCACGGUUCGUGUCUUCCGGGCCGGACGGCAGAGCUGGGCCGGAGGGUUGUUAGCUCCGGACCGGCCCGUAUUUUAAACCGGGCCGGGCCGAGGAAAGUUUUAUACAUUUUUAUGUUUUUUUAAAAAAAGAAAAAUUUGUAGAGUUUAGAGGCCCCCCUUAACCAUUUCUAAGGGGAAAAACCCCUUCGUCGCUGUUGCUGGUGGAGAGGGUUUUGGCGCUCAAUUCCACAACCCCCGAAGCCCCCAACGCGCGCUGUAGCGAGAAAGGGUUUUUAUUUUUUUUUCCUCUCUUUUGGUGGCGCAUCGCCGAGUUCCCGAAGGAAACCCUAUGGCGGAGAUCAUGGAGAUCGACGACGACGACGACGCCCCCGCCGCUGCGCCGCCACCGCCGAAGCUCGACAAGGGCAAAUCCCCCCUCGCUCACGACGUCGCCAAAUCCGCUCCCUGGGUCGAGAAGUACCGCCCCAAAUCCCUCGCCGACGUCGCCGCCCACCGCGACAUCGUCGACACAAGUACUCCCCCUCUCUCGAUCCCGGAUUCGUCGUCGUUGUUGCUGAUGUUGUUGUUGAUGAUGUUGUUUUUGAUGGUUUUGUUGUUGUUGAUGAUGAUGAUGAUGAUGAUGAUGAUGAUGUUUUGGUUACUAUGAUUUUUGGCCGUUGUAGUUGAUCGUCUCACCAACGAGAACAGGCUCCCGCAUUUGCUCCUUUACGGUCCCCCGGGGACGGGGAAAACGUCGACGAUCCUCGCCGUCGCGCGGAAGCUCUAUGGUUCGCAGUACCAGAACAUGAUCCUCGAGCUCAACGCGUCGGAUGAUAGGGGGAUUGGUGUCGUUCGGCAGCAGAUUCAGGAUUUCGCGAGCGCUCGGAGCCUGUCGUUUGGGUAAAAGAGAGCUAGAUGAAAAUUAUGCAAUCUAUGAAUAGAUUUAGGCUUUUAGCUGUAGCUAUCAUAGAGUAUUUGACAAUCAGAAAAGUUUGAAACUCUUCCUGUAGCACUAAGCAAAAAAAAUGUGAUUUUUAGGUCCUAGUGAAGAGGCUCCAACUUGGGAGCGAAGCCAUUGGAAAAAAUUAUUUAGGUAAAAAUGUAUGGUGACCUUCUCAACUAUAUAGGCCAUUUUCAAGUAGGACAUCCAAAUUUUCUAUUUUGAUUGGCGGCCCUUCAAUCUUUAAUUGCUUGAUUUGAUCUCUCUUUAUUGAAUUGGGGAUUUCUUUAAAAUUUAGCACUUUGUUUCUAUUACAAUUGUAAAGAGUGUCCAGUGCAUUUCUUUUCUAGAUGGUAUGGGAAUAUGUGACCAAAUUGAGAUUUGCUCACCAUAACAAACACUAGAAUGAAUAAUAAAAGGACUUAUCUGAAUUUUGCGGACCUUUGAAACAGUGAACUGCUUAUAAUCUAUUUCAAUACAUGCUGCUGGUUUGUUACUGGGUAAGCCAAAUUGGAUUACAUAUUUGUAAUUUGACCUUUAAGUACUUGUAAAAUUCUAUUCUUCUUCUAUGUUUACGUAGAGCAAAGCCUUCUGUUAAAUUGGUACUGUUGGAUGAAGCAGAUGCAAUGACCAAGGAUGCACAGUUUGCUUUGCGUCGAGGUUUGCUGAUAUUAUAGAACUAUCAUUUUUAAAUAAUAAUUUCAUAACCGUGCUUCUCGUUAUCAAGCUUACCAAAUUUGUUUAUAUUUUCUCUUGGUUUAGUGAUUGAGAAACAUACAAAGAGCACAAGGUUUGCACUUAUCUGCAAUCAUGUCAACAAAAUAAUACCAGCAUUACAGUCAAGGUGCACUCGCUUUAGGUUUGCUCCCCUUGAGGCUACCCAUAUUAGAGAACGUCUACAGUAUGUGAUAAAAGCUGAAGGGUAUGUCCCUACCUUACCUUGAUUAAUUUAUGAAUCUUUAAUGUGAUUUACUGAUGUUUAUGUAGUUAGAAAGAUUAAUUUCCUGGUUUCAAACUUCCCCUGAAUCUAAUGGUUAUUUUUUAAGGCAUUUUAUUAAGGCUGGUCUUCUUCAUUUCAUUUUUUGUGUUCCUGUUUAGCAUUGAUAUAAUACAUUAGUCUAUGCUUCUUAGUUUUCUCUUGCUAUGCUAGUCUGAAAGACCAAGUUUCAUACUUUCCUGGAUUAUUAUCUGGAAUAAAGACUAAGAUGUAUUAUUGCUUGACUUAGUUGAGCUUAAUAACUUGUAUUACUUUUGCUGUGAUUUAGUUGUGCUCAAUAACUUGUAUUACUUACUUUUACUUCUUGUUCUAUGUUUCUUGACUGCCUUUUGCAAGAAAGGAUUUGCCAUGUUAUGUUGGCAGUAGUGAGUUCAUUUUUAUUUCCUUUCCCGGUGGGUUUAAUCCAAGGAUUGGCUAAGGAUUGUCAUGCCACUGGCAGGGCUUAUGCUGUUGUGCCGGAGGCAUAGCACAGCACAGUGGCACGGGGCAUGCCAAUGUCGGCAUGCCCCUUCAUGCCAAUGGCACGCCAUUGGUAUAUUGGCACAGGUUUUUUCUAAUUAAUUUUUCAUGAAAAUUUAGUUUUUUAAGAGUAUUUUAAUAUCUUUAGGGGCUAUAAAAAUGGUUUAUGUAUUAUAUCUCACACAAUUAAGUAAGAAUAGAGUUAUAAUCUUCUGAAUAACUAAAGAAAAAAAAUAUUUAUAUAGAUUAUGAAAUUAUAUGGAUAAAGCCAAAACUAAAGUCAUAAUUGGAUAAAAAUUUAUAGGGAAACACUACCAUGAAUAAAAUCAUUAGAUCUAAAACGAUAAAAGAAAUUUGAGGAAAUCUUUUUAAUUGUAAUUUUUCACUAAAAGUUGGUCUUAUAAUGAAAUAGAAUUUAUCAAUUACUCCAAAUGUUAGUACAUUUAGAAGAUCUACGUCCUUUUAAGUAUAAAAAAAUUUACUACCUCAAAAAGAACCCCAGAAAAAUGUAAAAAAAAAACCUAGUUUGUCGAUAUAGCGUUGGCACAACCCUGUGCCAUGUGCCAACACGGCCUCAGCAUGGUAUGGCAUGGGCAGCACAUGCAGUCCUUGGUUUAAUCUAUAAAUUCUUGAUCCAGUAGGACUUCAAGAGCUUGCUAACUAAUCCAUCUAGCAUUUCUCCGAUCCUUACAGUACCACUAUAGUGCCUUGCAGUAUCAUUACUGUGCUGUACAGUACUGCUAAAAUUCUUAGCAGUACUUGAUAUUUUUAUUGCAAUUUUCCUUCUUUCUGGACCUCUCAGUUUGGGGUGUUACGUAGCAUAACAAUAUUUGAUAAAAUAUGGUCUUACUUAUGUCAAUCAUUUCCAUCAGAAUAACUAUUUGUCUCAGUACUGGCGAGUGCUAUGGGUAACUUCCAAGUUUCUACUUUUGUAAAACUAAGCCGAUGCUCCAAAUUAGCGAAAACAGUUGUUUCAACCUGUUAUACUUGGUUUUUGCCUUUCGUGCAGUGAAGAAUCCAAUUAAUGGCAGUUCUUUUUUCAUCAUAGGUGACCUUUUUAGAUAUGUCUGCACACUUUGGAAAAAUUCAUGUACAAUUUUUUUGUCCUGUUAGGCUUGAUGUGGAUGAGAGUGGCCUUACAGCACUAGUACGGUUGAGCAAUGGUGACAUGAGAAAGGCUUUGAACAUAUUGCAGGUUCUGAUCUGCACUAUCUAACACUUUUAAGCUCUUUAUGCUUAUUUUUUUUUAAAAAAAAUAUGUGCUUCUGUUAACUACUUUGUUUUCAUCUAGGAUUCACUUGUUAGAUCAGUAGGAAGUCUGAUCUGCGCAGUCAUUUUUGUUCUCUACUUUGUUUUGAGUAGCUUGGUUAAUAAACUUGACCUAUAUGAUCUCCUUUAGCUCACUCGUUGACCAAUAAAGUGAAUAACAUUUUUUUUUGAUUUAGAGGCUUAGAGCUAGAUAGUCCUUCAUUUGAGGUCUGUAAGUUAACUUCUCUAAAUUUGCCAGCCUUCUCCUUAUUCUUACAUUGAGAUUUAUUCUCCAUUUCUGUUUUGCAGUCAACGCAUAUGGCUUCUCAACAUAUAACAGAAGAAGCCGUCUACCUUUGCACUGGAAAUCCAAUGCCAAAAGACAUUGAGCAGAUAGCCUAUUGGUUACUGAAUGAAUCAUUUACAACCAGUUUCAGAUGUAUCCUACACGAAUUGUUUCCAUUUCUAUGUUUUCUUUCUUAGUUAUCUUUUAAUCUGAAUAUACACAUGUUAUGAAUUUGUCCUUUACUUUGUUUAGAUAUAUCUGAUAUAAAAAUGAGGAAAGGAUUGGCGUUGAUCGAUAUUGUGAGGGAGGUUACUAUGUAUGGAUUUACAAACUCAUCUUUUUCCUUUUUGUUUACCCUUUAAUAAGUGGACUUUUCUUUUGUAGCGGUCUCUAACGAAUUGCUUUCUCAGGUUUGUUUUCAAAAUACAAAUGCCAUCAAAUGUCCAAGUAAAACUAAUCAAUGAUUUGGCAGAUAUCGAGUAUGUUCUAAAUUUUCACAUCUGGCUUGUUAUUAAUCUUUUUGCUAUAGUUGUGUAUCUAUUGCUUGUACUUCUUGUGUUUCUGAUGACCAUGAGUACGGUACGAAUGGAUAUAGUCAUGAUCAGUGCUGGGGACACAUAAGCUCAACCUAAGUAUCUUUCGUAUAUAGCAUCUGGAACAAGCCUUGCCUCAUUAUAUGUGUAAUCACUCUUUUUUUCAAAAAAAAAAAAAAAUCAAAUUUGUAAACUUGUACCAAGUAAUCUGACUGGGUAAGAUAGGGUUACAUCAGAUCAAUCUGGAUUUAUUCACUAUGUAGGAUUCAUUGUAAAACUUCAGCAGCUGGAAGAAGUUAAGGCUUAUAAUAGUCAUUUCAUUCAAGAAGAAGAAUCUGGUUUAGGUUUAAAUCCAAUUCUAACUGUACGAAAGCUGUGCAGUUAAAGAACCAAUGCAUUAGUUUUACAAUAUAUAUUCAAAUUAGCAUCAAACAAGCCAAAAGGUGUGCAGGCUUUUAGGUUAGCUUAGCAAGUGCCUUUGUUUCAGAUUUGCCAUUUUUGGAAGAUACACUAAUAUUCCAGUCCUAUAUUGGUAUGAAAAGUUAAUGCAUGAUCCUUCUGAAGCUCAAACCAGAUAUUUAAUGAUGGCAAGAUGUGUAUGUUGAGGCGGACGAGUGAUCUCGCAAAAAGAGAAUAAGAAGCAAGUUUGACUGGCAAAAGUUGGAAAUAGCAUUUCUCGAGUAUAUGUGGCUGAAAAUCUCAUAAAAUGGUUUUGACAUGUUGUAUAGGUAUGAGUUGCAAAAAUAAGUGUGACGACCCAAUAAUGCCACAUUGGGGAGGACAGUAAUUCCUAUGGGAAAGGAAUUUCUUGUAGGAAUACAAGGAUCAAGGGCUCUAGUAAUAAUAAUUGGGCCUAAACAUUUUUGGCGCGUGGUUUGGGCCUAAAAAUUAUAAUGCUAGCAGGUUGGGUCAUUAUAUUUAGUAUCAGGGGCGGUUUGUUAGCUGGAAGUGUAAGAUUGAUUUCACAUUGCCGGGUAAUAUUGAGCUAGGGAAUGAAAUCGCCUGGUAAUAUUGAGCUAGGGAAUUGGACUUGACGAGGACAUAAAGGUUUAAAUAGGGGAGUCUGUAAUGCUCUAAUAGUCCCAUAUCGGAUGAAAAAGAAAUUCCUUUUGGGAACAUAGGUACUAAGGCUGUAAUAAUAGUGUAACUAGACUUAAGCAUUUUUACUCAGCGGUUUGGGCCCAAUAAGUUAUUAGUACUAGUGGAUUGCAUUAUUAGAAUAAGUGACUCUUCAGAAGAUGCUUGAGAAUAGGAUGGCCAAAAAUGUUGUUGGAGAAGCAAGAAAAAGGCGUAACAUUUACUUUCAUGUCGGACCAUGUUUAAAUAGUGUUGACCACUGAGUGAGAGGAAACUAUCUAUAUAGCAAACCCCAAUAAGAGUGAUCAUGUAAACAGUUUAGCAUAACUAUAAUAACAGGGUUUUGUUUCAAGUAUAAUAUUUCCUCCUGUUUUGUAACACAUCCAAUGGGUUCUCAUCAUUUGCAAUAUCUACACCAUCAGUUCAGUUUAAUCUCUCUGCAGUUUCAAAUGUCAACACUAUAAAAACCAGAGAGGAUGCAAUGGGUGGCAUUUUAUAAUUUGUACUCUUGCAGCAACUAAAACUAUCAUUUUUUUAAAAAAUUAUUUGGUUUGAAGCAUGUAAAUGUUGCUUAUACUGCAUUUCUUAACCAAAAGCCAAAUGAAUGAAAACUUAUGUCUCCAAGCAAGAUAACGAUCUUGGAUUUAAUGCUGUUAAGUUUUUUUACCAUCCUUUAUUUGUGCUAUUUUCUUAAUUUUGGAGAAUGCAAGACAUUAAUACUUAAUGUUUAAAAAUAACAGCCCUGAUGGUUCGAAUAUCUUUCCCUGCAGGUAUAGGUUGUGUUCUGCAUGCAAUGAUAAGUUGCAGCUUGGAUCAUUGAUCUCUACUUUCACUAACGCCCGUUGUGCCAUUGUUGCUGCUGCGAAGUAACAUUGAAGUGAAGCUGCGGCCUUUUACUUUUCUGAUCUGACAAGAGAAAUUAUACUUUUUGGUGAAUCUGGCAUAAUUCAAUGAGGCUGUUUGGCUCCUGUGCGCAGCAAAUUGAGGGGAAUUGCUGUAACUUAACCAUUGUAAGAUAGCUUGUGUUUUGCAAAACUAUGUGUUGACCUGUUAUGAUCAAAAUCUGUUUGUUGCACUGGCCGUGUUGAGGCUGGAGGAAGAGUGGAAAUUGCGUUGUUAUUCGGUUCUCUAAUCUGCAUCGUUGUUGUGCUCUCUCUCUCUCUCUCUCUCUCUCUCUCUCUUUUUGUGAAUCAAGUUUGCUGGAGCUGCACAUUAGUUGUUCUUGAAUUGGUCAGAAGAAAAUGGAUUGACGCAAAAGUCAUGUAUUGCAUCUAUCAUUUUCUUAUUAGGAUUGCGAGGAGCAUUUACUUUUCUAUAACAAAUCUAAUUUCUGUUGGGAUUUCUUGCAAGUCUAUGAUUUUUCCAUGAUUUCAGCUUAACACAUUCUGCUCACAAACUUUUUUUUUUUUUUUUUUUCAGUUUUCUUUUUUCGUUUUACUGUGAAUUAUUUUCUUUUUGCUUUUUAAUAGAUUAUAUUUAUUUUGUUGUAAAAAUGGGACUUUAUAUCAAAUGCUCAGAAUUUUAUGCUGAAAUUUGUUCUGUCAUCAACUUUGUUGGCUAUUGCGGUUUGGCAGAAGAUUAAAUAUAAUCUCCGGCAGUAAACACUGGCUUAUCCCAACUAGUAAAUUUCCUUGUACAAGUUUGGGUUAUAAUGCAUUUGUUAUAUGUUGACUCUACCACGUUUAUGAAUCUCCAAAAUUCUAACAUUUCGUAUCACUGACUUUGUUCGCAAUAUCAUUGAUCCUGAAUUAACUAUCUUCAUUUAAGAACCUGCCAAAAUGGUGAUCGGUAAUUAUCUAAAAAUCAGAAUAAUAAGUCUACAGAUUUUCAUAUUACAAAAUCCUGCACAUAGAACUAUGCAUAAUUGUGCGUCUUUACAAUUUCCUAUCUUGCUGAAUUUCUGAAUUAAAAAUUGUGAAAGGCACUACUCCUAAAUAAUACAAUAGGUGGGCAUUCCUAGAAAUGCAAAUGGAUCUAGGUUGGAGCUCCGGCCUCAAUCCAUCCCGAAGGGAGCGCUAAAUGGGAAUACAAAAUAUAGAAAAAUAUAAUUCAUUUUGAAUGGAAAUAGAAAAUAUAGAAAAAUAUAACCUGUUUUGAAUCCGCCCAUGAUCUGCCAAGUAAAUGGAGUCGAAGGCGGAAGACCUUUUUCUUCCUUCAAUCCGCUUCGAUCCGUCAAUAAUCUGCCAAAAAUUCACUUCUGUCCCAAAUAGGAUGAUAAAUGAGUCAAAAAUAAAAUAAAAAAUAAUUCACCCUGAAUCCGCCCCACCUUAUAAGAAAUGGAGCGGGAGGUGGGGGAACCCUCCCCCCUCCCCCGGAUCCACCCUGUUUGGAUCCGAGACACUCCCCUAUAUGUCCAAUAUUUUUUUUAAAAAAAAAAUAGCACGAUAUUUAUUUUAUUUAUUAGAUAAAUAAAUUUAGUUAUAUAAAAUGAGACAGUUAAGGUCUCAAAAAAAAAAAAAAAAAGGUGAAAAAUUAAAGAAAAAAUGAACUAAAAAGAAAACCAAAAAAGAACUAAACACGUGUUAUUUCAAAGAAAGCGUGUGUGUGUGUGUGUGAAUCAGUACAUUGGACUAUAAAUAAGAGCAACAUUACGCAGAAGCUAAAACGGUACCUGUAAAUUAAUUAUAAAAUUAAAAACUCAUAAUUACAGCAUGUUGUGGCAUCCGCAACAGUAUUAGUAUAUGUGUGCAAAAUAAUAAUGGAAGAGAUGAUCACGCUUGGAAAUAUAACACUUGUCAAAACAGUACACCGGAUUCGCCACAACGAAUGAUAUGGACUCCUCUCUUCCAUCACGAAUACACACUGGACACGUGUCAAAACAUUUCAUGCCGAUACUCUUCUUCGUCCGUUGGAUCAACUCUAACAUCCUUCCCCGCAGCGAAUCCCCCCAAUCUUUGUUCUUAUUUUUAAUUGUCUCGGCUCUCACCAACCGCCUCUCUUUGAACGGCGACCCAAACCUACGAAGCUCUCUCGCUCCGCCAUUCCCCACGUCCACGGAAUUCCAAAUCCCUAACCCUAAUUCUCGUCCCCGUCCCCCCAAAUCCCCUAAUGCCUCUCCAAAUUUGGAUUUGAAUUCGGAGUGGAUCUUUCGAUCUCUGUGACAUGGGCACACCUCAUGUGAAUCUCGAUCUCAAUGGCGCGGAGAUCCGCGGAGAAUUGGACGAGAGGAACCCUCCAAUCUAUUUGCCCAACCAACCCUCAGAUUCCCCUCUUCUCGCGCUUGAUAUCGGAGGUAAGCGUUUUUUUUUUUUUUGUUUGGCCAAUUUUGUGAUCGAAAUGGUGUUAAAUUUGUUUCGAUUUUGAUGUGCCGGUUCGAUUUUGUGUUAAAUUUAGGGACUUUGAUCAAGCUCGUGUACUUUUCCAAUGGGAAAGAGGGGAAUGCGGGGGGUGAGAGAGGGGUUCGGAAACUUGGUGGGAAGUUGCAUUUCACGAAGUUUGAAACGCGGCGACUUGAUGAGUGCUUGGAUUUUAUUGUGUCAAAGAAGCUCCUUUGUGGUAAGAAUUUGCAAGCAUAUGCCUUUGUUAGGGUUAUUGUUUUACUUGCCAUUAAUAGUUACCAUGCCUUAAAUUGCCUUUAUGUCUCUUGAUGAGUUGAUCAUCAUGCGUUCUGUAAGAGAUAAUUUUGAGGUUCUCUUACUUACAUUUAUUGCAUUUAUCAUCCCAAGAGCAUAUAAAUGUUUGAGAAGAAUUUAACUAACGAAAAUGAUAGCCGAUGUUGGACUGGAUUUGAAGUUUUCUUUAUGCGUGGAAUUUUGAGGGAAUAUGUGUUCUCGUUUUCUUGGAAAGAAAAAAGGCGGUAAAUUACAUGUUUGGUCUUCAAACUAUGAGGCGUGCGACACUUUGGUACUCAAACUUUACUUUGUUGCAAUUUCUAGUUCGAACUUUUUUAUUAAUGCAAUCAAGUCCCACGACCAAAUUUAGUUGACUAAGCGGUUGUUUGGUUCCACGUAAAACUGUGGAAAAUAGUUUUCAGUGGAAAAAAAAUUUUCGGAGGAAAAUAAAUUUUACGGUGUUUAGUGUUUGGUUUAUAGGAAAGAAAAAUAGAUUUCCAUCACGGUUGUUGGUUGAAAGGAAAAGAAAGAUGAAUAAAAACCUAUUAUAUAUAUUUUCUUCUAUUAUAUAUAUAUUAUUAUAUUAUUGAUAUAUAAUAUAUAAUAAUCAUUAUACUACAUAUGCUAGUUUAUAUUUAUAAAUAAAAUAUAUUUUACAAUAANUUGUUAGGAACUUAGGAGUAUACGGGCUGCUGAACUCUUAAUAGCACAAUAGUCCUAUUCUCUCUCUCUCUCUCUCUCUCUCUCUCUCUCUCUAUAUAUAUAUAUAUAUAUAUAUAUAUAUAUAUGUAAAGUUUGAGAAAGAGAGGUCCACAGUGGGAACUCUCGCGCGGUCCAUGAGAAUUGGCUUUUCUCGUGGACCACGAGCACACAACCCUUGGGCCGCUUGUUUUUGAGGAGAAGGUUUUCGUUUUCUGCAUGACAGAAAUGGAAAACGAAAACCCAACUUUUCAUCCAAAUCCAUAAAAUAUUUUUCUAUGUAAAAUAAUUUUACGGCCAACCAAACAGCCUGAAAAAUAUUUUUCAGACUGAAAAGUAUUUUCGGGCAAGUUUUACGAGGAAACAAACACACCCUAAAUGUUGAUGUGUCGCUAAUGUAGAAGUGAUGUAGUAACGUUGUGAUUGAUGAUGAUGCGAUAAUAAUUAAGAUGCUAUAUCACUUCUACAUUAACGUCAACAUUAACGCUAACGUAGGAAUUUUGAGGGAAUGUGUUCUCAUUUUCUUGAAAAAAAAAAAAGAAGAGAGGAGGUAAAUUACAUGUUUGGUCUUCAAACUAUGAGGCGUGUGACACUUUGGUACUCAAACUUUACUUUGUUGCAAUUUCUAGUUCGAACUUUUUUAUUAUUGCAAUUAAGUCCCACGACCAAAUUUAGUUGACUAAGGGAUUGUUUGGUUCCACGUAAAAUUGUGAAAAAUAGUUUUCAGUGGAAAAAAAUUUUCGGUGGAAAAUAAAUUUUAGUGUUUGGUUUGUAGGAAAAGAAAAAUAGAUUUCCAUCACGGUUGUUUGGUUGAAAGGAAAAGAAAGAUGAAUAAAAACCUAUUAUAUAUUUUUUAUUAUUGCAUUGUCGUUUGAAUGUUCUUUGUUGUUAUUUCAAAAGUGUUGUAAUUUCUUUUGACCUUUGAGUUACUGCAAUGCUCUUAUAUAUGACUAAUAAUGCCUCUACAUCUUAUUUUACUUCUAGGUUGCAACUUAUUUUACAUUUCUUAUGCUAUUCAUUGUAAACUUACAUUGCCAUAAUUGUCAGGAAUGACUACAGGGUCAAGUAAAGAACAUGUGGUAAUAAAGGUAUGAUCCUUCCUUGCUACUGUUAUGCAAAUUCUUUUAGGAGAUUCUUUCUGAAAGUUAAGGCACCAUACAGAGACCUAAUUGGAACUCCAGGAUUGUUUUUUGAGACUUAUUUGAUUAGAAACUAGAAAGGCAAAAGGCCUAAUUGCUAGUACUAAUGGUGAACAAGAAUUUUAUGGCUAAUAUGUAUCAUCUGAAGAAAAUAUUAUUUAUACAAUUGAUUCAAGUUAUUGUAUUAGGAGAAAAUGUGUAUUGGUCCAUAUUUUGUUUUAACUCAUUUCUGAAACACUUUAAUAGGCUACAGGUGGUGGAGCAUUUAAAUUUGCUGAUGUCUUCAAGGAGAAGCUAGGUGUUUCUCUUGAUAAGUUGGAUGAAAUGGAUAGUGUUGUAGCUGGAGCAAACUUUUUGCUGCAGGUUCAUUACUGAAACUGUUCUCUUACAGAUUCAUCUUAAUUUGGAACUUUAUAGUUAGAGCAAACUAACCUUUUGUGCUGUUGCUGCUCACUACAAUGAAUAACACUACUCAUUUCUACAGUUCUUAAGAUCUACUUACAUUUUUGUGGUUUCCAUGUAAAACUUGCUACAUGAUUUUGCCAUUAAGGAGAUUCUUAUUAAGGAAUCUCAAAGAGAAGAGAUAAGGAGAUAUGAAAAUUGUAUAAACAUCACCAUAUGUUGGUAAAUUGCAUUAUUAUGUACAUUAUGUAAAACGUAUCGUAAUGAGUUUAAUUACUGACAGAAAACAAUUAUAUUGAAGAGUAUGCAAGACCUGGUUUAUAUCAUGUAUAAUGCGCAGAAUGAUUAACUAAGUGGGCUUAUAUUUCUUUUUCAGUGUAAAAUAAGGUUUUUGUGCAACAUCAUUUGUCUUUGUCAAGAUGUUAUUCAUACAAAGUGCUUUUGGGUUCACUUUAAACUGUCCUAGCCUUUGUUCUUUUUUGCAGAAAAUUCCUGGUGAAUCCUUCACACACAUGAAUGGAAAACGGACUCUUGUAACUAUUAGUCCGAAGAACUUGUUUCCAUACCUUCUUGUCAAUAUUGGCUCAGGUGUUAGUAUAAUAAAGGUAAUUCUGCAUAUGGUGUGCUUGGUAAAAAUUUCUAAUGAUGAUCCUAUUUAGUUAGAUAUUUUUCAUCAAUUCAAUUUAGGUCACUGGAACUAGGAAGUUUGAAAGGGUAAGUGGGACCCACAUCGGUGGGGGCACCAUGUUUGGUUUAGCAAAACUUUUAACUGGUUGCAAAAGGUAUGUUACAUUUGUAUCAUCUGUUAUGCAUAUGCUUAUGCAUUUGGUUCGACUCACAUGCAUGUCACUUACAGUUAUGAUGAGUUCUUGAAGUUGAGCCAGAAAGGGGACAAUCUUGUUCUUGAUUUGAUUGUCAAAGAUAUUUGUGGGGAACUGGUUUGCCAAAAGGUAUCUUUUCUACUGUUUGGAUUUCAUAUUCUUAUUAUUUAGCAAUUACCAGAAUUAAUCAAGGAUGGUAUGCUUUCAUAUUGUCAAAAGUUGAUUGUAGUAACCUGCUGUUCUUUUAUUAUAGUUACCAUUUGUUUAGAGUUAGUAAUUGUUUGCUUAUCUAGUUUAUUUUAGCACUUUUGGUGGUUUCUGUUGGCAUAAUAUGGUUUUAGUGAUCACUUUCUUUUCAUUUAUGUCUCAGCAAGGUCUUUCAGCGUCAACUCUUGCUUCUAGCUUUGGGAAAGUGAUAACGUCUAAAAGGAAGCUCGCGGAUUACAAACCUGAGGACCUUGCUGCUACCCUAUUAAGUGCUUUUACUUAUAACAUUGCACAAGUAAGUUUCUUUCUGGCUUUUUGAGAUUUUUUUUUUAAACUUAAUCGAUUGGCAGAAUCAAUAUUCUGAACUGCCAAGUAGCUUGUUAAUGUUCUGUUAUCUUCUUACCUUUGUCAGAUCAUAGUAACUUUGUAUACUACUGAUUAACGCUAUCAAAAGAUCUCCUGAUCUUGUCCUGUUGUGAAGGUCUUGGCCGAUCAAAGGAUAAAACAGUUCAAGAUGUGACCAUAGAAUAGAACAGUGUGAAGUUCCUAAACAGAAUGAAAACGUAAUAAAAGCAAGAGCUACGAUCCUUAAGCAGUGUAAAAAGAUUUGAGUAAAAAAGAAAAUUAGUGUAAAAAGAUUUGAGGAAAAAAGGAAAAUUAAGAGAAUAAUACUUUAGAUGUUAAGGGCAUGCAUUUAAUUAUAAAGGUGGCCAGACAAAGAGAACCCAUUUGUGGUUUUUUUUUUUUUUUUUUUUNGGGGGAGGGAUUGGGGUGGUUCAUGGAAGGCCAUUUGACCUUUUCAGAUUGAAAUGCUCUAAGCUAUGAGUGGAAAAUAUCUUUCUGUGAGCAAUAACUAUGCAUUCAAUCAUUAUAAAUUGAAGGAAAAAACAAACACAUUGAUUAUUAUGAAACAAGUUACUAAUGCUGGUUCUUGUACUUACACUAUUCCUUCAGAUUUCUUUCCUUGUAGCAUCACUCUUGGGGCUCAGGAAGGUUUUCUUUGGAGGAUCGUAUAUUCGUGGUCAUACAAGCACAAUGGACAACAUUAGUUAUGCAAUUGACUUCUGGUAUACUUCAUGAAUUACAUUCAUUGAGCAUGCAAAACAUGACAAAUUUAUUUUACUCGUUAUCCUUGAUGUUUAAUAAUUCAUAAUUGGAAAGGCUUUCUUUUUGCUUGUGUUUGCUUUCAUUGUUAUGCUUGUCAUUCAGGUCAAAAGGUCAGAUGCAAGCACUCUUUUUACGCCAUGAAGGGUUUUUAGGAUCUCUUGGUGCAUUAACUAGUUAUGGAAACAUUGAUACUGAUAGCCUGACACUUGAGGAUUCAAAAGAACAAGUGAGUUAAGAUGAGAAUGGUGAGAAACUAGUAUAUGAUUUUUAUGUAGAGAUACUGUUGGAUAUUUAUACGAAUUGCUGCAAGUUCUACUUCAGAUUAUGUUUUCUCAAUCUUGUAAAUUUGCGAUAUCAACGUAAUGUUGAAUAAUUCUCCUUAUCAACUAGAACGUUUCCUCUCUAAAGUUAUAUAUUAUCUUCAUAAUAAUCUUAUGACUGGGAAUACAUCUAUCUGUGCUUGUUAUUGGUUACAAGAUGUAUAUCACUAUCUAGUAUAUUAGAUAUAAAAUGCAUUAUAACAUAUAAGAUUUAGAAUUCCUGAUAGCAUGGGCAAGGGAGCUAUUUGCUAGGGAUAUUUAGGUGUUACCAUCAGAUAUGACAAUCUAGGUAGACCUCUUAUAUUGACCACCAGCAUUGUUCAAAUUUCACAUUGAAUUUCUUUCUGUUGUUCACGUCUUCUUUCUUUGAUCUUUUGGUCACCUCUAUGAUCGUGACUUAAAUAGACCAGUUUCUAUGCAUUUGGUCAAAUACAAUCAUGUAAUCAUGGUCUCACAUUAACUCCAAAACUUUUCCGCUGAGCAUUCUCUGGGUCUUGUUUUUGUUGACCUUUGAAGUAUUGCAUCUUCAUUAUCUGUAUGGUUGGUAAAACUGAAAUAUAAGAUCUGCUAGAAUUUAUAACUUGAGUGUCGCUAAUUGUUUUAAUGCUACGUUCUUAUGGAAGUAGUGGCUUCAAUAAAACAAACUUUUAUGAUAAAAAUUUAACUUAAGCAAAGUCAACAGUGUGAUAUUUCUCUCUCCAAUUAUCCUUCUUUGAAUGGUGAUAUUUUUUUUUUUUCAAAGGCUUCUCUCCACCUGUUAUGUGGAUGUUAGAAGUAAUUAAUCUUCCUUGUUUUACCAUUAUUUAUGCAGGAUAUAUUCCAUGACUCAUCUGCACCUAUUGAUGGAAAGUUAGCAGCUGAACAUACGGAAAGCAACAUCUUUCCUUAUCUACUUGUUAAUAUUGGCUCAGGUGUUAGCAUGGUUGAGGUCAGUCUUCGAUAAUGUACCACUCUAGCUAAUUACACAAUUUGUUGGCAUACUUACUAAUUGUCUGCAAUAUCUAUUGAGUAGGUGAUUGGAAAGGGAAAGUUUGAGCGUAUUAUUGGGACCCACUUAGGUGGCGGUACUAUCCUUGGUCUUGCAAGGCUGCUGACGGGCUGUUCCAGGUAAAGACCAUUACAACCUGUGUUUCAAAUAGAAAUUCUUUAGAAAUUUCAUUAUUACAUGCAUACUGUUUCUUUGUAGUUAUGAAGAGUUUUUGGAGUUGAGCCAAAGGGGUAAUAAUUUAUCAGUAGACUUGACUGUUGGGGAUAUAUAUGGUGAGCAAGGUUAUCUGAAGGUAUAAUUUCUUCCCUGUGGUUACAGAGGAGAAAACUACAAGAUGCAUUCACCAUCUGAUUAGAACUUUCAAGCUUCAGAAGCGUUAAUUACAAAAGAAAUAUUCUCUUAUUUAGAUUGUCUUUGUAUCAGUUUCAAUAGUAUGAGUUCACUGAUUGUAUGUAUCAGUGAUUGAUUUUCUAAUGGUAUCUUACUUGUUUUAAUUAUCAUAGCAUGGUCUCCCAGCGUCUACUACUGCUUCUAGCUUUGGGAAGGUAAAUUCGAACAAGCUUUCAGAUUACAAAGUAGAGGAUCUUGCUGCAGCUCUCUUGAGUGCUUUCAGUUACAAUAUUGGACAAGUAAGCUGCCUCUCUUAGGAACAAAUAGUUCUGUUUAGCAGGGAAGUAUGAUCUGCAGGAAGUAAUUUGUUUCUAUAACUGUUAUGCUCUUUGAUUUCAUAGACCUGAUAUAACAUGGUCCACUGAAGUUUGAGAAUAGCAUCUAAGAACUCUUCUCCAGUUAGAAAUUGAAAGAUUGUUUCUUUAAUUAAGACAUUGGAUGCUCAGAGCCACUGCAACUUAAUUCCCAACAUUUACAUUUUUAAUGUCUCAUAUGGAGCCUUAUUUCUGCCAGACCUACUAGUUUGUUAGUUUUGGUUUGUGUAAUGCUACAUCUAUUCAUUGGCUUGUAUGUGCUUGCUUAUAAUUUUUUCUUGAUGUUUGUUUCAGAUAGCCUAUUUCGUGGCAACUCUAUCAGGGAUGAAGAGAAUUUUCUUUCGAGGAACAUACGUUUGUGGUCAUGAAAAGACUAUGGACAAGAUUUCUCGAGCACUUAAAUAUUGGUAAUACGCAUGGCUUUUGACUUGUUUAAUUUGAUUCGGUACUCUGUAAUUUGCCAGUAAUUUGCUAAUAUCGACAAAUCUCUUGGCCCUUUCCUGCCCCUGAUGUUUUUUUUAAUGAUCUUUCAGGUCCAAAGGCCAAGUCCAAACGACAUUCCUUUGCCACGAGGGAUUCUUAGGAACUCUAGGAGCUUUUUGGAGCUAUGAAAGCAUGGGCAUUGACGGCUUGGCCGCCCCUGAGGUCAUAAAGGAGGUCUUGCUUGGCGCUCCUUACACUGGAGGACAAUUUCCAACUCUACCUCCGAGUCAGCAGAAUGACCGUGUAAGCAAAUGCUCACUUAUUACGGGUUAAUCUUAGCUUAGAAAACUAGCAGUUGAUGAUCAUUGAUUCCUCUGUUUGCAUGGUUCUACAUCCCUUUUUUAUGAUUCUCUGCUUCUUAUGAGGAAGUCCUAAGGCACAGUAGUGUGGCUGUCGCAAGAUGCAGCUCAACCUUAUGCAUGUUUUUCCAAAAUGUAACUGUGGAGACUAGAUUAACAUCCUGCGCACAUGAUGCGGACUAAGAUUAGUUAGUCGAGAUUGCAUUGCCGUAUCUAUGCACCGUUAAGGAACUAACAUGAGCUUAAGCAUUGGGAGAGUUGGUUAGCACUGGUAGUUUAAGCUUUUGGGAUAGUUGGUUAGCACCAUCUCUCUGCGGACAAGUAUCAUCAUGGAUUUUGUUUUCCAAGAACGCUGCUUAAACAAACACAGGCAUCGACGUGAUUGUUGGGGUGCAAAUUGUAACUCCAAUUGAUUUGCUGACAAUGGUUUAACUCACGAAUUUCUUAACUAAACCCUAUAUUCUUAUUUCCUUCUUCUACUUGCAACUCUCUCUUGUCUUCCGCAGAAUGAUGCUAUCGACCUCAGGACAGAAGUUGAGAAGCUAAAACAUGACAAUGCAAUGCUCAGAGCCAUGGUAGAAAGGCUACAAUGUGAAAAUGAAGAGCUCAAAGCUAAGUCUCGGCAAUCAUAGCAUAAACAUUAUAUGACAACAUCCCAAGAAAGAGAUGAUCAGUUUCGCAACAUGAAGCAAAACAACAAAAUUGGAGCAAAUAAGGUUUCGAGCCCGGCAUCAGAAUUUUGGCUACAGCUUCUGGGCCGAAAAUUAUCCCAAUCUUUUAUGUAUUAUUGUUAUUCAUGUUAUCGAUCUGUUUGUAUGUAGAGUUAGAAAUGUUUUUGUAGUUAGUUCCAAAUUGUUGCAUGUUUUUCAUAAGCCCCUUCUAGUAUGUAGACUAUUGAAUCUGCACUUUCUUUGGUAUCAAAUGAUUGUAGAACCAAGAUGAUUUGAUUUGUAACAUCAUAAAUUGAAGGGAGUUAAUUUUAAACUAACUUCUUUAUUUGAAAUGUAAUAUUGGAUUGAAUUGAGGUGCCUUUCUUCUGAAUAAGGAUUUUCACACUUGGUCAUUUUAUAAUUUAAUAAAGAGAGUCCAAUUUAAACCUUCAUGUUUAGUAGAAUUAUUUGGCCAAGAAGCAUUAUGUAAAAAUGUUCUUUGCAAUUCCAUUGCUAUUUUUCCACAUUUUAACCUUCAUAUUUUUUAUGUUCUUGUAAGGUUCCAACCUGAUACUGAGAUUACUGAUACUCGAAAUCCUGUCCUCAGAAAGCAAAAUAACUCGUGAGUUUUGCAAAUUCGAGUUCGCACUCCACAAGUGAUGCCUAUUACUUUUAAACUAAGAAAAUUCAAACCUCUUAUUAAUGUUCGCACAAAAAUAAACAUACCGAAAAUGAUGCAGAACUAAAACAAAAUCAUGAUUAGCAAGAAGCAACAGAAAUCGAUCAUUAAAACUUUUGUUCUUGAAAAUAAAAAACAAGAGAUUAUAAACAAACAAAAAAAAGAAAAAAAAAAUCAAAGCGUUAGUUGGUAAUAUUUUCAAAUAAAGUGUCCGAGCAUCUGAAUGCAACACGCCGCACCGCAUACGAACGGCGAGUGCCAGAAUCUCAGCUCGAUUUCGUUCUCGGCAACGUACAGCGCUGAAGACGCUACAGCAAAAGAAGCGCAUCAGAGACUCUAAUUUAUUGCCUUUUAUUAUACUAUUAUUAUUAUCAUCAUCAUCAUCAUCAUCAUCAUCUCUGUUGUAAUCUUCCUUUUAAAAAUAAACUAAAAAAAAAGGAUUAAAUAGGGCAAAAAAAAAAAAAAAAACCUAUUCCUAAAAACGCAAAAAAAAAGAAGAGAAAAAGAUAGGAGUCUCAGAGAGACAAAAUAGAGGAUAUCAACACUGCUUUUGUUUCGUGGCAUCAGCGUUUGAUGGUAUCUUUGUUCCCUCAUCACAGACCAUCCAUCUUCAUCAUCUUUGUAACAAAAUACGAGAUAAAAUUUAAGAAAAAAAACAAAAAAAAAGAAAGUAAAAAAAAAAACCAAAAUAAGGGGCCUCAGAAGCUUGAUUGGCAUAAAAAGAAAUUCGCAUCAAAGAGAAACAUCUCAGAUGGUACAGACAAUAAUGGUACAUCAUCGGCCCAUUACAUUAAAUUAAUAAUAAUAAUAAUUAGAUCGUGAUAGAAAAGAAAAAAUUUUACACCUUGAUGAUUUUGUGGGUGGGAGGGAGCUUCAAGGUUCGGAGCGAUUGAGAUGGGCUUUGGUAGAUUAUAUAUAUAUAUAUCGAGUGCCAAGGGGCAGGAACGAAGAGAAACCCUAAUUCGUAAACUUUUUGGUAUUUUUGUAUUAUGAUCCCUUCCGAUUUAUGAAAUUGCAAAGCAACUUUUUUUCUUUUUUUUUUUACUUAACAUUUCUCUUUUCUUUGUGUUAAAAUAUUUUUAACUUGGGGGUGUUUGCUUCGGCAUAAAAUAAGACCCAAAAUUAUUUUCGGUAAGAAAAUAUUUUUUUACUUGUUUGGCUCGAAGUAAAAUUUAUAUACAAAAAAUUUCAAAUACCCCAUCUAGGUUUAUCAAAUAUUCAUUUUAGUAUCAUUUAGUUUUAAUUUGUCACUGAUUUAAUGAAAAAAAUUAGUCGAAUGGAUGAUAAAAAAAAAGAAGAAAUCACCGGAUACUAAAUUGAUACACUUUAAACUAUAUAGUACUAAAGUGAAAAAGUAUAAAAUCGCAAGAGUGGUAUGUGAAGCCUUUCCUAUAUUUUUUAGGCUAAAUUAUAGGAAGCUCCUCGUCAAUAUUCGCCAAUUCACUUUCUCCCUAUUAUUCAAUAACCUACACUUUGACAUUUUACAAAAUGAAAAAUAUUCACUUCGGCUCUCGCCGUUAGUGUUUUAUUAGGAUUCUGUUUAUAUUUAUUUUUUAUAUCCAAAAUAUCUCUGAAAUCCUCAUCCAUACCCACACACAUGCUCUCGACCGCAGCCUUGCCCUGCGCUGUCGCCUUGCCCUCACCCACCUCUCUGUCCAUGCCCAGAUACACGCCCUCUUCCUUCUUCGCCGUCGAAAUGAGUAAGAUUGGGGAGGAGGAGAUGAAGAAGAUAAGAGCAAUUUGGUUAUUUUGUUACAUCGUAACUUUCUACGAAUAUUCUUUAAUUUUUAAGAAAUAAAGUGUAAAUUUUUAAUUGACUGCAAAAAAGAAAAAACUGGGAUGGACAUAAAGUUUUAUGUAAUUUAGCCUAUUUUCUAAGACUAUUAAUAAAAAAAAUUCUCCCUCAUCCAGGGAUGUAAUGUGGGCUGUGCCGGACUAGCACGACCCACAUUAUACAGGCCGAUUUGGGCCAAGGGUCGGCCCGGCCUGACUCGAUUAUUAAUCCGGACCGAACCGUGCCGGUCCGUUUACUUAGACUAUGAGGCCCGGCCUGGUCCCCUGGCUGGCCCAAUACGGGCCGUGCCGGGCUGGGCCGGGGUUCAUGCCAGCCCAUAUUUUGUUUUAAAUUUUUUCACACAGUUUUUUUUAGAAAUUUAUUUUUUUUCCAGAAAAAGAAAUAAUUUUUUUUUUAAAAUUAUAAAUUUGACUUAUAAUUUUUACUUUGCACAAUUAUACCCAACUUUUUGAAAACUUUUUAAUUAAAUUUUUUAAUAAUUUUUUAUUAUUUAAAGAGAAAAUAAUAUUUUAAAAAAUAAAUAAUAAAAAAUAUAUAAAGUUUGUAUUAAUUAUAUUAUAUAAUUACAUGAAAAAAAAUAAAAAAAAAUAUAUUUAAAUAAACAUAUUUAAAAUUAUUUUUUUAAAAAAAUAAUUUUGUUUUAAGGGUCUGACCCUUGGGUGUUGGAACUUGGGAGAGAGCUGUGAGAGAGAAAGAGAGAGAGAGAGAGAGAGAGAGAGAGAGAGAGAGAGAGGGGCAUGCUUCAAGUUGGGUCAAAUCAUUGUUAUAGGCUUAUAGGAUAUGGCCUUAUAGGCCUAGGCCCGGACCAGAGUCGUGCCGGGCCGGGCGGCCUACGAGCCGCCCGGCCCGUUUUACAAUCCUACCCUCAUCUCUCUCUCUCUCUCUCUCUCUCUCUCUUCCUCUUUCUCUCAAGGCGUUUGGCCAACUCUCGAAUCUCGAGACUCUCGACCCGGUGCCUCGCUCUCUCGCGAGAACGACGACGAGGACGAAGAGGAGUUGGUGCCGUGGUGGCGACAUCUAGGGUUUCCCCUCUCUCAGCCGCUUCCUCUCUCAUCGUCCUCACCCCGACGCACGGUCGCUCAGAAACCCUAAACCCCACUCGUCCUAUACUACUCGAUCACCACCUUCCUCGGCUCCUCCUCGCAUCGGAUUAGGGUAUUUUCGCACUAUCUAAGUAUUUUGCUGUUCUAUCUGAAAUGUGGCUGUAAAUUAGUAUAGAAGUAUGUUUUUGUUGAAGAACAAAUUAGUGAUAAUACAGUAUAACUCGAAUUUUCUUUUAUUAAUAGACUUAAAAAUAUAUAAUUAUAAAAGUAGUUUUUAAAAAAAAUAUUUACUAAACUAGGUCUAUGAGGAGAAUGAAUUACCGCCUUCUGAAUGCGGAGAAUCGGUUACCACUUUCUUUAAAGCAUUAAAAUUAUUUUUAGUGAUUAAUGCAGUACAUUUUUUGGAGUUUGGCGGCGAAUGAUUUACCGCUUUUAUAAAAAUUUUGGAUAUCUAUUCUUACAAUUAAAAUGAUCUGCAUGCUUAGUAGGCCAAAAACCCUGGUAACUUGACAUUGGAGUGCUCAAAUCCUAGAUGAUAUUAUGUUUGGUCAAUUUUGCUGAUGGAAAUAAGGUUUAAUGGCGAUCUCUCUUUCUUGCAAGACUCUGUUUUUAGGUGAGAAAUCAAUGAUUGUAACUGUUUCCUUGUGGACGAUUGGCAGUUUAGAUGUGUUUGGUAAUUCUCUGCCUAGAUGGAAUGGAAGAUAAUAACUUGCAGAAGUUUUUAAAGAACAAUUUCUCAAAAGAAAAGAAAAGAAAAAAGAAAAAAGAAUUGUUUGACGACCAUAGAAAAAUAAAGUUCAAAGGGGCAUAAAAAGGGUAGUAUGUGAUUUUGAGUGCGAAGUGAUUUGGUAGGGCCAUAGAAAAUCUAGCAACUUUUCAAUAAGAGAUGGAUUGCUUGUAGUUUAGCAUGUGAGUUUCCUUUCAUGAUAUUUUAACUUAGUAAAAAAAAUUCUGAGCUUUGUUUGAUGAAUGAUUUUGGAUGCACUUGACGUAUGAACUCCAUGACUUCAGAUUCUCUAGUUUUAAGUUAUGCUGGAAUUGCAUUUCCAUAAAUAAAUCUAGAGAAGCAUUGAUAAAGACGUGAGAGAUGUCCUUCCAUCUACAAUCGUAGAACUCUUUACAUCACUUGCAUUUCAGUGAACUACUUUAGCAGUUCUAUUUGUCUGUGCACUUUUCCAUGUGGCUUCUUACUAGAUUCAUCCGAUACAUCGGGCAAGCACUGAAUGUGGGGAAUAUUUAGUCGGACAUGUCCUAUAGAACACGUGGGGUAUGAACUGUUGGCUAGCACUUGAUUUUGCUUUGAGAUUCACUUGAAGUGCUAUCUGACAGCUCAUAUUCUAAGUGUCUGAUAGGGUGCAUCACACUAAUAUUUCUUUCCGUGAUUGAAUUUCUUUCUUUCAAACUUUGGUUAACUUCUCAUUAAGUCAUAAAAUGCCAACGUGGCGAUUUUUUUUUUUUUUUGUCAAUGAUCAAGGAUAUAAAAUAAGAGACCAUGUUAUUAAUUAGGAUUAGCGUCAAUCUCUCUGUAAGAGUUAAACCACUAGGACUGUUGGCUUAUUGUCUUUUUCAGCAAAACGGCAGUAAUACAUUUCUAAGCUCAAUCUAAUUGAGUAAUAUGUCUAAUUUUAGCUGAUUUUUAUAUUUGCAUUUUAACACUUUCUAUGAUGCAUGUUACCAAUCGAUAGCAGAGCUAAAGCAAAAAUUAUGGCAUAUAAUUCUAGUGUUGUGUCGAUAAAUAGCUGAUAUUUUUUGAUGGUUCGAAAGCCUGUUCCAAAGCCUAUUCAAUUUUUUGGGUCAACCUUAGGCACUUGUUUGUUUUGGGGAUGAUUCAGGUUACAGGGUCUUAUCCCACAAUUCUGCUGAACAAACUUUUUUCCUUUUGGAGGUAUGCUUAGAAGACUAAUUUGAAGUCGUGAAGAAGUAUGUGGUAGACCAUUUACUAGUACCCAAGGAUUUAAGUGCCCUGGCACGAGGUUGUGCCAGAAACUUGCCAGCACGAGACGGCAUGGCACGGUCCGUGCCGAGCCGUGCCGAUGUGUGCCGGUCAAAAAAAUUCUUGUGUGCUGACACAUAAUAGCAUGAAUAUUUAUUUUCUUUAGCAACAAAAUAUUCUAACUAUUUAUUAUGUCUUUUUAUCACAUUUUUUGAACUUUUUUGAAAAAUUUACUUACUAAUUUAAAGAAUAGAGGGUUUUGAGUUAUGCCAUCGACACGAGAUCUGUAUCAUGGCUGUAUCUUGUUGGCACGGUACGGCACUGUGGAUAUGGCCCGUACCGACGGGUACUUAAAACCUUGCUAGUACCCUUGAUUCUGAACUCAUGGGAAGCCAGCUUAAAUUGUUCUAUGUUAAACUAGGAUAUGAAUGGUGCUUAAUUGCUUGCAUUUGGUCAUUGCUGUGUUAGCACAAAUAGAGGAAUAAAAUGCUGGUAUGCUGGAAUUCGUCAUUGCUGUGUUAGCACAAAUAGAGGAAUAAAUGCAUAAAAUGAUAAUUCUAGUGGAAAGUUUACGUCACCUCCAAUGUACAAUAUUUGAGGAUUUGAUUUAUCCAUGCCUUAUUCCGCUACCAAUAUUGGUUAAUCAUACUUAGUCUACUGCUAUAUCAGAUGAUACUUUUUUCUCUAAUACUCUCGUCCCCCCGUCCUCCCCCCCGUCUUCCCUUUGCAAGUUUACUGGAGCCAUAUAUGUGUGCUUUUCAUUCUUUAUUUAUCUAUUUAUUUUAAAACUUGUGGGGAGCAAACUCGAUAAUGAAACUGGCAAAGGAUUUGUCGUUGUUCUGAGAUUAUAUUCAAGCUCUUUGCCAAUGUGCAGAACAUCUCAGCUUACAGAUUUCCAUUCGGAAUAUCUUAAUUGUGCACUUGUCUAUUCUUUAUGUUUUCCGGGUCCUCCUGUUUUUUUUUUUUUUUGGCAAAAUAAUAAACUUUUGUCAGAUUAGAAAUCAACAAACACUUAUGCUGUCAGACUAGUUGCUUCAAAUUUUCCCAAAUGGAAGCCAAAUUCUUCCGGUUCCUCAAAAUCGUGGGUGUCGGAUUCAAAGCAAGGACCGAAUCGGAGGGCCGGCAGUUGUUCCUGAAAUUGGGUUACAGCCACGAGGUGGAGUUCGCCGUCCCUCCAGCUGUCCGCGUCUUCUGCUUCAAGCCAAACAUAAUAUGCUGCACAGGUAUCGACAAGGAGAGGGUGCACCAGUUCGCGGGGGCUGUCCGGAGUUGUAAGCCCCCCGAGGUUUAUAAAGGGAAAGGUAUAAUGUACAUUGACGAAGUCGUGAAGAAGAAGCAAGGUAAGAAGUCGAAGUGAUUGCCGGGAAUAGGAAGCAUAUUUGUUGCUUGUUUAAGCUCAUUGAGAAGUAGAUCCAAUGCGGCUUUUGUUUGUCGUAGAUUAGUGUAAUGUUUAAUUCGAGGAUCAAAUUGGUCUUUUGUAAUUUUUUUGUGUGCUAUUUGUUUACACCCCUCCGUAGAGAAAAAUAAUGUUGGCAUGGUAUAAGUGAAUGGAAUUGUAGUCCAUUUUGAAAUGGGCCCUCUAAACUCUUUUAUCAUCAUCAUUAUUAUUAAUUUACACUCCCUUAUCUUUGUUUUUAUGCAAUUUGAAUUAUUUUCAUCAUGUGAUUGGGAUUUUUGUCAAAUUUGACGAUGAUUUCUUUCGAUGUAGUGGUUUGCUUCUUGCCUUUUAGCUGAUGAAAUUGUAGAUUUCAUUACCAGUUGACAUGGGCCACUAAACUCAAAUGGAAAUGAAUAGUUGUGUAGAUGCUAAUAAUUCGAAAGAAAGUAAAGGGAGUCUUCAUACUUUUAUUUUUUGUAUGUUAUGAAAACAAGAAGUAGAUGAUGUUUUACAAUCAGAUAGUAUCAAGUUAUCAACCCGAAUCUCAAACACUGCACACGCAAUACGAUGGUAUACUCAGACGUAUUCGAUAAGAUCUCGUUCCACGGAACUUAAGACUCGCUGCUGCGCAGUUUGUUGCGAAUCGCGUGCUCAGGCUUAUGAGUGCAUUCGAAAUCCACAUGAACGAAGGCGCGCUCGACUUCCGGAAGCUUCUCGAUCUUUACCUGCAGUGAUUCCCCUAUUGCAUGUGCCUCUUUCAGGGGCAUUUCUUCUGACAGUUGAAUGUCAACCUGUACAGACAAGAGUGUCUGAUAUUAGGGCAGUAUCAGCAGUUUCUAUCAAGCAUCAAUAAGCUCACACUGGAGAGGGUGUACAAAAGUCAUUAAAGAAAGGAUCAUAUGCGAAUGUCAAAUAUAAGCUAAAACUUUAAAGAUUAAAUAUCAAAAUAAGACCUUAUUCUGAGCAAUUGAUUUUGAAUAAGUGAAACCUCUGAUUCCUAAACUUUAAUGAAAUUUGUGUAGGGCUCAUUUCGCUCAAAAUUUCAAUCUCUAAAGCUAAAUGCUAAAGUCCCUAACCGAUAAUAGUCAUAUAAGGUUCAAUUCCUAAAACCCCACAGACGAGCGAUUUGCGCUUUCAUUCCUUUCUAUAUCCUUACCAGCAGUGUAUCCUAAUAAACACGAAACUCAGCUGUAAAAAAUUUUCCAAUGGAUCGAAAGCAACUACAAAAUGAAAUGAAAAUUGAUCAUUCAUAGUGCUCAUAUACAAGCACUGCUUAGAAGCUCAGUAAACCUAAGUACACUAUAGCUUCUUAGGAGGUUGCCUUAAGCCAUAAUAAGCCCACACUAUCAUGUGCAGAGCAUAAAAAAAAAAAGUAAAAAAACAAAAUAAAAUUAAGUCCUACAUUAAUUUCCCUUCAUUUACAAAGAUCAGGGCCUAUGCUCAUUGCUUGCUUCUUGUAGAUUUCGACAAUUUAUUACUUUGUGUACAACAUGGUACAAAGCAGAAUUAAAGAUCUUAGCAUCACUUGAAUCUGGAUAAAAGAAAAGUAUCAAAAUACUUUUAUCAACAAAGAGAAUUGGAGAAAACACCUAGCUAGUUAACUAACCUCCACAAAGUAAAGAACUCCGAAAGUGUAAGCUCGAACUGUGUCGAUAUGUUUGACUCGAGAAUCAUGUCUAAUAAUAAGGUAUGUCAGCUUUUGCAACAUUUCAGGCGGCGCGGAUUCGCCAACAAGUGAAACUGCAGAAAGAACCAGAGUAAUUACCUACAGCAAAAACUUACAGAAAAAAAAAACCAAAGAAUCCUAGCAUAUGUGUUACUUUAUUUCCGCGCCUACGACAAAAUUUCAAAGAUGCUUGGGCACAUUUCUUGCCGAUAAUUAAAAGCUUCGCAGGAACAAACUAUACAGAUAGUAAACACUGGCAGCUCUGAGAGAUCUCAGUAGUUCAGAAAGUUUCAGAAAACGGUUACGAAGAAAAAGAAAAACCUGCAUUUUCCAGGACAGUUCUGGACCAAAUUGCAAUUGUAUAUACUGCAAGAAUGAUAGCCCCAGCAGGGUCAAUCCACCAGAAAAGUUUAUCACCAAGAACAGCGGCCACCAAUCCGACAACAUUGGUUACAACAUCAAAAUAAUGAUCCUGAGUGUUUAUGCAUGUAGUAAGAACUAGUGAAAAUGAUACAAUGUUGCUUGCACCAAGAAACCAAUUUUGUAGAAAAAAAAUGAAACAAUGUAAGGGAUUCUUCAGUGGACAGUACCUUAGCAUAGGCUCGGACGAGAUCAUUCCGCGAGCUUCUGCAGUAAAGCCAGAGAACAAGUUUUACUGCAGUUGCCGAAAGCAUGAUUGAGUACAACCAUAUCAACUGCACUAAAGACAUUCUCUUUGGGGGCUCGUCGGCUAUCAAUUGUUCAACUGCUUGAAUUAAAACCUGAAAACCUGACAACAUGAGAAAGCAACAUUUUAUGUCAUUGUUUUUUUUUCUCUUCUUAUUUCCUUUUUGUCAUGUGCGAAGAAGCUGAAACCGCGCUACUGCACCAAAUUCGAAGCUGAAACCGCGCUACUGCACCGAAUUCGAAACUUCGUUACGCAGUCAAGAAGAGGAAAUCAUGCAUAACCGAAACCUCGUUAUAUGUCAAUUAACUUUUUCCAUUUGUGAAAUGGUUGAUGAACAUAGUUAAAAGUCAGGAGAAGAGCAGGGAAAAACCAAAACUUAUAAGAAAAAUCAAUAACAGGGUUUACUAACAUUUAACAUAACCAAAAAAUACGCAGCAAAUCAAUGAGCUAGCCAAGAUAACAUUCCCACUGCGAUGCCUAGUUGAAUAUAAAUAUUAGAAAUACCGUUCUCUAACGGCUUGAGCUAUUAGAGAAUAAUAGUUGUUUCAUUUAAUUUAACAUGGUAUCGGAGCAAUAGGUAAAAGUUCUAUUUAAGUCCACGCCAUGAAAAUAAUGCAAAACAACUGUCCACAAUAAAUAAUGUGAAAAAAAUAUUUUCUCUAGAGCUCAAGCUUACCUACAAGUCCUAGGAUUAUAAUUGGCUCUGAUAUCAUAUUAAAGAAUACGAAACAAUCAUUUUCUCCAAAAACUUAAAGCUUUUAGAGUAUAAUGGUUGUUUCAUAUAAUUUAACAUGAUAUCGUAGCGUGAGUUCCUUAGUUAUUUAUAAAUACUGUUCUCUGACAGCUUAAGCUAUUGGAGGAUAAUGAGAGAAUCACAGUUAUUUCAUAUUAUUUAACAUGCACAUUUUAACCAUAAAGAAUCGUCAGUGGGUCAGAAAGGUAGUUUAUAAUUUGAUAAGGGAAUGACACUUAAACUUAAGAACUGCAGCUACGUUAGAAAACUGAAAGCAUACCCAAGGUGGCCAUGAUCGCCGCGAAGACGAUGAUCCCUACCGGCUGGACUCGCAAUUUCCCGAUAGGGUAUUUAUAUAUGUUUACGCUCUUCAUCGAUAGAUGCGAAAACCAAAGGAUUCCACCAGCCAUGAGAUCCAACAAUGAAUCAAAUGUCGACGCGGCAAUCGCCAUUGAUCCGGUGCUUACAGUUGCAUAAACCUAUGAUCACCAGUUAGAAGAUCAUAUAUAACUUAAUAUGCAAACUCAAGAAAUAUUGUGCCUUUUGUGCACACUCUUUCCUAAUGAAAUGCAACACGUUUAAUUGCACCUUGAAUGCCAAGAGGAUAAUAUUCGCGUAGUUCGAUAUCUUCAUCGCGAGUUCACUUUGCUUCUGCUCUUCGCUUUCGAUAUGUUCUUGAUUCUCGUCGACUUCGCCGGCCAUGCAUAAGGAGUCUACCUCCUCAAAGGACUCCAAAGUAGCAAACUGCUUCUCAUAGUAUUCUUUUACACCUGAUAACAACAAAUAUGAUACUCAGAAAAGAGAUAUUAAGUAAGUAUGAACUUCAAAGAAUAGAACAAUUAAGGAACAAAAGAAGCAGCAUUUUUGAAGUUCUUAUAUCUCUCUGUUUUUUUUUUUUUUUUUUUUUUUGAACAUUACAACAAGUUGUCCUCAUAUACCUAGUCCCUUCAGUUGCUUGACUAAACACUCUUCUGCAAAGCUUUGUGUACCAAUUAUCACAUUCCUCACAAUCAUAUUCUACUUUUCACUUUAGAGCAAAAAUAGAAAAAAAAAAAAAAAGAAGAGAGAAUAAUUAACAACUAUACGAGAUGAUGGAAAAUCGGGUUCCGUUUGCUGGGGAAAAACAAAAUUCAAGAGGCGCCUAAAAAGAUAAAAAUAAUUAGAUUAGCUUGAUGUGAUUGUAAUUAAGCCAAAUUAGUAAGAGCUAAAAACUUAAGUUACAAAUUGGAGAUAAAGUACUUCUUAGGAAAUCGAGUUCACCGCUAGAAGACAAAUCCCUUCAAUAUCAUCAUGAUUACACUACCAAACUUUCAAAACGAAAAAUAUUUAUUUUAUUUUAUCAAUUUUUUUAAAAGAAAAGAUAACAUCAGUAUUUAGAGAGAGAUCAUUGUCCGGGCAUAAGUGACAAAAGAUUUGAUGAUUCAUAUUCGAUGUUUCAAAUUCGAAUCUAACUUAUCCACAUGGGGCAGCAUGUAAUCUUUUUAUGAGAGAGAGAGACCUGGGGUGAGUCCUUUGACACGAGAGAGGUCGAUGUGAAAGGGUUUCUCCAGGUCGAAAUCGGCCCGGACCUUGUCCGGGAGCCGUGUCGCGAACUCCGUUAGCAGCGAUCUCGCUGAUUCGGUCCGGCACGACAUGGCCCGUUCCCGACUAUCGAGAAGGGGUGCAUCCGCACCCGCAUCCCCACCACCACCACCACCACCACCACCACUACCACUACUUUCCAUCUCUCUUUUUACAAUCCUUUUCUCUCUCGCCCCAAAAUAAAGCAAACUGGAAGAAUCUGAAGCCCAAAAGUUCAACCAAAUCGGAGGCAGCAGAUGAUGAUGCAGCUGCAGAGCAGCAUCUCCUCGAUCCCAACUCUUAUCCGCGCUCAAAUCUAUUGGUUCAUUUGCAAAUUUUGAUUUUAGAAAUCGAAAAUCAGAACCCUGCCAAUUAGGCGGUGGCCUGACAAAUUGGGACAAAAAUUUGGUGGUCAUCGUUCCCAAACAAUUUUGUUUGGGGACGAUGCCGUGGUGUGUGGCGCCCAUCCCAACCCUCAGAAAAAAAAAAAAAAAAAANCGUAUACACAUGGCGCCCAUCCGGCUCCAUGCACGGAUGCCCACCAAAUUUUUGUCCGACAAAUUGUAACCCACAAGGAUCAAACACAAAAGGCUAAGUUCGGUUGAUUAUAAAAAACGUACUCGUCAAUUAGUUGUGUGAAAUACCUGCAAGAAUCAUGCGUACUUGCAUUAUAAAAAAUUCGAUGAAGAAUUUUUUUUUUUUUAUAAUAUUAGAACAGUGAUCACCGUCGAGAUGAUUAUUUAUUAUUUUGAAAUUAUAUACAUCUUUGCACUCCUGUACUAAACCAAAUUCAGAGCUAUAGUUGAGGGGUUCUGUAAGUACUUCAGGAUUGAUAAGCAUCAAUCUUAAUUAAUAGACUCCCAUUAUUAUUAUUAUUAUUAUUAUUAUUAUUGUAUUUUGUAUUUUUACCUUUUUUUUUUUUUUGCCUACAUUCCUGCUGCCCUUUUGGGCAUUGAUCAAGGUACAAAUUGUAAGUGGACAAAGUGGUAUGGUAAAUUUGGUAAUGCUCACCCCGUAAACUUGAUUAGGUGCAAUAUAGUUAGGACAUCAAAGAUAUAUGCAAGUUACUUAUGCUGUUAGUAAAUUGAAAGUGUAUGUGUGUGUGUGUGUGUGUGUGUGUGUGUGUGUGUGUUACUUAUGCUGUUAGUAAAUUGAAAGUAUGUGUGUGUGUGUGUUACUUAUGCUGUUAGUAAAUUGAAAGUAUGUGUGUGUGUGUGUGUGUGUGUGUGUGUUACUUAUGCUGUUAGUAAAUUGAAAGUGUGUGUGUGUGUGUUACUUAUGCUGUUAGUAAAUUGAAAGUGUGUGUGUGUGUGUGUGUGUGUGUUGAGAUAGAAUACUAUCGAUAGCAAAUGGGUUUCGUUGCCACCCAUUUAUUUUUGAUGAUGGAGCUUCCAAAUCGACGAUCGGCACCGUUAAACAUGAUCUAUACCACUUGAAGUGUUUAGAAAUCAAAUUUCAUACACUUUCGAUAUUGUUCUCUUAUCCAUCGAGUGGAUAAAAAAAUAAACGGCUGAAAAUAAAUAUUCUUUAAAAAAUGAUGAUAGGAGUCUUGUAAUUAAGAUCAAAAGUAUAGAUCUUGUUUUAAAUAGUUUAAAGAAUUUUCUAACAAAAUUUAAUUGAUUUGGAUAUCUUUACGCCGUUAAACGAGAAAACGCCUCAUAUCGACCAUUAAAAUUACAAAGUUUGAAACUCUUUGAUCAUUAGGCAAAUAAUGUCGAAAAGAUUUGAAAUUUGAUUUCUAAACACUUCAAUUGGUAUAGAUCAUGUUCAACGGUAUCGAUCGUCGAUUUGGAGGCUCUAUCAUCGAAAAUAAAUGGGUGGCAACG